GCCGGUCUCCGCCGCCGCACCCCGCCGGUCCCUCCGUCCGUCCAUAACCUGAAGGUGACUCUCUCUCUCCUCCUCAGCCCCUCUCGUGAAAUCUCUUCCUCUGCAAUUUCGUCGUCGCCGGCGUCUCUCCGUCGCCACCUCGCCGGACGCGCGAAUCCCUAAUUCGCGGCGGGCGGCUGUCUCCGGCGCUUCUCUGUGGCGGAACCUCGCCGACUGCUCAUGCGCUAGGAACCUCUGCGGCAGGAAAUUCGAGAGAUGGACGUGAUAUCCCAGCUGCAGGAGCAAGUCAACACGGUCGCGUCGGUCGCCUUCAACACCUUCGGCUCGCUGCAGAGGGACGCGCCCUCCGUGCGGCUCUCCGCGAGUUACCCCGAACCGCCCCCGACCGCCGCGGAGGACGCGUCCAGCUUCGCCGAGCAGCCCAAGCUGAUGAGUGCUGCUCUUGUCAAAGCCGCCAAGCAGGUUCGUGCCUCUCUUGCUUUUGCAAGUUAUUAGCGAGCUUGCUUACGCCUGCUUGAUGCAAUUGGAAGAAUUUAUUUGGCUAGGGCUUUAUGAAGAUUGAUUACUUGAUUUGUUGUGGCAAGAAAAGAAAUUUACUUGUGUAUGAGAAUUGUAUGUAUGGCUAGAAGUCUAGGUUAUGUCCAAAGUUUUGGCGGAAAGGUCUUCUUACUUCGAUUGGCUUUUGUGCGCAUUUAGUCUCGGUUUGGGGACUCUGUGCUCGUUCUUGCAGAGGACGUGACCAGAUUUCAUUCAUAAAUGUAUACUAUGGAAGUUCUCAUCGGUACAUCACGGAUGUGACGGGUGGUUUUGGAGAUGCAAUGCGAGUUGGGUAUUUGGUUCAAUUUUGUGUAUGCCUCCAUGUGUGUUAGUUAUUCCUACGGAAGAAAACAGGAUCUUCUCCAUUUUUUUCUUGUGGAUUCUGUUGGUGGAUAUAUCUGCCACGAGUAUCUCAGUGUGCAUAUGUACAUAGAAUGUGCUGUGAUUUGGUUUACACGAGUUGAAUAAUCUUUUGACUCAUGUGUGAAAUUGUUAUGCACAUUUGAAAGGGCCACCACUCUUGUGUAAUCAUGACUAUUGUUUCUUUCAAAUGUGUUUCUGCAUCUUAGAGUCCGUAGAAUGGUUUGAGAUUGUAACUCCAUCAGCAUUCUUGAUCUUGAGUAAGGUGGAUUGUUGGUUUCUGAUUUCUAUCUCAUUGGUUUCUGAUUUCUAUCUCAUUCACUUUUGUUUUACUUCAUGCUUGAAGUAAAAUGAUGGUCAGUGUGACAUCCUAAAGACUCUGCGACUCUGCGGCAUCAGUAUAUUCUCGCGGGUGAAAGCAAUUAGCCUCCAUUUUAGAGAUGAAGCAUUAUGCUUCAAGUUAUAAAAUUCGGUCUCUUUUCCACCGUUUGCUUUGGCAAUCUGGAUAAAGUUCUAUCGGAACUUUUUUUCUUCUUUGAUGCCUUAGUAGCGGGACUUCCACUGCCAGAGGGAGGUGAAGGAGCUCAACUCAAAAGGAUUGCAGACCUCCAGGUUAAGAGGAUCCAUGGUUUUUGGCGUCUUUAGUUCAUUAUUUCUGUUGUUUAAGGCUGUUUCUUAUUCAUCCCAAAUUACCUUUGCACAGGCUGAGAAUGAUGCUGUAGGACAAGAGCUUCAGAAGCAACUUGAAGCUGUCGGUAAUUGCCCUAUCGAUGAGGGUGUGAGGGCAUUUGUCUUGUUCACUUAUGUAUGUCAAUUUUUGGUCGAAAGUGAUAUCUUCUAUGAUUUUUGGCAUUGGCAGAGAAGGAAUUGAAGCUGGUCCAGGAGCUAUUCAGCCAGGCAACAGAUAACUGCUUCAAUUUGAAGAAACCAGAAUAAAAAUUGAAGACGCUUCUCUUCUUUACCUUUUUCAUAAAAUUUAUGCAGUAGAGAUGAUGACUGAGAGAAAUAGGCAUUCUACCGUUCGAAUAGUGCAAAGAGACCUGAGAUGUCGCAGCUCUGUGUGGGUGAGUUUUGAAGUCCUUGCCGAGUAAAAGUUUCUCAGUGCACAAAAAGCAUCAAUAUGGGCAUCAAGUCAACCAAACAAUCACUCAAAUGAAGUAGUUCUGGUGAAGUAAGAAGUCUAGUCUUGAAUCUUUAAUUGCAAAAACAAACUGUAAUGUUACAUUAGCGAUGGAAAGUUCUCUGUUUUGUUGUUCACCUUCCUUCCCUCUGAAGUUUUCAAAGAUUGCUUUCUUACUUUUUGGUCCUUCUGAGGAAGGUCUUGGUAUCGGAUGGAGCAUGGGCUUGUUUGCCCUUGCAGUGUAGAUCAAGAAUCAAGAAGGCAACUUUUAUAGUUGUGAAGUUCGAGAAAUCAGAGUUUCCCAUGUUUGAACGAGAGAGGAGAACAGGGCGGGCUUCGGCUUUGAACACUAGACCCCUAGUGGGCGUGCGUCGGGUUAUGGCUAGCUUACCCUCUUUAGGGUGCUCUUCUUGCAGGCUUCGUGGACCCAAAUAAAAGGCCCAACCAUUAGUUUAGAACUCUCCAGAGUGGACGUAGGGUGCGUUUGGGAAGCAUUUUGGGGAAAGUCUUUGGGAAAAUGCAAACUGUAUUUAGUAAAUUGUAGUUUGAAAGUUCUUUGUGAAGUAUUUUGAGCAAAAUGGUAUUUGGGGAAUUAUAUUUACAAAGGACUUUUGUGAUAAAAAAAAUUAUCAAAAGAAAAAUAAAAAAAAAUUAACCGGCAAGGGCAAGGGUCGGGAGACCCUCGAUGAGGGCUACCAGAUGUCGGGUGACCCUCAGCGAGGGCUGCCGAACGUCGGGCGAUCCCGCCGCGACCCAAAUCUGGGGCGGUGAGGGCUGCUAGACGUCGAGCGACCCUCGGCAAGGGCUGCUGGACGUUGGGCAACCCCGUCGCGACCCAGAUCCGGGGCAGAGAGGGUUGCCAGACGUCGGGUGACCCCGCCGCGACCUAGAUUCGGGGCGGAGAGGGCUGUCGGACGUCGGGCAACCCCGCUGCGACCCAGAUCCGGGGGUGGUGAGGUCGUGGGAGGACCUCGCCGCCUCCGGCUCUGGGUCGUAGUGGGGUCAUGCGACCUCGCCGCCCCCGGAUCUGGGUCGGCGAGGUUGUGGGAGGUCGCGCGACCCAAACCUUGCCGCGACCCAGAUAGGGUGGUGAUUGCACCACUCCCCGGCGACGGUCACUUGGGCCACCACGACCAUACUGAGUCAUCAGCGGCCGCUCACAGCUUCGAGCAAGCUGUCAGCAAACCUCAACCGAGAAGAAGAUGACCAUUACAAUGACGAGGGCAAAAUCGGAAAAUCAAGAAUAAGUGAGGAUGGUUUUGGAAGAAAAUUAAAAAAAAAAUGAAUAGUGCAACUUGUAUGCCGAAAAAGCUGAAAGCCCAAGGCACCCUCACACCUACUUUGGGCUUUCAACCUUGAGAAGCCAACUUUGGGCUAAUGGGAAUUUGAAAGUUGUUCCCAAAUACCCCAACUUUGGUCUAAGUAUCUUUGGAAGCCCAAAGCCCUUUGCAAAGCUAAUUCCAAACGCACCGUAAACAACCAAGAGAAUAGUAUAUCCUCUUCUCCAAAAGGGACCAUGAGAAUGCUCGGCUUUUUGGUUGAACUGCCCACAUUGUUGGUGUUGUUAGGGUCCCAGAUGACGGACAUACAUUGCUGGCCUCUCUGGGUCACGUGAGCAAAGGGUCAGAAACUGAGGUUGCCAGUGUCUUUGGUGGGUACUUGGCAUCGAUGGCUUGUUAUGGCCUAAUUUGUUGCCUUCUGCUACCGACUAAACUCUCCACUACAUUUUGGGGGAUGGUGCUAAAUUGGAUGUACUUUUGGGCUAGUGAGAGGAAAUCUUCCUCAGAAAGUUUAGUCUUACACCUAACAUUGGAUUUUUCAAUCUCAUUAAAUAUUUAUGGACAGUCCAGGUUGUUGCCUUUAUCUCUUGGUCAAAUCAGCCACUGAUACUCCAGGAUCAGUUUAGGAGAAGUAUGUCUGGAACUGGACUUGCAUGUCCCACCAAUCUCAAACGGAACUCGUGGGCAAACUGAGGUACCACUUUGAGGGAAACCGCAUCAACAUAUAGGACCCCUUAUCAAUUGAUGUUGGACAAUAUUUGAGUGGCAUGUGGAAAUAUGCAAUUAGGGAGGCAUGUAGGGGCCCAUAAAAAUUUGAACUUGGAACUUCCUAUUCGGAUAGUCAAAUCCAAAACUUAAGCUAUUUGGUGGAGAAAACCACAAGAAUAUAUAUAGCACAUGAGACCAAUUAUCAAGUAAUGUGUGACAAUAUUUCAACAACUAUGAUUUCACAUUCACGAGUGAACAUAGUGAAUUAAGGCACUUUAUACUUUCUAGGGACAGGUCGAUGUGAUCAGGGAAUGAUUUCCUAGACAAAAGCCUUUAGUAUAGGUCCAUGCAAAUAUUUCUAUUGUCCUAGUAAGAUAUUCUUUGUCCAGAGGAUUGGGUACUCUCGGUUCAUUUUCAUCGAGUUAUUCUUCAUGGUCUUGUCAAUUUCUAGUCUCCUUGGAGGCUAGGUGUAGUUCCCCACUUUUUUUGCCAUCAUUCACAUUGACCUCUCUAGGAACCACUUUUGAUUGUUUCCUUCUCCUAACAUUAGCAUCAAAGGCCUCAGAUUAUUCAUCCAAUUCUUUAUAAGACUUUAUCCUGAAUUUCCAAAAGGUCCGAGUGAAUCGAUCGAAAGGAUAUUCCUGCACACUUUCAUUAGGAGACUAAGACGGUGGGCUUUCGUCGCUUGGACCAUCCCUAGCUGGGGAGGCUUUUGCUGGGUUAGAACCCAACUUGUGAUUACUGGAGUAGCUGGCUUCACAAUGGUGAAGCCCAAACAUGCUUCCAGUACUUCGGCAAGACAUUCUAUUCUCCAACUGUGAUCGCCAUAAAAAAUGUAAGGUGGACUUUCGCAAGAUUGUGAUCACCAGAAACUCAAUGAUUUCAAUUAGUAAUAAAAGUCCAAGCGAGGGUGAUCGAUGACCAAUUAAAAUGUUAAAAUUGAGGUUGAAUCCAAAGUAAAUGAAUUCUAACGUGCCAUGAAGUCUCGAGAACUCUGAAAAAAUGUGAAUUACUAAUGAAGUACAAACUGUAGAUUGGAAACAAGGAAAUUGUAUUGUAAUUUUGUUGAACCAGAAUGGAUGGCUUACAUUCCUUGAGGCCAUACUUACUCGAUCACUAAAACUAAACAUAUACCAUUAAUGGCAUUCGCUAGGAUGCGUGGAGAAAGUAAAAAAAACUAACAAAACACAACAGGAAUGCUUCUAUAAACAACGACAAAUAUCGAAACUAGGAAGCCUAAUAUAAAUGAAAUUCAAAUCCCAAUUCAGGUUAAUCUGAUCUACUCUAAAUAACCUCCUCAUCUUCAUAUCUUCACAAUUAAUCAAAUGUGCUAUUGGGAUUUUGUGGUGCCUCCCGUUGAUUCUUCUUUUGUCUUUUAAAUGGACAAUUGCGUUAUACAUUCUAAUCUUCCUCCACAAGAAUCAUUAAACAUCUUCACUUGCACGCUGCUCUAGGUGAUUUGCAACUGCUCUUGAUUUCUUAGCUAUGGUUACUCACCAGUAGAUAAAUCCUCCUUAGGUCAGUCUUUAACUUCUAUGCAUGUUUCCAAUCAAUUGAUAGUCACCUAGUAUCAUGCAAUUGGCUCAAAUACUAUCAAUUAGAAACUCGUGAUCGAAGAAUUCAUUAGAAGUUUCAUCAAUAGGCUUUGUGGGUUAAAUGUAUUAUCAUGGCCUGAUUUGAACUUAAUUUGGACUGUUAACUUCUUCACGUUUGGGCCUAAAGUUUAGCUCCGAUUUCAACAUGGGGUCAACGGAAUAAAAAAGGAAAAGAAAAUUAAAUGCAACGUCUUUCCAUGCCAUCGAGAAUGAAGAAAGAAAGAUUGACCUCUAGGCUGUAGCAAUCGACAAGUGGGAAAUGACCAUUCCAGGGUGGAGGUGGCGGUUGGGUUGGGGGGAUUGAGAUACUUGAUGAAAUAUGUCCACGUCUAAUGCUGCACACUGUUCCUCAAGUAAAUCAACUUUUCCAUCGCAAAUUUCAUGCUAUUAAAGCCGUGAUUUUGGAAAAACCUCAAAUAGCGAUAUAAAGUGCCUUCUUUUUACUCAAAAGAGAAUUUGAAAUAUAACCCGUCUCAAAUAAACAUCCAAAAUAAUCAUUUGGUCUCAAAAAAGGAUCUAGCUCGUCGACCAGUUAACAAAUGCAUCUCCCAAAUGUUUGGUUAGGGAUAUUUUCAUCCAAAAAUAUUCUUUUUCAUUUUCCUUUACCCUGUUCAUCUUCUUCUUGAUCCCACCUAUGUUGUCCCUGCUCAUCAUCAUCUUCGUCAAUGUUGAAGACAGGCAUUGCCCGGAUCAAGAACAGCGGAACUCGUUGGCCACGGGCAAGGGCCGGCGAGGCCCCCCUUGCUAGAUCGGCAGCGAGCGAGGGCUUGCAGGCCGACCCUCUGGCAAGGGUGGCCUUGCCUGUGGCUAGCGAGGACCAUCACGGCCGGCGGGGUUUCUAGAGGUUUGAUGCUCGUGACUCCACGUCGCGAACGGAGAAUUCCCUCUGAAAGUUCGUUCCUUUUUCCUUGAAUGUAUCUGUACGUAUCUGUAGUGCGUCCUUUGUUGACGACUUGUCACUUACAUGUCUCUGUUGGGUCCUUACUGAAUGAGAUGGUUAGCUCGAUUUCUUAUGCCGCGGAGCUUUCUGCUCGUGACGUUGAUUGUUCGGUGGGAUCGGGGGUGGUGGGGGGUGGGCGUAUAGCAAUUCAGAGAAAUCAGAAUUUCCUGUAGUUCGAGGCAUGAUUUGUGAUCAAGGCGGGAGGUGCUCUGUUUGGUGAAAGAUGAGUUAAGCUGAAGCUGCUACUUUCGUCAAGCCGUAUGGCUAUCUCGUCUGUCUGCCGCGAUAGGAUGUCCCCCUCUCGCAGCUUUCAUUCCACUCAUUGCUUUCUGAGGGCCAGCGAGGGCCUGCAAGCCCUCGCCUGCUGUCGAUCUGAUAGGGGUGGCCUCGCUGGCCGCUGGUACCCAAAUUCAGUGUUCUUGAUUUGGGCAAUGCCUAUCUUCAAGAUCGACAAUAAAGAUGAUGAAUAGGGACAGGCAUGGGUGGAAUCAAGAAGAAGAUGAACAGAGGAAAAGGAAACGAAAAAAUAAUAAUUUUCGGAGGAAAGUACCUCUGACCACAUCAUUGGAAUAUGCAUCGAAGAUGCAUCUGUUCACCAGUUAGCGAGUCAAGCCUUCCUUGAGACUAAAUGACUACUUUGGUUCCUUAUUUAAGAGAGAUUCAAAGAGAGAUUCAACUUCAUGUCCUUUUUUGAGAUUAUGAGGGCACUUUAGGUUCCUAUUUGAGAUUUUCUCUAUGAUUUUUGUUGGCUUGUUUUGCUUGCCUUUGUACGAUGGUCACAUGCAAUUAGGCAUCUUGGCUAGUUGGGCAGAACCACCAUAGGGUACUUGGGUUGACAAUGCUCAAGUCGAAAUGUAGUCAGUAGUCCUCAUUAUAAAAAUUGCUAUGGACAAUGCUUGACUCUAAAAGGAGCAAGUGUCACUCUUUAUAAAAAUUGCCGACCAAUUGCUUGCCAUUUAGAUGUGCUUGGUUUCCAUGUAUUCUCAGCAACUAUAUGCGCCGUGAUUUUUGUCAUUUAUGUCUAAUGCUAUAUACUAUUUCUCAAGUAAAUCAACUUCUCCAUUGCAAGUUUUGUGCUGUUAUUGGCUUGUUAUGCUAGUCUUUGUCCGAUGGUCAUAUGCAAUUAGGCAUCCGGGCUAGUUGGGCAAAACCACCAUAGGGUACUUGGAUUGACGAUGCUUAGGUCGAAAAGUAAUCAUUAGUGCUCAUUAUAAAAAUUGCUAUGGACAAUGCUCGACUCUAAAAGGAGCAAGUGUCGCUCAUUAUAAAAAUUACCGACCAGUUGCUUGUCAUUUAGAUGUGUUUGGUUUCACUAUAUUAUCACGCAACUAUAUACAUUGUGAUUUUUUUGUCAUUUACGUCUAAUGUUAUACACUAUUUCUCAAGUAAAUCAACUUCUCCAUUGCAAGUUUCAUAAAGCUGUGAUUUUUGUUGGCUUGUUAUGCUUGUCUUUGUUUAUAACUUACUAUAGAUAGUUUUACUUUUAUUUUAUUUUUUUGGUAUGUCAUUGAGUUUGUGAGACUUAAUUUCAAUAUCAAUGGAACGAUCUUGCUGCUUGUCAAAUUUUUUUGUCAUUUUCAUUUUUUGGAUUUUGCUUUUACUUGAUGAUGUUGCUGGAAUGUCUGUGGUUGUAGCUAAGGUGCUAGUGUGGCUAGUGAUGUCUAGUAGUAGUGGGUCUAUUAUGAUGGUUUGGUUCAAGGCUUAUGCUGUUUCUAGUGCAAGUGUGCAGUGUGCACAUCUUGCACCAGGUGGUGCUGGUGCAAGGCUUGACUUGCAUCAACACCUUCUGCAGCAUACCCACAAUUAGUACAAUGGCUGGUGGUUGGGGUGCUAGUGUGGUGGCUAAUGGUGGUAGCUGGUGAUGCCUUGUGAUGAUGGGUUUGUGGUGGGAAUUCGGUUGGCAGCUCGUGCCGCACUUGGUGCAAAUGUGUAGUGUGCACAUCUUGUAUCAAGUGGUGCUGGUACAAGCUGUACCUUGUGUAGCAAACCCACAACCAGCACAUUAAUUGGUGGCUGGGGUGCUAGUGUGGUAGCCAGUGGUGGUGGUGGGUGAUGGCUGGUGGUGCUGGUGGCCAGUGAUGCUUGAUGGUAGUGGGUCUAUAGUAGGGGUUGGGAGCUCGUGCAACACUUGGUGCAAGUGUGCAGUGUGCAUAUCUUAUACCAGGUGGUAUUGGUGCCAAGCGGGUGCGAGACUUAGCUUAUAAACACCUUCUGCAAUAGUACACCACUAGCACAGUAGUGGCUAGUCAUGGCUCGAGGUGGUGGAUUGGGUACUUGGUGUGGUUGGUGGUGGUGGCUGGUGGUCGGUGGUGACCGAUGAUGGUGGUUGGUGUAAUUUUUAGGGGAAACCUACAAAAAAUGACACUUAACUGAUAACAUUCUAAAAAAUUUAAUAUUUAAGUGUUCACUUUUAACCAUGAGUGAUACUUAAGUUAUCACUUUAAUAAUAACUUGACAAUUAAGUGAUCUUUUUUUCAUCACAAUUAGUACUUAAGUGAUCACUAAAUACAACUUAUGACACUCGAGUAAUCACUCGUGUUUGUCCUAUGUAUAUGUUGGUUUGUAGCAAACCAGAGAAGCUGCUAAUUUAUAUUUAGUUCAACUUAUAUCAACUUCAUUCAAUUCAGUGUUUGCUGUUGGUUUACGUAUAUAUUCAGUUCAAGUAAAGAAGCUACCACAACACAUUAAAUCAAUACACAUCCAUCAUUGUUCGUUUAUAUUCAAGAACAAGUAAAAAUAUAGUAUGAGCAGCAUUUCAUUCACUCAUUCUCUUUUGUUGACCUCUCCACAAGCACAAGAAGUAACCCAUGAUAUAUAUGAUAGCACAAAGAAUAACAAAGCUACAACGAUCUUGUGGACAACACAAACUUCUUCUCAUCUUCCAAAAAAAUGCCUACAUUUGAUCCAAAAUUAUUGUAUUUGUCCACUGAUUUUCAACUAUGGUAGUCGAAGAAACUUCUCAUCUUUCAGUGCCUAACAUUUCAUCAUAAAAUAGGAUAGAUAACAAAAUAAUACCACAAUAAAGGCUUGAUAACAUUUCCGUUCAAUUGUCAUUCUUGAAACUUCAUUCUACAAAUGUUUAGCCGAAGAUGCUUGAGCUUGUAUUGAAUUAACAUCGUCCAAGUUGUCCAUGAGCGUAGAUGGAGGUUGAUGUCAUCCAUCAAGUAGAUUCGAUAUCACCUCUGUGGCUCGAUGAGAGAAUUUCACAUCGACCCAUUUGAAGUAUUUACACUUCGACCAUUCUCUAUAUCGGGCACAUUCAUAAAAUCUUCUCCCCAGAUUCAUUCGAGUCCAUGAUGUUCUUUUUGGACUCGGUAACCCACAAAAACAAAAACGCUUGCCUUCGCCUUCGCUUCAGUGAGAGGAAUUUGAAGCACUGCUAAAAAUCCUACUCUCUUUUUCAAGAUGCAAUGGUGAAAUUUUAGGCAAAUCGAAAUUAAGAUUCGGGAUUAGGGUUUGAACACUUCAAUAGGGAUUUUGGCUUUUUUUAUUUUUUAGAUUUGGGGCAAUUUGGGAGAUGAUGUUGUUUUGAUCGAUUUAGGGCUUUUAUUUCCGGGGGACGGUCCCGUCCUUCAUCUGGUGAGGGUACACACAGUUUAAUGAUGUACAUUCCCAUAUGGACAUAUGGUCUCCUAGGCUGGAUCUCAUUACAUGUUUUCACUAUAAUCAGACAAACUUCUCUAUCAAGAUGGUCUGUAACUAAAUAAGAUAUGAAGAGGAAGUUGCAUUUUCUUUCUCAUUCUUCACUGCAUACAUGCUAUCGUGAGGCAUGAGAAAAUUAAAGGUUUAGAGCAGUAAAAAAGAAGGAACAAUAAUCUGCAGCCAAGAAAGGAAUACUAGAUUUUCAUGACUAUUUGUCGCGACCAAUUUUUUUUCCGGGGUGUGAACCACCUAGGGUUUGGCUAAUAGAUUGCUAAGCCUAGACUUAACUCGGGCUCUCCCAAACCCAUAUCAAUUCGCGACUUAGAUUUAAAUUAUUAACAUGCAGAUAUAUUUUAUUUAGGAGUUGCCACUAAUCUAUUUUUUGGUGGGUCGAUUAGAAACUCCAGUAAAGUAACGGGAUUUACUUUACUCAUACGAACCAGAGAUUUGGGUACGGGGAUUUGAUUACGCUAGAUUUCUCUAACGCCCUNNNNNNNNNNNNNNNNNNNNNNNNNNNNNNNNNNNNNNNNNNNNNNNNNNNNNNNNNNNNNNNNNNNNNNNNNNNNNNNNNNNNNNNNNNNNNNNNNNNNCGCGUCAUGCCAUUAAAAUUUUAUCAUUUGUAUCGCUUUGUUGUUUUACAUAUCCUUUUCAAAUCAACCAUAAUAAUAUUUCAUAUUGUAACGUUAGAUCCUCUAUCUUAGAGCCCGGGCGUUUAUAUGCAUACGGAGAAACCAUGGAAUCGAAUCUCAAUGGAGUACGUGGAUCCUACUAAUAAAUGAAGAUUACUGAAUGUCUCUGAGAAUCUCAGGAAGACGACACUUGGCAAUGACCAAAUUUAGUGACGGAAUCACCCGACGGAGGUACUCAAGCUAAGUUAGAUGAAGAAUGACUGAAGCUGGAGCCACCACGAAUAGUCGUCAUUUGAGAGAAGAAGAAAAUAGAGAGAGUGAGUUAUCAGAGGUGAAGGAUCUGUUUGUUCUAUGAACUGAAAGAGAGAGCGCGUGAAGUCUGCAGCGAUAGGAGGUGGUCCAGUGUUGCUGGGCGACGAUGAUGUUGCAGCAGCUUAGGCGGUGACGCAAGGACGGUGAGCUGCGAUGAAGGUGAAGACGCAGUGAUGGAUAACCCACAUGCAUCUCUGAGACUGACGAAGGAAGAGAAUCAAUCAUUUUUAUAUCUCUCUAGUAUUUGAAUCACCAAGAAUUCUUUUCAAAAGUAUAAGUUUUUUAUGGUACCUUCAUUUCGUAGAAAACUCAAUGAUAAAAAGCAUUUUCGAAGAAUACAAUUAAUUUUCCAUUGUUUGGUAAUAUAUGAUCAAAAACGUUUUUUGAUAGUUGGAUCUCAUUAGAAAGUGAUUUUGAUAUUAUGACUUUAUCUUAGGCAAAAAAAAAAAAUCGAUUUUUAUUUUUUAUUUUUUAAAAGUUCGAAUUUUUAGUUUUUUUUUUCUUUUUUAAAUUCGAAUUUGUAAUUGGUUUUUCAAUGAGUUGUAAAAAGAAAGGGAGAUUAGUUAGAAAAGGGUUUUUUUUUACUAUACCAUUUUCACUAUUAUUAUUAUUAUUAUUAUUAUUAAUAUUAUUAUUAUUAUUAUUAUUAUUAUUAUUAUUAUUAUUAUUAUUUUCUUCUACUUUUUUCAAAUGUAGAUUUGGUUUAUUGACAAAUUUCUUUUGCCAACGAUGUUUUUUUUUUGUCAGUUCUAUGCUAUGCCUACUCCUAACACUCAUUCUCAGACUUUUUUCCCUGUCUCUUGCCAGGCGGGGGGAGUCGGAAACCCCCUUCCNNNNNNNNNNNNNNNNNNNNNNNNNNNNNNNNNNNNNNNNNNNNNNNNNNNNNNNNNNNNNNNNNNNNNNNNNNNNNNNNNNNNNNNNNNNNNNNNNNNNGGGCCUUUUCUAUCUUCCUUAAAUAGCUGUGAUACCAAUUGAUUUAAUUGCAAGAUCUAAUAGUUUUCGCUCUAUAUUGCAUAAUUGGUAUAUCAGCUGUCAAUAGCCAGGAGACUCUAACAAAUAAGUAUUUGGUCAAGAACUUUGAUCAACAACUCUUUUGCCUGAUAGCACAGGAGCUUCUUGGAUUAUAGCCACACAAGUGGUGCACUUUAUUGAACACAUUGGAGGUUUUCUGUCGACAUCCAAACUGAGUUGUUUCCAUCAAUAUAUACCAUGAGUUUGGGUGUAAUUUAGGACUUGGAAAAUAUUCAAACAAGUAAGGGCUUGUUUGUUAAUGUUUUUUUUUUUUUUUUUGGUAAAAGGUAAUAAUUCUGUUUGUUAAUGUUCUUUGUUUCUGUUUAUGAACAAAAUUUCUGUUUUUUUGUUUCAGGGAAAAAAAGAGAACAAAAACGCGUUUAUUUGCGUUUUUGUUACAAAUCUAUUUUUUUUGUUCCUAGGAACACAUUUUGAACAUAAACAAGAAAUAAGAAAAACGUGUUUCUUGUUUAUGGAACAAUUUUUAAGAACAAAUUUUCUCUCUCCUCUCUUUUUCUUCUCUUUUUUUUUUUCUUUUUUCUUUGGCCGGUUGCGGGCCUCGGCCAUGGCCGGCGACCGGCCGUCGAGGGUCGGCGACCUCGUCGAAGCGUCGCCGGCCCCUGGUGAGGCCGAGCGUCACCGGCCCCUGGUGAGGCUCGGCCUCACCUUAGCUGUGCGAGCUCGAGCUCGCUUAGAUCAGACAAGCCCGAGCUCGCCCAGCCAUCGGCGAGGCUCGCCGGCCUGGCGGUGGCCCGGGGAGGCCGAGCCUCGUCGGUGGCUAGGCGAGCUCGGGCUCACCGAAUCUGGGCUAGCCUGAGCUCGCCUAGCCAAGGCGAGGCGGAGCCUUGCGGGUGUGGGGCAAGGCUAGGAGAGCUCGGGCUCGCCGAAUCUGGGCCAACCCGAGCUCGCCCAGCCAAGGCGAGGCCGCCGGCCAAAAGAAGAAAAGAAGAAAAAAGAAAGAAAAAUAAAAUAAAAAUAUUUAAAAAUUAAAAGAAACAAAAAAAAAGAACACAAAUUUACCAAACGUGUUUCUGUUCAUUUUUUUAUUUUCGGAACAAGUUUAUCAAACUCGUUUUUUAUUCAAAAAUUGUUCCUUGUAACAGAAACAUUUUUUUCUAUUUCUGUUCCCUGAAACAAUUUUUAAACAGAAAUGUUACCAAACGCGUCCUAAGUAAUCAUAACUCUAUAAUUCUCCCAUUUAUUAAUAGAUUAUUUACAGUUGACUGUCCCCAUAGAGUAAAUACCGAUAUUCAGAUCGUCCCAUGCAGAUCUCUUCAUUUAUUUACUAUCCCCAUUUAUUUCUCCAGUAACUACGCGUUGAAUUAAUUAUGAGGUUCGAUAAUUUUUGCAUUAGAUUGAAAAACUGACAUCAUCACCUGACCAAUUCCGACGCUUGAAAUCAUUAAGCAAUAGAGACGAGUCCUUAGCACAACAAAAACUAUUCAGGAGGUGGCUCUUUGUAAGAGUCGCCCAAGUUUUCAAAUCUUAUAGAAAUAUCGUCCUUCAUCCUCCAUCAAGAUUGUGCCUCUUUGUCUGUAAAUAGGAGAGUUUUCUGGGGGACGGUCCCGUCCUUCAUCUAGUGAGGGUACACACAGGUUAAUGAUGUACAUUCCCAUAUGGACAUAUGGUCUCCUAGGCUGGAUCUCAUUACAUGUUUUCACUAUAAUCAGACAAACUUCUCUAUCAAGAUGGUCUGUAACUAAAUAAGAUAUGAAGAGGAAGUUGCAUUUUCUUUCUCAUUCUUCACUGCAUACAUGCUAUCGUGAGGCAUGAGAAAAUUAAAGGUUUAGAGCAGUAAAAAAGAAGGAACAAUAAUCUGCAGCCAAGAAAGGAAUACUAGAUUUUCAUGACUAUUUGUCGCGACCAAUUUUUUUUCCGGGGUGUGAACCACCUAGGGUUUGGCUAAUAGAUUGCUAAGCCUAGACUUAACUCGGGCUCUCCCAAACCCAUAUCAAUUCGCGACUUAGAUUUAAAUUAUUAACAUGCAGAUAGAUUUUAUUUAGGAGUUGCCACUAAUAUAUUUUUUGGUGGGUCGAUUAGAAACCCAAAUAAAGUAACGGGAUUUACUUUACUCCUACGAACCAAAGAUUUGGGUACGGGGAUUUGAUUACGCUAGAUUUCUCUAACGCCCUUUCGGUACCAUUUCUUUUAUUUUUUUUUAAAAAAAAAAGGUUUUGCAAGCAGCUAGAAUUGAUUUUAAACUAUUUUCCUAACAUGUGAUGUUAUAAUGCAGGUGCGCAAACCAUCAAUUUAACACCCAAGAAAGCAAUUAAAUAAUGCAGGACUUACCUCAAAGUAACGAAAGCAUCAAUAGCCUUAAAUUAAACCCACAUCAACAACCCUAGAUAUGAUUUCUAAUUAACACGCAAUUUCUUUUUUUUUUGUUUUCAUUUUUUAAUGAGACUAUAAUCCAUAUACAAUGCAAUGCUUUUAAUCUAAUAUGAAAUGAUAUAACAUGGCAACAUGUCCUAAACUAUAUGAAUAAAAUUUUUGUGAUCUCUUAAUCAACAUGCAAUUAUUAAAUAUGCAAUGACUUAAUUCUAAUGAGGUGUGAUGCAAUAUAAUGACAUACAAGAUUAUUUUAACUAAAAUGACAUGCGACAUACAAUUUAAUAUACGAGCUAUAUGUCACGCGACAUUUAUUAAAUGACCUAAUCUAAUGACGGACAAAUUCUAAUUAGAAAUGAACCUAACAAUAAUCACUAAAAUGACGUGCAUUUCAUGAACCUAAUUCUAUAUGACAUGCAAAUGACAUUUUUUAUUUUAAAAAUGUAAUCUAUCCUAGAAAUUGCAACUAAUUUAUCCUAAGACAAAUUUUAUGAAAUUUGAAAUGAUCUAGCUAGAUUAAGAUUCUAUCUAAUUUAAACUAGGGAUUAAGUCAUAUUAAAUCAUAAUUUAAACUAACACAUUAUCUAAAUCUAAAAUGCAAUUUAUCUAAAAAAGAUGAUCUAAAUUUAAAAUGAAACAUGCAAUUCUAAUCUAAUAUGCACAAUGAUUUUUUUGUGUUUUUCUUUAAGAAAUUCGAAAUUAAAACUAACACAUAAUUAAACAUGCAAUUCAAAUAAAAAACUAACAACCUAAAUGAAUGCACUUUCUUUCUUGGGUUAAUACCUUGAAAAAACCUAAACUGUACACCUGUGAUAAAUUUACCCCAAACUAUUUUUUUGACCACCAAAAACCCCAAACUGGUAUACCUUUGACAAAUUGACCUUAAACUGGUACACUUGUGACAAAUUUACCCUCUAUUAGUUUUAAUUAAAUUUUCUUGUUAAAUUAUAAAGUUAAAUAACACGUGAUAAUUGAUCGGUAUAUCAAUUUGGGAUUUUACACUAUGUUUGUCAUAGUUUAUAAUUUUUGUGAUUUUUUUGUGGUAUUAAUCUAAUUUUUCGGAGGGUUUAUUAGUCACAAAUUUACCAGUUUGGGGUUUUUGUGGUCGAAUAAAUUAAUUUGGAGUAAAUUUGUCAUAAAUGUACCAGUUUAGGGUUUUUUUUAUAGUUAGUCGGGGUAAAUUUGUCACAGGUGUACCAGUUUGGGGUUUUUUAUGGUCAAAAAAAUAGUUUGGGGUAAAUUUGUCACAAGUGUACCAGUUUGAGGUUUUUUAAGGUAUUGACCCUUCUUUUUUGGAUUUUUUUAUUUAAAAAUUCGAAAUAAGAUUGCAAUCCUAAAUAUGCAAGAUAAUAAAAACAAACCUAAUCCUUAUUCAGAUUUUUUUUUAUUUUCUUAUUUAAAAAUUCGAAAUAAGAUAGCGAUUUUAAACCUAAGACUAGGAAUAUUCUAAAACAAACUUAAUCCUAAUUCGAUUUUUUUGAUUUUUUUUCUCUUAUGAAAAUAAAAUUGAUCCAAACACAUGACAUCUAAUCAAGCAAGACAAUAUUAAUAUCCAAAAAGUAGCGAACCAUAUCUCGCGCAUGAGAUCGGGUUGGCUAAUUUUAAAUUAAAUCGUGAAUUGAAUCUCGGGCUUGAGAUUGGAUUGUCGAUUUUUGUAAGGGACUGGGAGUCGGAUUUCGAGCGCGAAAAUCGGACCGUUAAUCCCUAGCUUGAGGGACUUUUCAUAUUGGGAUAUCAAUAAUAUAUUAAUGAACAAUUCCACUAAAACAGAAUAUUAAAGAAAUAAUAAUAAAAAUAAAAAAAAUAAAAGAGAAACUACCUAAUAUGAUCUCUUUUUCUGUUUUUUCCUUUCCACACACAGCCGUGAAUCUCCAAGGGGAGAGAGUCGUCGGUCCGGCAAGAGGAACUCCGGCAAGGGUGAACUGGCGGCGACAAGCGGUGAAGAGGUGAAUCGGCGGUGGGCGAGCGCGCGGAGGUGAAUCGGCGGUGGCUUCGCGGACAGGGGCGUCGGAUCGCUGGGAGGUCGAGCAAAGGCAGAGGCAGCAGCGACGGGUUCGGGGCCUGCUGGCGUCGAGCGGACCACCGGGUCUGCAGCAGCGACUGGUCACGGACCGGCGCGGAGGUGCGGGCUACAGGGGACGCCGGGCCAUCGGACGGGCGUAUGGUGGCUCAGGCUCCAGAUCUGGAGCGGUGCUGCGAGCAGGGGCGCUGGGUCGUGCGGCAGUGGCGUCUGCGGAGCUGCGAGCAGAGAUGAAAGGCAGGGGCGCCCUGGCCCGGUGACGCUGCAACAGAGGGCGGAGCGGCCCUGGCGUCGCGGAUCGACACAGCGACGGCUUCGUCGGGCUGCCGGUGUCGUGGCUUGCGCGGGCGGUAGGGACCAGCGCGGCUUCAGCAGAAGACGGCGAAGGAGAUAGGCACUGGAGUAGUAGCAACGAACAGGGCAGGUAACGUCGGGUCGUCGGGGCAGAGCAGAUGCGUGCGGCAGCAGCUCGGACCACCGGCAAAGGGCGUCGCGGGCCAAGAAACUUCAGGUGCAGGCGUAGAUCGGAAGCGGGGCCAUCUGGUGUGGUGGCGCGGUGAGGCGGCGCCGCGGGCGGUCUGAGAUGCGGUCGCUGGACGCCGGGCGCGGCGGUGCUCACAGCUGCGGAGGCGCGACGGAUCGGACGGCGAGGGAGUCCGAGCGGCUUGCGGUUUGAUGGCGUCGGCGCAGCGCGGGCGCGGGUGAAGAGAAGCCGGCGACCGGGACAGCGGAUGGGGGCAGCGAAUGUGGGGAAGAUGAUGAAAGGUAAAUGUCCAAUCACUUCCUCCCCUGUGCUGCUUCUGCUUUUAAUUUUCACUUUCUUUCACUUUUUUUUUUCGCUUUUGACCUUUUCCCUUCGUCGAAAGCACUACCAAACCCGAAGGAUUCCGGCCCCACCGAACGCCGAUCAUGCUUCAGGGGUGUCUAGGACUCGUACCAUUUUACGGUCGCCUAAACGGGGAUUUACCUUCUAGGACUCUGAGUCUGUCUCGGAGUUUGAAUCUGAGUUUGAUCACAAAAAUCUUUUUAUUCUCCUUAUCUCCUAAAUAUUUUCUACUGAUUUUUAAAAUAAGAUCACAACCCGAUUUUCUUAAAUCCCAAAAAUCAUUAUUUCAAAUCUCAAUUUCAGAAAAUGGGCUUGGGCUAACUUGUAGUCUUUAUGGGCUUAGUCCGAUCAAUUUGAAUCCAUCCGCACCGGUCCAAUAAAUAAAAUGCACCUAAAUCUAUAUGCUAUAUAAUUAAUAUUUUUUUGAUAAAAUUAAACCCUAAUUUUUAAUGACUAAACGGGCUGUUAAAAUUUAGGUGUCAACAAUAUUCUCUGCUAGAACUUCAGGACAUGCUAGAACUUCAGGACAUGUAUAAUGAACUUCCUGUCAAGAGAUCUGUUUUUCUUCAUUCUAAGAACCAUUUUACUAAAAAGUUCCACAUGUAUUACAAGAACGUGGACUACCUGUAAAAUAUAACAACAUACAAUUUUCACUCAAACUGUAUCUGCGACAAUGAAGUGAGGAUUCAUUUCUUCUUGCCUCUUCCUUUCUUAUUUUGCUUACCUUUGGACUUGCAAUUGCCCUUGUUCUUGUUCCGGUUUUCCACACCGCCAGUCUGGGAAAAAGAAGAUGAUGAAGCCUCCUGAUCCUUCUUCACUUCACCGGCUUUUUCAGCUUCCCCAACUUUGCCCCUCUCUUCCUCAUUUGCUAAGCCCACUUCUUGUCCCGGCAAUGACGACGCAUUUGCACCAUCCGAAUGCACAACUGGUACUACACUGUCGGAAGAUGAAGAGGAAUCCUUGGAAAAUUCAGUCAGAUCUUGCAACUUGCAAGAGCUCUCAGCACUUCCAUCUUUGGGGAAUAGAACUUUCAUAAUCUCUUCUUUGCAUUUGUGCGACUUCACAUCUAAAAUGAUGGCAUGUGGACAUUUUGAACAAUCUGAAGCAGAAUUGGUAAUUACAAGGGGAUCAUCAACUUUUUCGAAUGCUUCAGCGAGAACACCCACUGAAAUUUCCUGUAAGUUGGGCCUCCGGCAACGUGAAAGAAUAUGAUGAAAUUCUGUAGGUGUUUGCUCAGAAAUCCAACUCUUACCGAGCAAAUCGAAGAGAAAAUGUGGACUGAUGCCAAAAUUCAGGUGAAGCAAACAAACCAAAAGAACCAACUUCAAGACCAACAACGGGUAAUACUCCCUCACAUUUAGGUUCGAAUUUUUGAUCCAUUGUCUGGUAUCAUCCUUAUUGUGAAGAAGGUCCGCAACGGUCCUUGUAACAAACUGAAUGAUGGGCUCCAAGCAAUUUCCCAGGUUAAAACUGAAGCUAGGCUUUGCUAAACCUUCAUGGCAGAUGAGCCAUUCAACUAGAGAAGAUUUCGUUGUAUAAAACUGCCCUUUGGAGCAAGCUAACAAAAUCACAAGUCGUUCCAAGAGAUACAAAAAACAAAUUGGUGUGAUGUAGUCUCUUUCAGUCCUCCAAUUGGCAUUGUAAGCAUCUGCCAAAGCUCGAUAAAGCUUCCAAGCCAAAGAGAUUUCCAUAGGUCCAUCACUCGCCUGAGGAAGGUCUGAUGGUACAUCCCGACAAAUGCAUUCCAUGAAUUCCUCCCAUGGCGUAUUUCCUUUAAAUGAUUUUGCUAUUUUUCCGUACAAAUCAUCGUCGAGCAUUCCAGACCCAAGAACCAAAGUCGCAAGCUCACCCAUCUUCCCAUGUGAAAAAUGCUUCUUCGAAAUUAUCAUGUUCAUUGUUUCUCUCAGUAAAUUACGAGAAGCCUCACUUCCUCUCAGAGAUACCAUAUUCUCUGAUGACGAUAUUCUCCAGUCAAGUGGAAAUAUGCGACCAAAGUACCUCGCACUGGAUGUUUCAAUGAAUCUAUCCAGUGCCUUACCAUACUGGAACGAGUGAUUCGGACAAAGUUCUUGAAGGAACUUGGCAACCUCAUGUAAGAUAGCAAGACAUCUGCUUUGCCAGAAGUUCGACCGAGAACUCUUCGCCAAAAAUUGAUAAAGAGCAUCCAAUUUGUGCAGGAGCACCAUACCAACAGAAGUAAGCUCACAAUACCAGUACUUUUGAGCUGCAGAGACCAAUUGUCUAAGAUCCAAAGCAACCAAUUGUCCUUUUUUGUGAAGAGAUCUUUUAUCUAUGUUUCUGACCCAAUCAGAAUCCGGGUUUAGAAGGUGAUAAGUUAUUUGCAUGUUGUUCUGUUGCUCCAGAACACCAAAGUAAUUCAAACAGAACUCCCAACACGACGUAUUUUCCUUUCCCACCGGCAUCUCCACACAUCCUACACUCUCUAUAAUUCUAACAAUUUUCUCUCUCCAAAGAUUCCAAAAGCAGACCAAUGAGUCAACGGAAAUCUGAUUCUCCAAGGUCAGUUGUUCCGAAUAAUUCACUGGGUCCACAAGCCAAUCAUAAUCCCAACAAAAAUUGGAGAUAUUUUGACGCAGAUGGAAGUCCAGAAUAUUUCGAGCGCACAGUAUUUCACCUCUGACACUUCCAUUUCUACUGGAAGCACUCAAAUGUUCUUUCAUUUGAGCCAAACUGUUCUGUUUAUUUAACAAAAUGCUUGAUUCUACAGAAACAUAUUCAUAGAAGGCAAUAGGCUCAGGCUCUGCGAGAAGUUUGGCUUUUGAUACCAGCUCCUCCUCCUGUGCAAACUGCUUCAAGGGCCACCCUUUGCUUCCAGGAGCCCAAAGGGAAUAGAAUAGUAUGUACCACAGGAUAUUCAUUGACGCUUCUCUGUUUUUUCCGCUCUUCCCAAGUAGAUCAACCUCACGAAGGAUGUCACCUUUCAUCCUCACAAUCUUCGCUGCCUCCAAAAAGUUACCGAACUCUUCCUCCAGACUUAUAAGUUCAUCAAGGCAUCCAAGCCUCUUGAGCAAAUUUCUCAUUGAAUCGAUGCAAUGAAAAGCCUUCACAUACUUCAUCAUGGCCCUGUAGUCUUUGAGGUUGUAGAAAUGUAGGGUACAACUCUCUAAAAAGUCCUGUUCCAAUUUCUCUAUUUCUUUACUCUUCUUCUCAGUUCCCUGCCUUUUCCAAUCCUCAAUGUAUCGCAGACCAAUUUCAAAGAGUUUUCCUUCAGCACAAAUGGACAAGCACUUUGAGAAAAUAUUUGCCCUUGCAUAUGCCUCCGCUGCAAGACUGUAGCACCGUGCGAGAGAGAAACACUCUCCAGCUUUCUCCAAAGCAGAUUCUCCACAUUUAUCCAUGUAUAUUUUACCUGUUGAAGCAUAAACAAAUUUGAUGUCAGUCUCAUUUAUAGAGUGCUGAUGCUCAGAAGAUAAAACAUAGCAAAGGGACAUUUGGAAGCUGCCAGACGUCCUUUUGUUUGUACAGCUCAACUCUGUACCGCUCAACUAUAUUCUCCAAUGUCAAAAGAUGAAACGGGAUCAACAUCCGUAGGUGGCUACAAUACCAAGAAGUUUUUGACAAACCAUAGUCCACAUGGAGCUUUUUUAAACAUAUAGGUCUGAUCAGUGUUAAGAACUUAGCAGCUCAAAUUUUUCCAAACUGCUGAGAGUGCAGAGACAGGUUAUCAUAUAGAAAAUAAUCAACUUUCAAGCCAAGACAUCGACCAUGAAGUCAACAUUAGUAGCGCUUGCUCAAAAUUCACCAAAAGCAUUUGGAAAUUAACAAGUGAGAUCAAACUACUUUUUUUAAAUAUUGAAAGAGGAAAAUCAAUUAAACUGGUAAACAAGAGCGUACCACGCAUGUGGAAAACUAGAUACAGAAGAAUGCGAAGUCAAAUUUCCUCUUUCUUAGGCAGCUUUGACAUAGCUACUACAAGAAGAAAAGUAACGAUGCAGCAUAUCUCCACCUUAUCAUUUUGAAAGAAAUGAAAAGAAAAAUGAUACCUGCCAUCUCAUAUUCCUUCAACAUGUAGAAACACUCUGCGGCAGAGUCGGCCAUUCCAAUUGUUUCAUAGAUCUCAGCAGCCUGCCUUCGAAGGUCAGAAGCCUCUUGUGGAUUUGAAAUGUGCUUGAGAUCUGCAUCUGCUUUGAAAGCAGAGGCCUUAGCUAAUUUCUCCCCAUAUGUGUACCUUGCUCGUUCAAAGCACAUUAUUGCCAUUGGGUAGUUACCCUCACGUAAGAGCUUGCAAAGUUUAAAAAAAAAAGAGAUCAAUAGCUUCUUCAGAGGAGGUGAAAAGAAGAAAAGAAGAAAAGAAGAAAACAUAGUCCUCCCUCAUAAGGAAAAAUCAGUGCUUACACCAAAACAAUGCACUGUCAUUGACCCGAUAACCUCAAAUGAGGAAAAAGAUCAUAGAAAUAUUCCUAUCAUAUUGUUUAUCCAUUGUAUGUCUAAAUGAAGUAUUAGCCAAACUAUUAAAAAACCAAAAAAGCUGGCAUAUUGAUCACCAUAUUUGUACCAUAGAACGUCCACAUUCUACACACUUUUUUUUCUUUUCAGGAUCAGUCAUACUUUUGCAGUCACUAUGGUCAUUCCAAAAUCUCUAGCAUUCACAGAUCAUGUUGACUCCAAAUGAGGCGAAAACAACAAUUCCAUGAAGAGGAAACCACCAAUAAAGAAAAAACAGAAAAACAGCAAACCUUAAAACCUUGUAACUUCCACUCCUCCGGCGUGCUCCUGACCUGCAUUGCUUCUGCAAGGGCAUGAUCUACCAACCUAACUUGAAUGAGGCACUUCUUCUUCCAGUAGUCUAGAAUUGGUUUGGAGAACUCCAAGGCAUUCUCACAAAUCCACAAUCUUUGCCUUGUCCGAGUAAUUGCGACGUACAAUUGCUUCAAUUCAGAGCAUAAUAUAUUGUGCUUCGCAUCAUCAAAACUUGGGGAAGACCAUUGAGAGCUGUUAUCGAGCAAAGCGUGCUCCUUCAUGUAUCCAUAAAUGACCCUCCAUUGACUUUUCAGAGGUGAUGUGCCAAAGAAGUUGUACAACAAGACGUCCUAUACAAUGCCACAGAAAAAAAAAUUUCAGGUAAAAACAUCUGAUUUAUGACCAAAAUGACAGAUUUCAAGUUUCGUGAAUACAUGAACAAUUCUAAAAAAUUUAGCAAAAAAAUUCUGGACUCAUUUCAACACACCAGCCUAUCAAGAACAGCCAUAAAGUUGCAGGAUCGUUGAUAUUGUCUAUUAACCUAGAAGAUGAUAUUGACAUGAGCCCAAACAAAUUCUACGUUAUGAGUAUCUAGAUGCCAUUGUCUACAUACAAAAAAGGGUAUAGUAGAAUGAAAAUGCCAAUCCAAACUUUUUACAGAGUACCAGCUUGCAGCAAAUUGGUCAUGAAAUCUCUAUUCUGCUACUAUUAAUACCCCAUGGCAAACAAUCCAACCUGACCCACACCUACCUGAAAUUCCAACCCCUUGCACUCCACUAUCGUCAGAACUAGCGCUUGCCCUCUCACGAGGUUUGAAAUUUCACUUCUAGAGUGAUCAUCUCGAACCAAAAUAACCUGCUCUGCUCCAAAGCCAACAAAAUUACCACUAAAAUCACAGUUGCCAAAAAUUGAUAGUAUGGCAUUUUCAUCAUUCUCUGAUUCAAGUAAAAUUGGGGCUUCCCCACAUAUAAAGCUAGUUUCAGGGCUUAAAGCAUCAACGGAUAAGGGGAAAAAAUGGUAAAGAAGAUCAACAACACUCUGCGCCAGUUUGAGUAUACCAGCAUGAGUGCGGAAGUUUUGGCUCAAAUGGAAAAUUUUGGAAAGACAUCCCUUUUCCAUUCUGAUAUCAGGUCCAUCCAUUGAAUCCAUCAAGAACUCCUUGUAGAAAAGGGACCUUAUGUCUUCAAACCUGAAGUCUAUUCCCCUUGCAAUAGUUUGUGCAGUGUCACCAGAAAACACAAAGCCCCCAUCAACGUUUCUACAGAUAUACUUGAACAGUGAAAUUUGCCUCAUGGUGAGAUCCUGCACUUCAUCAAUAUAUACAAAAUCCACCACGUUACCAGCAAACUGCCCAUGAAGAAGACGGCAAUGAAGAUCAUUGACAAGAUCGGCCAAAUCAAAUUCACCAUUUUUCAUUUUCAUCUUUUCAUAAUCCUCAAAAGCAUCAUAAAUUUCUUCUCUUCUCUGAAAACUCAGAGUGGAGACACGACCCUCCGAAAUAGAAACAUAAGCUGGUCUGUCAAGUUUGCCUUCACAACCAUCUGCUGGUGGAAGACCACCCUUUACGUGGGACAUUAUUUCAGUGAAGACUCUGGAAGGAUCAAGCCUCCUCCUUAUCUUGUCAUUGAAGUGAGGCCAAUAAACAGCACAAAACUUUUCGUAAGUAACUUCCUUUGCUCUUAGAAGACUUUGUAAGGCCACUGGUCUAGAAUUGAAGGAUUGGCCACGACAAAGAUCCCUUAGAUCGGGGAACCUUUCAAAGAAUGAAACCCCCACAGUUCCAUCUAGCAUCAUCAGAAGCUUACGAAAAGUUAUAACAAGGGGAUAAGAGUUGGGAGAUAUGUCUAAAAAUGAAUCCGGGAUAUCCUUGAAUAAUGCUGCAUCAUCAACAAUCUCAUCAACUGAAGAGCUUUUAACUUUAUGUUUUGCACCACUGCUGGAGCUGCAGGAUUAAUGAAGCCAGCAAUUAGAAAUGGAAAUAUAUAGUUUUAACAAACUUAUGGGAAUACCUCCACUACACAUGCAAUCUCAUAAUUGCUACUUUCAGGUAACUAACAGCAAAAAGGAAAUUAGAAUACGCUGAUGCACCAAGGUUGUAAUGAUAUACUAUGAGACACGGAUAGCGUUUACAUCCGCUGGCAAUAAAAAUUUUCCCCCGCAGCAAGAUUUGUAGAACGCAUGGUCCUUUCUCGAUUCUGGUUAUAAUUGCACAAGUUCUAAAAAGGACGAUUUUCUUUUUAUAUGUACAAUGCCUACAAUCACAAAAUUUAAUGUGAAAGUUUCCAAUAAAAUGGUACUGCAAACUAAAUAAGUGGCACGAAGACCAAAAUAAGGAAUAUUGCUGCACAAACUAAUGUUUAGUUUCAGCAAGAAGAAGAUGUCAAUCUCUAACAUGCAAUGAUUAAAUCUAUUUUCGAGCUGCUAUAUCCGAGUGGUAGCACCCGAGCAUGGCAAAGUGCUGAUUGCCACAUGUUGACCCACGCGCUCUUGCCACAUGUUAUAUUUCCUAUAGAACUCUAUAAAAUGAAGUAUCUUGGUUGUGCAAAUAGUAGCAUGCCAAAGGGGUUAUCUCCUUCUCCCGACUAAUUCUCCCGACUAAUUCAUAAAAAAAAAAAAAAAAAAAAAAAAAAUGACAAUCCAUUAACCCUUGCAUAUGUUUGUUCAUUGUAAAAAUUGCAGAAUAAUUAUUCUAUUGUUCAAACAUCUUCCCAUGACAUUUUACGUACCUUCUAAGUUGAGAUACGUGCUGUUUAACCGCAAAACAUAAUUUUGCACUGACAGUCACAAAAAGCUGGCGCAAUACACAAUCCUCUGCUCCUUCACUUUGGAUUUCCUGAAAUCCCUUGGUUGCUUCAUCAUGCAGUUUCUCAUUUCUAAACAACUUCAUUGUCAGGACUGUAGUUUUACCGGUUCCAGAUCGCCCAAGUAUAAAAGUGCUUCUGGGAAAAAGAAUUAUCUCUUGUUCUUGCUCUGUUACUUCAAACGGAAGACUUGCUUCAUUACCAUCACUGUCAUCGAGCAAAUUUCUGACAAUAUCUGAUGAUAAGGUGUAGAAUUUCAUUAGAAGCAAACUCUCGCUCACUUUCACAUUCUCCACAUACAACCUACGAUCUGAAGCAUCAGCAUCAGAACUACUCCCAAAUUGACCUUCACUAGCACUUCGAUAGCAGACAAAAUCGAAAGUACAUGCCCAGGUCUUCGGAACUUGCAGAUCCCUAUAACCAGAAGAGGCAUGUGAAAUGAAAGAAAAUAGGGGGAUAAGAUCAAUUCAAGAUUUUAGUCAUCUAUCCGGAAAAGAAUGCUUUCUAAUUUAGUAAGAGAUGUGCUACCUAUCUUAAGAUAAGAAGAAAAGAUCAGACUUACCCCUCAAUGCAUUUCUCAUUGCAACGACUAAUAAAAUCAUCACUAUAUGUCUCGAAUAUGCUGUCCAAACGUUUGACCAAUUUUACCACAUCCUCUAAAGGCAAUACAUCCCAUAUCUUCAGGAUUUGGAUGUAUCUCAGUUCCUUUACAAUAUCAGUCGUGCAUAUGACAUAGAAACCAUCAGCUUUGAAUUGUCUUACGAUAUGAGAUGAGUGUUCACAAAUUAUAUCCACAUUUCUCUUCUUUGGUCUCCAGCCACUGGAGAGUUUUGACAGAAGGUUGAUGAUGGACAUCUUUGUCCUGAGUGAUGCCAGCUUUCUGAAAGACUUCAGGAAGUUGUCACUGAAAAGAACCUGAUAAGAUCAAAGAGUAACAAUAACAUACGUUGUCACAAGUUCUAUAAAACUCAAUGCUUAUUUUGAAAAAUAAAUGUAGCCAUAGAAUACUGUUGAGCAAAGUUUUUUACCUUCCACCUUGCAUUUCUGAAAAGUACACUGCUUCUGUCAAGCAGAUCAUCAAGCUGAUUAUUCUCUUUCUUCACAUCUAAGAUGGCUUUAGCCAAAUCCUUGUCAUCAUCAACAUUGAAGAAACAUCCACGACUCUUUGCAUUGUCAACCACAGCUUUCCACACAGAAUCGCUUUUCGUCAGUGUUUUCCCAUUUCCCAGAAUCCACAGACAAUACCUAUAGAUAGGAAAUUAACUCAGGGAUUUACUUGCUAUAUCACCCUAAAAAUGUAAUUUGACACAGUUAAGAGGAUAGAGUACCUGGCCCUGGUAAGAGCAACAUUGGUUCUCUUAGUACUGGACAAGAACCCAAUAUUCCCACGCGAGUUUGAUCUUACAGUGGAUAUUAUAACAAUGUCUUCUUCACCCCCUUGGAAUCCAUCCACUGACUUCACCUUGACCAUAAAGCCCUUGAUAUUUUCGAACUUUUUUCCAAGUUUAGCUAGAACCGCAGCAACCUGAGCUCUAUAAGGAGAUAUGACACCUACUGUCAGAUCUUCUUCUGACCCAUUCCAAGCUGCAAAGAAAAUAAAACCAUCACUACAGUGAUAUUAUUUUUGGCGGGGUGCAAAACUUCGAAAGAAACAUCUUAGGAAAAGAACUAUUAAUGGGCAUCAUAAUCUACACCUAUAUGAUUAAGUAAUACAUGCAAAAUCCAUGAGCUCAAAGCAAUACAUAUAAAAUUCUCUUGACAUACCUCUGUACAGAUUCCUCACUAUCCUCGAGAUAACUUCCACCUCAACAGGGUUUCUAAGGCUACAGCCAUCAUCACCGAUUUGUUCUUCUCCAUCAGGAAUAUUUAUGAAUGAGUAAGGGCCAAACAUCGGCCAUGGCAAACGACUUUUUCUGUAACUUUUGCUCUUCACAUUUGGCCCAUCCAAAAUUUGUUUUUGAUAAAAUUUUGAAGUCGGAAACAGACUUAUUGAUGGAUGCAUCCGAUAUUGUAUAUUGAGAAGUUGCCUCGAAUAACCAAGUGAACUCAAUCGUUCAAACAGACUCCUUCCAAAACCAGCCUGAUUAGAAACCUGUGAAAAGAAAAAACAUGAUAUCAAAUUCAACAGGCGUUAGGUAUAGAUAAUUUAGCCCAUCUAAGCUCAAAUGAAGAGAAGGAGAUUACAAAUCUUUCAAAACCAAAUACGAAGUUCCGUUUCAGAUAUUUUAACAUUACCUUGCUUUCGACCAUAGCAGGCAACUGACACUCAUCUCCAACUAAAAUCAGAUGCUUGACACCAGGGAGUUGCAGAGGAAUUACUGACUCGCAUUCUUUCAACUGGGCUGCCUCAUCGAUUACCAGUAAAUUGAGAGGCUCCAUCUCCACAGAGUACAGCUUAUAUGAACUAGAAGCUGUGCAAAAAAUCAGGGAUGCAUGUCGAUAACAGAAGUUGGCUAUCAUGUCCUCACUCACAAAGUUUGGAAGUUUUAGAUCCUUCAGAGUUUCACGAACAGUUAGCAACAUGGAAAGGCAUUCCUGUCUCUUCAUAUAUAUAUCAUAUAGUGGACCCAUGGAUGUCUCAAACGAAAACAGGCCAAGUUCAUCACGUGAAAGAGUUAUCUCCAUCAUCUCUGAAUCCAACUUCUCUCCACAUAAUAAAGAUUCAAAAGAAUUAAGCAAGUUAAAGAGGGAUGUAAUAUUCUGGAAUUUAGUUCUGGAUAUAUGAGUACAGAAAGUAUAGAGGCAUGCCCGCAGGGGCCGGACAGUUUCCUUGAAUUGGUCCCUGAAAAACUCAAGAAAUGAUUUAAGCUCACAGUUACCAUCUUCUUCACUGCUUCUGCCUUCGCUCCUAUCAUCAUCACUUCCUAGUUUCCUUCUUUUUGCGUGUUCGUUUUCCAAAAAUACGCGGUAUUGACAGACACAGUCAGCAAGAGUAUCUAUCAAGGAAGUUAGACACUGAUGCCAACCAGUGAAUUCAGAAAUGCGCUCUACACGAUGUUCCAAGUAUAUAUCUUCAAUGUCGGAAUCAACUUUCAGCCGCUCCUUGUUCCCAAAAAUAAGCGUGUCUCCAAAGUAACAGGGCAAACUUUCCAUUUCAGUGCUUAUACCACUAUCUGAUUCCUUUAGCAGCUUCAGAACACGAGUUGCCACUUCCUUGAUGGCAACAUUUGUAGGAGCACAAACAAUGGUUCUAUGUUUCCUUUUCAAGAGAGUAAGUAGCAGUGUAGCGACGGUUUUAGUUUUCCCAGUUCCAGGAGGACCCCAUAUCAGGUCGACAGAUGGCUUGUUCUCACAAUGGAGUUUACUGAGACAGGCCCCAACUGCUUUUUUUUGGGAUUCAUUCAGAUCAUGGCUCAAUCUCUUGUCAAGGCUCUCACUCUCAGAACCAUUACCUUCAGUAACACAGAGAUUAGAAACUUUAUCAGCCUGCAACCAAAAACAUAUUUCUUGUGAUAAUCCAGACCAUGUAAAUAUGGUAGAAGGUUCUGAAACUUAAUCGGUGUUAAUAUGACAUAAAGAGCAUUGCACAACACAAACUUAAAUCCCGUGAAAAAUAUAGUAUAGAAAAUUUUAAGGUCUAGUACCAAUGAGUAAGUUGCCUCCAAGGAAGUAAUUUGCCCUAUUUAAGACAUAAUUCAUUCAACUCCAUAUCAUGAAAUGGACCAACUAAAAGAAACAAUCAUCCUAAUCUAUUGAUGAAACAGUAUGGCUUAAAGCAACAUUUAUGUUAUUUUCCUAAUAAACUUACAAAUCGACAGGAAUAAAAUGAAGCUUUGAAGCUUAGAGGAAUAUAAUAGCAAUUUUAAGUCUAAAUGGACCAAAGGUACAGAAAAGGAAAGUCAUACCACCAAAUCUGUGCAGAGAACUUCCUUCAAAAUAUCCAAGUUACGAUACAUAUGCAACACCUUCCAUAUCCUUUUGUUAGUGACUAUAUUUAUCAGGAAAAUUGCAUACAUUGGCUUCCACGAAUUAUUUACUUCAAGGUUCAAUAAUGUCUCCACUUCAAAGUUUGUCGAUGACGUUGCCUCAUCCUCUUCAUCAUCUUCUCCAAUCAUCCUAACUAAUGCGAACGCCCAUCUUCUUCCGAACCUCUCCAAGUCAGGAACAGUUGCUGGCUUAGCAUCAGUUAGAAUCAAGAUAUCUCCAGGCAAAGUUUUGUAAGUUUCCUUGCCACGAGUAUUGGAUUCAUUCCACCGACUGGCCUUAACAGCAUACGAGUUCCCACUUCCCGCGCUUUCCACACAUUCAAUAAUCUCAGUGAAAGGCAGCAAAGAAAUAUUUUCCAAACUCGAGCACAGACUCGCCCGGGUUUCUUCCAGUAAAGGGUAGACGUACGAUCCGAGAUAAUCCUGGACCGACUGAAAUUGAUCCGGUAUAGUCUCCACCUACAAAAACAGCUCGGCCAAUUGUCAAAUAUGACCAACCAACCUUGACAUUUCAAAAAAUACUUUGACCAAAUUCCGUAAAACAUAACAUGUACUCCUAAAAUACCGAACGAGCUUGCUGAACAUAGUAGAAGCAUAAAGGGUUCUAUUCUACUAAGUUGAAUGCAAGAUUCUUAUAAGGCUAGGCUUAUUAAAAGCACAAUCAAACAAAAAAAAGGAACGAACUAGCAUCAUUGGAAAAUUCCCAGGUAAACACCACAUUGUCGUUGAACUUAAACGAGAAUAAAACCAAAAGGGCAUGACAAAAGGGAAAAAAAGAAGAAGCAAAGAUGAGGGAAGAAUAGAGAGAAACCUGGUCAUGGUAGAGGUUUUCGUUGAGAAUGUCAUGAAGAGACCAAGAGGAGACAAUAUCAGUCAGGUCAUUAGUACCAUGUCUCCUCCUCCUGCUCAAACCACCCUCAGCUAUCUCCACACCCACCACUCUGUUUGGGCUUCCUCCCAAACCCAUCUGAACCCACGUACCAAAAUCUUCUACUUGUUUCUUUCUCCCCUUUUCUUGCCCAUCAAAGCACCAGGGAAAAAUCGCUCUGAGGUUUCAAGAAACUUUCGAGGCAAAAAUUGGGCAAAGCUUGUACGGACAUCAUCAGCCCUUUUUUAGCUCCGAAGUGAGCAUUCUUAGCGACGAAGAAGAAUGACACGGGGAAGGCAAAGGGGUCGUCCAUGGACUCUUAAAAGAAGCAACUCGAGGUCUUUUCGUCAACCCACCAUUCGAGGUCUACGGAAGGCGAAAAGAUGGGGCUGGGUCUUCCUCUCGUCUUCCGUACACGGUCUGAUGACUUUCUUUACUGCCCAGGUGCAUGUAAAGAUUCCCGCUUUUCUCCGCUUUUUUAAUGUUUUGAUUUCUUGCAGCCUAAGCUUCGUCGACUGUUUUAUAUCGGAAGCGUAUCAUGGCAUGAGUGAAGUUAAUUUUUUAAGAUAUUAAAAUUAUUUGUUGAUACUGAAAUAAUAAGUAGAUGAAAAAAAAUUGAGCAUUCUUAGCGACGUAGAAGAAUGACACGGGGAAGGCAAAGGCUACCAAAGGAGGCGAAAAUAUGGGUGUACCUCGCUUCCGAACACGGUCUAAUGGCUUUCUUUACUGCCCAAAUGCUUGUAAUGAUUCCCGCUUUUCUGUCCGAAAGGUAUCAUCGCAUGAGUGAGGUUAUUUUUUGAAGAUGUUAAAAUUAUUUGUUGAUAUUGAAAUAAUAAGUAGAUGAAAAAAAAAAAAAGAGGAUAAAUCUUAACCAGAAAAAUAAUGACACGAAUAGUCCCUGCACUUUAAUAUAAUGUGCAAUUUGAUCUUCGAAAUUUUGAUUUGUUUAAUAUGGCUCUUGAACUUUAACCCAAUAUGUAAUGUGGUCUUUGAACUUUUCAAUUGUUUAAUGUAAUCCAUGAACUUUUGAUAAAUACUCAAUACAAUCUCCAAACUAUAUGAAAAUAUUGAAUGUAUUUUUUUAAUUGAUUCAAGAGUAGGGAUGGCAUUGAACAUUUUGAUACAAGUUCAGGAACUGUAUUGAAUAUGUAUCAAAAUUUUAUGGAUUAUAUGAAAAAAAUUAAAAGUUCAUGAACCACAUUACACAUUGGGCUAAAAUUCAGAGACCACAUCAAACAAAUUGAAAGUUUAUGGACUAAAUUACACAUUAGGCCAAAGUUUGGAGACUAUUUGUAUCAUUUUCUCUAACUAGAAGUAGACAAUGAAUGUGAACUUUCUACUUCAAUCGUUUGACUUUUAUUUUUGAGCAUCUAUAUUGAUAUAAUAUAGAAUUAAUAUCAUGAAAAAUCUUUAAUCAUCAAAAACUCUAAACCGAUACACCUGUCCCAAAUUAAUUUUUUAACUAUAAAAAACCUCAAACUUGUAUAUUUAUAAUAACUUUACCUUAUGUUAAUUUUCAUUAAAUUGGAAUAAUACCAUGAAAAAUAAUAAAUUGGUACAAAUGUGAUAAAUGAAAGGUAAAAUCUUAAAUUGGUACAUCCAUUCUAACUGCCACAUAUCAUCUAAAUCAACAAUUUAAUUGUAAAAUUUAACAAAUACUAAUAGAAAGUAAAUUUAUCACAGGUGUAUCGGUUUUUUUAUAAUAAAAAAUUAGCGAAGUAAAUUUAUCACAUAUGUACCAAUUUUGCAUUUUCUGUGGUAUUAACCCUAUAUCAUUAAAAACUCUUUCAAAGAACUGCCGGAAAACUCAAUAUUCAAAAUUGUAGAUAGUUAGAGAUGCCUCCUCAUUAGUUUUGCCAAAUUCUCAACGAAGCAAGGCUACAGUCAUAUGCCUUUUCCGUCGAGUAUUGUCAAUCAAAGAAGAAUCAAAUUGGUAAUUCCUAUCAUCUCUCAGUUACUUAUCUCCAUAAUGAGUUAUAAUAUUUAUGGACUUCCGAAACUUUAUUGAGAGUUAUUUUUAGGAAAGUAAUUGCAAUCACUAUGUUAUGAGUGGUUCUUUCGCUCUGCUUGAAGUUCUACUUCCAUUAAUUAUAAAAUCACAAAUUAUUUUCUAUGUCUUGAUUGAUUCCAUACGACAAUAUGCAUUAAAAAGUCUGCACUGACAUUGUUUCAAGCUCAGCUUGCACAAGUAUAUUCGAUAAGUGCAUUUAAAGCAUUUAGCCUUGGUUAAUACAUUCUUAUAUAAAAUGUUGAAAUAUAACAUUUCAAAAUAUUAAGAUGCGCAAGUCAUUAUCAACAAAUCCAUAUUAAAAAAAAAUGUGAGAGGAACAUCACUUUAAUAAAAGGCCAAUAGAGUAAAAGCUUUUAAAAGGCCAGUUGCCAGUCUCACAAAAUUCAACCAAUUUCGCGCCGAAAGCUAAAAAGAUGUGAUAAGUUCAGGAAUCUAUUCAUGUAUAAUGAGUCAAUGACAUGAUGAUGAAUAGAUACUAUGUUUUAAAGCUUCAAUUCAUUUGUAAUAUGUAGGGCCCAUCGUCAUCAUGCUAUAAGAGUUUUUAUGAUGUUGGCUAUAUUAAUUAAUAUUGAGAUUUACUGUUUUACAAGAUUGUCUAAUGAGGUGAGAUAUACAGAUUUUUAAUUACUCUAAUAUGACACUAGCUUGCGCGGGUUGAAUAGAGCUUGGUUUGUGAUGAGAAGAUAUGUGACUUAAAACUUUAUAUAUAAUACUCAAAUCUCUUUUCUAAUCCUGAUACACAAAUAACUUUAUAUAAAUAGUAGUUGUAGAAUGCAAUUUGUGACGCAUAAUCUCAUUGAGCCAAUAUUACAAUUAGAUCAUUUUUAUUCCACAUUAAGCAAUAUGGAUUUCAAAUCAAAUGCACAAAUCCUUUUAUCUCCAUUUAUUGUGUUCUAAAUUUUAAUUAAGGAGAUCUUCGGAUGGCUUUCACGGCUUGUAUGCACAUGGUGAACCAUUGUGUCACUACGGGGCACACCGGCUUUGCUUCCCAAAUGCAGGCGACGCACUAUGAAAUGCUUCGUCCCGAGGCAUCAUGCGACAGAGCCUUUUUUUCUCGAGCCUGGGUGGGUCGUUGUCUCCUCGUCCUCCCUACAUCCUCGUCCCGAGGCAUCAGCGCAAGUGAUUGGGGAAGAGAUUUAUAAUAGAAAUAAGAAGUAGAAAAAAUAUCUUAUCGUUUUCAGGAACAAUUUUUGGAAAUAAGUCAUUUUCUUUCUUUUCUUUUUUUCUCCUUCCUCAUGCCGCCACCACCGUCUGCCAUCGCUCGCCGCCUAUCUCCGUCCAACAACCAGCUAGAGGAGGAAGAAGAGGAGACGGGAAAAAAAAAAAAAAGAGAGAAAAAAUCUAUAAAAAAUUAUUAAAAAAUUAAAAGAAAUUCUACGGCACAAAAAAACUUGUGGGUCGUACUAAACACAUUCUUGCUUUUUUCUAUUGUGAAAAUAAAAAUUUUAUAUAGUUACCAAAUACGUUAUUUUAUUCCAAAAUUACUCCAGAGAAUAGAAAUAGAAAAUAAUUAUUUUAAAAAAAAUUGUUUCCGAUAAUAGAAAUGUUACCAAACAUGUUUGGUGGAUACAUUCCUUAAUGAAGUCAAUAUUCUCGGACAUUAUUAAAGUUAUCUAAUGCACAAUGCGCUGGCUGUCGUCUAGUAAAUCGUAUAGAAAAAAGAGAUGUGAAAUGAGUGUCACUUUAGAAAAAGUCAGAAGUUCUUUCGACAUAUAGCAUAUAAAAAGUCACGCUGGCAAUCUCUCGUUUCAUUCGCAAAGCCAAGGAAAAUCUCCCAUUAACCUUACAUACUCAAGUAGUGCCCUCAUUGAGACAAACGAUAAGGCAAACACAUCUAUGUUUGAUGUAAAAGUCCACGAAAUGUUCUAUCAAGUUCAUGUGGAACAAAUGUCUGAAACAUUGGUACAGACAUCCAUAUUGAUAGAUUAUUAAAAAUCUUUAAAAGGUUUGCCCGAAAACUCGACACUUAAAAUUGUUAAUAGUUAGAGGCACCUCAUCCUUAUUAUUUUUGUCAAAUCCUCGACAAAGCGAGUUGCUAUCAGACGUCGUUUUCUAUCAAGUAUUGUCAAUCAAAGGAGAAUCGAUUGGGUAAUUCAUAUCGUCUCUUAAUUAUUUCUCUCCAUAUGGACUUCCAAAACUCCAUUGAGAGUGCGUUUCAGAAGAGUAAAUGCAGUCACUAUGCUAUGUUGUGGAGUGUCGCUCUUUCACUUUGCUUUCAGUUCUAUUUCUAUUAAUUACAAAAUCACAAAUCAUUUUCUACGUUUUGAUUUAUUCGGGACAACAAUAUGCAUUAAAAGGUCUGCACUAACAUUGUUUCGAGCUCUCCUUGCACGAUUAUACUGAAUAAGUGCAUUUAAAACAUCCAGCUGUGGUUAAAACAUUCUUAUAUAAAAAUGUUGAAAUAUAAUAUUUUGAAAUAUUAGCAGAAUCCUUAGAUUUUUAUCGUUAUCUAGCAUGAUGCGUGGAUCGUAAAGAUGGCACGAGAUAAUCACUUUAAUAAAAGGUCAAUAGAUGAACCAGAAACAAAAUUACCCUGCUAAAGAAUGCUGAAAAUGAUUGGGUGAGAGAGGAACAACUUUUGAAGCAGAUGACAAAGAUAUACUUUAAAAAUUUGUAUGAGUCAGUGGGGUGUCGAGAUUUUCAACCUAUCCUUCACCAAAUUCCAACCUAUGUUGAUGAAACGAUGAACCAACAGCUAGUAAAAUCUAUUACUUUGGAGGAGAUUACGGCUGCAAUGCAACAAUUAGGAACUACUAAAGCUCCAGGACUGGAUGGGCUUAAUGGACUCUUCUUCAGGAAUCACUGGCUAGCUAUAGGCCAGGAUAUUUUUAGGGAGGUACAGAAUUUUCUUGAUAUGGGUUAUCUAAAUCCAGACAUGAACAGAACCCAAAUCACCCUAAUUCCUAAAAUCCCGAACCCCGAAAAGCUUGAACAAUUUUGCCCAAUCAGCCUAUGCAAUUUUGUCUACAAAAUCAUAUCCAAAGUAUUAACCAAUAGACUUAAACCUCUGCUACCAAGCCUUAUUGCUGAAGAACAAAGUGCUUUUGUAAGGGGUAGACAAAUUCAAGAUAAUAUCCUCAUUGUGCAGGAAGUACCCCAUAGGAUGCGAACUCGAGAGAGGAAAAGUAAAUUCCAAGCCAUCCUAAAGUUAGAUAUGUAGAAGGCGUAUGAUCGGAUUGAAUGAGACUUCCUUCGAGAAUGCUUAAUCAAGAUGGGUUUAUGUGAUAAGUGGGUACAAUGGGUGAUACAAUGCGUUUCAACGGUUUCAUUUAGUAUCAAUUUCAAUGGGGAACUCCUACCUUCAUUCAAGCCAACCAGAGGGAUUCGAUAGGGUGACCCACUAUCCCCUUAUCUCUUCAUUUUAGUGGCAAACACCCUCUCUAACCUGAUGAAGCAAGCUGUAGUAGAUGGUACACUCCAAGGAAUCAAGCUGAAUAGAAGUUGUCCUACUCUAUCACACUUGCUAUUUGUGGAUGACUCAAUUUUCUUUCUCAAUGGAACCAUAUUAGAAUGCCAAAAUCUGGCGGCCAUUUUACACCAAUAUUGCUUUGCAUCAGGCCAGGCUAUUAAUCUUAAUAAGUCAGGCAUAUAUUUUAGUAAAAGCCGUCCAGUGAACUUGAGAAGAAAUAUGGUUUCAGAAUUGAGAGUUCCAGAGAUAGAGAAAACAUGAAAGUAUUUAGGAAUUCCUUCGGAUUAGGGAGUCUCGAAGAAAGAUAUGUUCGCUUGGAUUCUAGCUAAGUUAAUAUGAAGUUGGAAAGCCAAAAGGAUAAUUUGUUGUCAAAAACAGGGAAUGAAAUAUUGAUUAAAUCAGUGGUACAGGCCAUUCCUCAAUAUGCAAUGUCCAUUUUCAAAAUCCCUGUUUCAAUUUACAAAUCUAUUGAGAAGAAAAUUGCCAAUUUAUGGUGGAGAAAUAGUAACAAAUCUGCUGGGAUUUAUUGGAAAAAAUGGGAAACUCUGAAACUUAGGAAGGAUGAGGGGGGUCUAGGCUUCAAAGAUUUACUUGCCUUCGAUACAAGUAUGUUAGGGAAGCAAGCUUGGCAUUUUUCACAACAACCUCAGUCCCUGCUAAGCCAAGUGAUGAAGGGUCUCUAUUACCCACAAGGUGAUUUUUGGAAAGCUAGAAAAGGUUCCCAACCUUUGUGGGGAUGUCAAAGCAUUAUCCUUGGAAGAGACUCUAUAUCACCAUUUGUUAUGUAUUCGGUGGGAAAUGGAAAGAAAAUUUCGAUUCGAGAAGAUAAAUGGUUGAGAAGUAGACUCAUUGGUGGCCCAGCAACAAAAAAUGAGCCGGUUAAUGUGGCUGGACUAAUAGAACCAGGAACUGGGAAAUGGGAUGAACCAAGGGUAAGAUCGUUGUUUGAUGAUCAAAGAGUGAAGGAAAUCCUAGCAAUCCCUAUUGGACUACCUACUACAGAAAACAAAUUGGUCUAGAUGAACAACAAGUCAGGGUCCCAUAUAGUUAAAGGCGGUUAUUUCACCACUAGAGAUGGAUCAGCUAGCACACAUACAAUAACAGCAACUUCAUCUCACCAAAUGAAACCUCAACUUUGGAAAUAUAUUUGGCACUUCGGAACUCUACCCAAAGUCAAAUUAUUUCUCUGGAAUGCAUGUCAAAAUGCAUUGCCCACACUGGAUAACUUGCACAUGAGAAGAAUAAUACCUGCCCCAUUAUGUCCCAUAUGCAAACAAGAAGUUGAAACCAUUGAACAUACCCUCUUGCUCUGCCCAUGGACAACUCAAAUAUGGUGCGCUACCUCCCUGCAAAUCAAAAUAUCAAGAUUUGGUUUAACAAGACUCGAUGAAUGGCUGUGCAUGUUAAAAUAAGACCCACAAGGAGAUCUGAAGUUCGACCUAACCGCAACAACCUUAUGGUGCAUAUGGAAAGAUAGGAAUCACUUCAUUUUUGGACAACGUCCGCUGCAUCCGCAACAAACAUUGUUCAAAGCCUUAGCUCUACACGAGAACUUUGUCACGUGGAACCGAAAACCAAAGGGAGAGAAGACAAGCGAGACCCAGACUUACCAAUGGCAAUCCCUCACCUCAGAUGUGCUGAAAGUUAACAUUGAUGCCUAUUUUGUCCGGAAUGAAGAAGCGGCUACAACUUCUGAGGAGAACAAGGGAUCGAACGAAGAAGCGACUGCAAUUUCGGAGGAGAACAGGAGAUCCAUCGCUUGCAUUUGUCGAGACUCCAAGGGGUGAAUCGUUGAUGGCUUCUCGAAGUUGGUGGUGGUUUCCUCGGCAGAACAGACGGAGGCCAUGGCUCUUCUCAAAACCCUAGAGUUCCUUUCUUCUAGAUCUGAGUUGAGGCUGCAAGUACACUCUAACUGCCUUCCGCUCGUGCAAAGUGUUCUGGCUUUGACAGAAACAAGUUGGGAAGUAGAGGCUAUCGUGGACCGGAUAAAGACCAAGCUAAAUGAAUUUUCUCGCCUUUCUCUGGCCCAUUGUAGCAGGGAGUCUAAUAGGACGGCAGAUUGGCUUGCAAAAGCCCAAAGAACUAACUGUCUUCCUAGUAAUUGGAUAGCUAAUCCCCUACCCAGCCUUUUUGAUUUGUUAUGUGCUGAUGCUUUUGAUGUAUUUCCUCCAAACUUGGCUAAGUAAAUCCAUAGUAACUGUAUUUUCAACCAAAAAAAAAAAAAAUCAAUCGAUUUCGCACCGAAUGCUAAAGAGAUGUAAUAGGUAGGGGAAUCUAUUCACAUUUGAUAUGCCAUUCACACAAUGAUAGAUAGAUAUCAUGUUCCGAUGCUUCGAUUCGGUAAAUUGUAAGACUUGUCAUCAUCGUGCAUGGUGAACCACCGCAUUGCUACCGGUGGAGGUAUCAAAAUGGGUUUAAAAUCCAUAUUUUGACUCAUAUUUAAUGGUGUGAGUCGUAAAUGGGUUACCUUAAAUUUUAAAAACAAGCUUAAGUAGGUUAUAAAUGGGUUACUUAACAAUUUAAUUCGUCUUAAAUGUGUAUUAAAUAGGUUACGUAACAAGCUUAAAUGAAUCAUAAACAAGUCAUUUUUGUUUUUAAAAAAAAUUUCUGACUUUUUCUUAUAAUUUUUUUAUUUUUUUCUUUUCUUUUGUUUUCUUUUUCCUUUUAAAAAAAAAUCUUUCUUAGUUGGUGGCUAUCAUGAAGACAAUUGGCAAACGGCCACAGACAAGCUCGUCGACCUUUGGCACUGGCGAGGCUCAAGCCUUGUCAAUUUGGAGAGACUUGAGCUAGCUAGAGGUCAUCGAGCACUAGGGGCUAGCAAGCUCGAGCUCGCAAUCCGACCUCUAGCAAGGCUUGAGCUUGCCAACAUCGAGUAAGAGUUUAGCCUUGUUAGAUCUGGAGAGGUGGAGCCUCGCCCUCCACUCUUGCCCAAGGCAGGCUCAGCUCGGCUAGAUCCAACUUUGGUUGAUUUUAAAUUGUGAAUAUCUAUAUUGAUGUACUAUCACAAAAACUUCUCACAGGAUUGCCUGGAAACUUGAGACUUCAAACCAUAGAUAGUUAGAGGUGUCUCAAAAAAGUGAGCCGCCAACUACUUGUUAUCUGAACAAUUGAAUAUGUUUAUUAUUGAGUUCUUUUUUUUUCUUUUUAUCAAAAGAGAAUCAAUUACAUAAUUUCUACCGUCUCUUAAUUAUUUUUGUCCCUAACGAGUAGACUAUACAAAUACUAUUGAGUGUGAUUUUAUUUUUCACUUCGUUUUAAAUUUUAUUUGAUUUAUUAUAAAGUCACCACUCAUUUUCUAUGUUUCAUCAAUUCAAUAUGACAAUAUGAAUAUGCACUUACUUUGUUUCACGUAGUUCCUUACACAAUGGUCUUCGAUAUUCCACAUGUCCAACUUUGGUUGGUACGUUCCUUGAUAAUGUCAGAGUAUGAUAUUCCCAAACAUUAUUAAAGUUAUCUAACGUGCAAUGCUCGGAUUGUUGUCUAGUAAAUCGUACAAAAAAAGAAACGCAACAGGAAUAUCGCUUUAGUAAAAGUCUGAAAUUCUUUAGACGAACGGCUUUUCAAAAAGCCACGUUGGCAAUCUCACAUUUCAUUCGCAAAGCCGAGGAAAAUCUGUCCCCAUUAACCUCACAUAAUUCUACAGUUCCUAUUAUUGAGACAAAUGACGAGGCAAACAUAUUUAUGUUUGACGUAAAUUCCACAAAAUGGUAGAUCAAGUUCAUGUUGGACAAAUGCCUGGAACAUUGGUACAGACGUAAGAAUUACUGGUCGACCUAGAGUGACCCCCUGAGAAGUAUAGAUAUUUCAAUAUUAUGACUACAGUCUACAUUAGACUUGGGAAUCUAUAAUAUGUAUUGUCUGAAGAGGCCAUGAGAACCACGACACCCGAUUUUAAUAAUAAUUAAGUAUGCACAUAAACGAUGUCCAUAACUCGUAAUUUAUCAAUCGAAGAAAAGGUAGAAAGAGAUUUCUUCCAUCUUGGAGGAAAGUAUAGCCUUAUCCAAUGUUCAGCCUAACAUUUUAUCUUACUAUAAGUGGUCUUUCAACAUGUGUAAAGGAGAUGAAAUCAGUCCCACUUACAAAAAUUUGGGAUUCAAAAGUGCCUGAAUCUGGCUCGAUUACAAUUUAUGAUCAUGUUAACGAGUGGCCAGAUUUUUGUUUAUCAUUCGUCAUUUAAUCUGAUAUCGCAUCAUCUGCAGCACAAUUAUGUAUGUGCCGAAAAAAAAAAAAAUCUUUCGUAUCGUGACAAUUUUACAUUACAUAUGAGAAGUCAAAUCAACUCUGAAAAGCCAAUCAGUGUAUAUGGCGCCUGGAAAUGGAGUCCUGAAAUUUCAAUGUCUUGAGGGACAUCAACAAGCUGCCUCUUUGCGUUGCUGGGUGUCCCAUCCCUCAGUAUCUCGAAGUUGAUCCCGUAAUUGGAACUCGAACCGGCUUCUUGAAGGAGAUCGUUUUCGCGCCAUGCAUGUUGACCGUGAUCAUCGAUGGCCGCCGACAUUUGCCCCAACUAAGCUUUGCUUAGCAUGCCUCUUAUCCCGCUGGGCCCUGAUGGCCUAACAUGGUACCUAGACCUGAUUUUGGUACUUUUAGUUCCCUUCUUUGAGUAGAUUGCUUUCGCUAUACAGGAAUUUGAGAUCUGCAGUGCUUAUGAUAUAGGUUUGAGCAGCUUUCCUCCAUUCAGAAGUUACCAGAUCUCUGGCCUUGACUGUCUUUAAGCAUCGAAUAGGGCCUCCGCCUAUUUCAAUGGCCUAGAAGACAGCCACUUCCGCGGCUUGCUCUGCACACCCUGGUUUAGAAGUUUCAGAGGCUGAGUGAAAGUUUUCAGGUUUCAGUUGUCCAUCAACACUUGGCCCCAGCAAAAGAAGCCUAAAUGAGAUAUUGCUCAAUUUAUCUGGUCACACUGCCCACAUACUCUGUUGAUGUUAUAAUCCUAAACGAUGGAUAUGCAUUGCCGGCACAAAGCUAUUUGAUUCCAACAUUCUACUAGGGGAAUGUCGCUCAACCAAGGGUGUCCACACGACUAGUGGUCUGAAUCCGAGAUGCCAUCAUCUUUGGUGGGAACGAUACAUAUAUGACUAGUUGCAGCCUAAUCUGUUGCCUGGUGCUACCAAGUAAACCCUCGACUACAUUCCGUCGAGCCAUGCCAACUUAGGUUGAGCUUUUGUGGACUCCUGAAGGGCAAUCUUGUGAAGGGGGACUCCUUAGGUUAGGCUAUCCCUUGGUGGGAGUUCGCAUGACUUUCACGCCCAUCUGGAAUUUGUCCUCCAUGCCGCAACUUCCAUCGACCUGCGUAUCAGGCCCAAUCUGCACGAUACUUUCUUCUCUAGGGGUGAGGUCAUAUGAUGCCAUUGCCAUGCGCUCGUGCAUGAGAAAAAUCCCUUAAAAGUAGGCCGCGAGCUGAUCGGUUGCUUGAGAAAGAAGCCUAAUGCCAUCUGCACAGGGUCGACAGUCCUGCAUCUUCUUGGAGUAGCCCUUCAAAGAUGAUGAUUCAAGAUCAGAUGAGCCUCAAUGCGGGCCAUGGGAUGGACAGCUAGUUAUUGUUCUACAAUGAUAGUGACAUGCUAGCCCCUUUGAUCGAUAUAUGUCGAGCAAAUCUGCGUGAAGAGCCUGAUCGAAGAGGUCCUUGUCUACUUUCAUCGUUUCCUUUUUUUUUCCUAGAAAUCUCAUUCAACCAAAUCCGCUUGUUAUUGUUUUUCAAUGUACUAGCACGGAACAGAGUUCCCUGCUACUACAUUGCGAACAAGUUGGUAACUAUCACAUACCAUGUUGGUAACUUGUUCAUCUAGUUGUGUAUGGGUAACUUUCAACAGGUUAAAACAAAUAUCAAAGUUUAUUUAUUCCUCAAAUUUACCAACUAUUUUAAUAAUCUACCCACAUUUACUUUUGUGACUUACCAACCAUUUGAAAUUACUAACCAACCCAUUUGAAAUUACUAAAUCUUAAUUUGAUUGAUAUACCAACAUUCAGUUAUCAACUUGUUAUAGAAACUGAUUUCUUUGUGAUUUACUUGUGAUUACCAAUGCUUUCGAAGCACUGACUUCAUUUAAAAAUUUCCCACUUUAGUUUCACUGACAUAUCACCAUUCAUCACGUUAACAAAGUGCACCACAACAGCAAUGGGGUACAAGCCAAGCCAGGCCGGCCGGCAGCCCCCCAUCCCGGACGCCCUAGCUGAUGAUGAUCUACCGGACGCCCUAGCUGAUGAUGAUCUAGGGAAUGUCCACUUUCCCGGCCGUGCACUUCUGCAGGCGUAUCGCCGCCGCAUAGUCCCCAUAGGCCUCAUGCCCAGAGAAGUAGCCUGUUCAGAGAGAAUGAGUACUUCAGCGUGUCCCUGCCAGAUUCAAGCCCAAAGGUCCUUGUCUGAUCGGACAUAGCAUUGUAAAAGCCGUAGCAAUACGCGGCCUGGUCGGUGUUAUGCUCGAUGAUGCUGCCCAAGAACUGAACUGCCUUGCUCCUAGUGUUCAUCCAGGCCGGGACACCCCACGGUAGGUCGCCACCCGGCCCCCUUAGGGCAUCCCUGGGUGGGAACAGCCCCCCGGCCUCCAUGGCAUUGUCCAGUAUCUCGAAAGUCAGGCUGCCUCCCAUGAGCCGGAACAGUUUCCAGUAGCUGCCCGCCACCCUCGUCUCGGGCUCCAUAGCUGGGAGUCUCGCCGCCGCAGAGCUCGUGCAGAGGCACGAAACAUGCUGGCAACGUUGGGACCCGUCGCCACAGCCUGCUUCCUCGAGAUGUACACCGUCUGAUGAAUUUUCCUAUAGCACGAAUGCACGUAAAAACUACUUCUUUUCCGUCAUUCCACGCCUGGGUGGGUGGAUUCAGCCCUCUCUUUUUCGGACCAGGCAAGUCCGAUUCAGGCAAAAGAUUUUAGAAGAAAAUGAUGAGAAGAACCGAAAAAGAAAUCUUGAAUUCUUGCACCCCUAAGCUUUCUACAUGUACUAGGCCUGUCUGCUGUUUUUUCCUGUCCGAAAUGUAUCAAGUCAUGGGUAAAUUUUACUUUUCAAGAACCUACCUAUGCUGAAAAUGAUUUGAUCACUUCGCAUUUAAUAUUGUGCAUCUAUAUCUGUCUAUUGUUACAUACGCUUUCCAAAGGAUUACCUAGAAACUUCAAGACUUAAGCAAUAGAUGAUUAGAGAUGACUUCUCCUUAUUAGUUUUGCCAAAUUCCUAAACAAAAAUAGCACCUAAACAAUUUGACGUGUUUUCCAUUCCAGUAUUUUUAAUUGAUACAAAAUCAAUUAUGUAAAAUUCUACCCUCUCUCGAUCAUUUCUCUCCAUAACCAAGUUUAAUAUUUACGGACUUUCUAAAUGUUAUUGAGUGGCCCACUUCAGAAAAAUUAAACAUAGUCAUAAAUUAUCUAAAUAAUAAGCUUUUAAAAAAUUGAAUCGGUAAUUUCACACAAUUUAAAAAGUUUCAUAUGAACAACUGAGCAAAAUCCAUUGCAUAAAUUUACAUAUUUCUAUAUAUCAUUGAGUUUAUUGAGACAAAUAUAUCUAUGCGGACAUAAAAGUCCAUGAAAUGAUCUCUUGAUUCUACUUUCAGAGUGAACCCCUUUAAAAACCCCCCCCCUUCUCAAAAAAAAAAGAAAAAAAGGACCCGAAUAUUUUAAUUAAAAAUUCGGAUUUUCUCUAUCAGUCUAGUAAAAUCCAGCAUUCAAACCCGCAAUAUGAGAAGGAAACCCGAAAUCCUGCGCUCGUUCUCCUGAAUCCUCCUGCGCCGUGCUUCCGCCGCACCCCGCCGGUCCCUCCGUCCGUCCAUAACCUGAAGGCUUCCUCUCUCUCUCCCUCAGCCCCUCUCGUGAAAUCUCUUCCUCCGCAAUUUCGUCGUCGCCGGCGUCUCUCCGUCGCCACCUCGCCGGACGCGCGAAUCCCUAAUUCGCGGCGCGCGGCUGUCUCCGGCGCUCCUCUGUGGCGGAACCUCGCCGACUGCUCAGCGCUAGGAACCCCUGCGGCAGGAAAUUCGAGGGAUGGACGUGAUCUCCCAGCUGCAGGAAAUUUGGGGACUCUGUGCUCGUUCUUGCAGAGGACGUGAGCAGAUUUCAUUCAUAAAUGUAUACUAUGGAAGUUCUCAUCGGUUGAUCACGGAUGUGAUGGGUAGUUCUGGAGAUGUAAUGCGAGUUGGGCAUUUGGUUCAUUUUUGUGUAUGCCUCCAUGUGUGUUAGUUAUUCCUACAGAAGAAAACGGGACCUUCUCCACUUUUUUCUUGUGGAUUCUGUCGGUGGAUAUAUCUGCCACGAGUAUCUCAGUGUGCAUAUGUACAUAGAAUGUGCUGUGAUUUGUUUUACACGAGUUGAAUAAUCUUUUGACUCAUGUGUGUGAAAUUGUUAUGCACAUUUGAAAGAGCCACCACUCUUGUGUAAUCACGACUAUCGUUUCUUUCAAAUGUGUUUCUGCAUCUUAAAGUCAGUAGAAUGGUUUGAGAUUGUAACUCCAUCAGCAUUCUUGAUCUUGAGUAAGGUGGAUUGUUGGUUUCUGAUUUCUAUCUCAUUCACUUUUGUUUUACUUCAUGCUUGAAGUAAAAUGAUGGUCGGUGUGACAUCCUAAACUCUGCGACAUCAGUAUAUUCUCGCGGGUGAAAGCAAUUAGCCUCCAUUUUAGAGAUGAAGCAUUAUGCUUCAAGUUAUAAAAUUCGGUCUCUUUUCCACCAUUUGCUUUGGCAAUCUGGAUAAAGUUCUAUCGGAACUCUUUUUCUUUCGCAGUUUGAUGCCUUAGUAGCGGGACUUCCACUACCUGAGGGAGGUGAAGAAGCUCAACUCAAAAGGAUUGCAGACCUCCAGGUUAAGAGGAUCCAUGGUUUUUGGCAUCUUUAGUUCAUUAUUUCUGUUGUUUAAGGCUGUUUCUUAUUCAUUCCAAAUUACCUUUGCACAGGCUGAGAAUGAUGCUGUAGGACAAGAGCUUCAGAAGCAACUUGAAGCUGCCGGUAAUUGCCCUAUCGAUGAGGGUGUGAGGGCAUUUGUCUCUUUCACUUAUGUAUGUCAAUUUUUGGUCGAAAGUGAUAUCUUCUAUGAUUUUUGGCAUUGGCAGAGAAGGAAUUGAAGCUGGUCCAGGAGCUAUUCAGCCAGGCAACAGAUAACUGCUUCAAUUUGAAGAAACCAGAAUAAAAAUUGAGGACGCUUCUCUUCUUUACCUUUUUUGUAAAAUUUAUGCAGUAGAGAUGAUGACUCAGAGAAAUAGGCAUUCUACUGUUCGAAUAGUGCAAAGAGACCUGAGAUGUCACAACUCUGUACGGGUGAGUUUUGAAGUCCUUGCCGAGUAAAAGUUUCUCGGUGCACAAAAAGCAUCAAUAUGGGCAUCAAGUCAACCAAACAAUCACUCAAAUGAAGUAGUUCUGGCGAAGUAAGAAGUCUAGUCUUGAAUCUUUAAUUGCAAAAACAAACUAUAAUGUUACAUUAGCAAUGGAAAGUUCUCUGUUUUGUUGUGCACCUUCCUUCCCUCUGAAGUUUUCAAAAAUUGCUUUGUUACGUUUUGGUCCUUCUGAGGAAGGUCUUGGUAUCGGAUGAAGCAUGGGCUUGUUUGCCCUUGCAGUGUAGAUCAAGAAUCAAGAAGGCAACUUUUAUAGUUGUGAAGUUCAAGAAAUCAGAGUUUUCCGUGUCUGAACGAGAGUGGAGAAAAGGGCGGGCUUCGACUUUGAACACUAGACCCCUUGUGGGCGUGUGUCGGGUUAUGGCUAGCUUACCCUCUUUAGGGUGCUCUUCUGGCAGGCUUCGUGGCCCCAAAUAAAGGGCCCAACCAUUAGUUUAGAACUCUCCCAGAGUGUACGUAAACAGCCAAGAGAAUAGUAUAUCCUCUUCUCCAAAAGGGGCAAUGAGAAUGCUCGGCUUUCUGGUUGAACUGCCCACAUUGUUGGUGUUGUUAGGAUCCCAGAUGACGGACAUACAUUGCUGGCCUCUCUGGGCCACGUGAGCAAAGGGUCAGAAACCGAGGUUGCCAAUGUAUUUGGUGGGUACUUGGCAUCGAUGGCUUGUUAUGGCCUAAUUUGUUGCCUGCUGCUACCGACUAAACGAUCCACUACAUUUUGGGGGAUGGUGCUAAAUUGGAUGUACUUUUGGGCUAGGGAGAGGAAUUCUUCCUCACGAAUAUUAGUCUUACACCUAACAUUGGCUUUUUCAAUCUCAUUAAAUAUUUAUGGAUAGUCCAGGUUGUUGCCUUAUCUCUUGGUCAAAUCAGCCACUGAUACUCCAGGAUCAGUUUGAGAGAAGUAUGUCUGGAACUGGACUUGCAUGUCCCACCAAUUUCAAAUGGAACUCGUGGGCAAACUGAGGUACCACUUUGAGGGAAACCGCAUCAACAUAUAGGACCCUUAUCAAUUGAUGUUGGACAAUAUUUGAGUGGCAUGUGGAAAUAUGCAAUGAGGGAGGCAUAUAGGGGCCCAUUAAAAUUUGACUUGGAACUUCCUAUUCAGAUAGUCAAAUCCAAAACUUAAGCUAUUUGGUGGAGAAAACCACAAGAAUAUAUAUAGCACAUGAGACCAAUUAUCAAGUAAUGUGUGACAAUAUUUCAACAGCUAUGAUUUCACAUUCACAAGUGAACAUAGUGAAUUAAGGCACUUCAUACUUUCUAGGGACAGGUCGAUGUGAUCAAGGAAUGAUUUCCUAGACAAAAGCCUUUAGUAUAGGUCCAUGCAAAUAUUUCUAUUGUCCUAGUCAGAUAUUCUUUGUCCAGAGGAUUGGGUACUCUCGGUUCAUUUUCAUCGAGUUAUUCUUCAUGGUCUUGUCAAUUUCUAGUCUCCUUGGAGGCUAGGUGUAGUUCCCCACUUUUUUUGCCAUCAUUCACAUUGACCUCUCUAGGAACCACUUGUGAUUGUUUCCUUCUCCUAACAUUAGCAUCGAAGGCCUCAGAUUAUUCAUCCAAUUCUUUAUUAGACUUUAUCCUGAAUUUCCAAAAGGUCCAAGUGAAUCAAUCGAAAAGAUAUUCCUGCACACUUUCAUUAGGAGACUGAGACGGUGGGCUUUCGUUCCCUGGACCAUCCCUAGCCGGGGAGGCUUUUGUUGGGUUAGAACCCAACUUUUGGUUAUUGGAGUAGUUGGCUUCACAACGGUGAAGCCCAAACAUGCUUCCAGUACUUCGGCAAGACAUUCUAUUCUCCAAUAGUGGUCGCCAUAAAAACAUGUAAGGUGGACUUUUCACAAGAUUGUGAUCCCCAUAAACUCAGUGAUUUCAAUUAGUAAUAAAAGUCCAAACGAGGGUGAUCGAUGACCAAUUAAAAUGUUAAAAUUGAGGUUGAAUCCAAAGUAAAUGAAUUCUAACGUGUCUUGAAGUCUCGAGAACUCCGAAAAAAAUGUGAAUUACUGAUGAAGCACAAACUGUAGAUUGGAAACAAGGAAAUUGAAUUGUAAUUUUGUUGAACCAGAAUGGAUGGCUUGCAUUCCUUGAGGCCAUACUUACUCGAUCACUAAAACUGAACAUAUACCAUUAAUGGCGUUCCCUAGGAUGCGUGAAGAAAGUAAAAAAAACUAACAAAACACAACAGGAAUGCUUCUAUAAACAACGACAAAUAUUGAAACUAGGAAACCUAAUAUAAAAUGAAAUUCAAAUCCGAAUUCAGGUUAAUCUGAUCUACUCUAAAUAACCUCCUCAUCUUCAUAUCUUCACAAUUAUUCUAAUGUGCUUUGGGAUUUUGUGGUGCCUCCCGUUGAUUCUUCUUUUGUCUUUUAAAUGGACAAUUGCGUUAUACAUUCUAAUCUUCCUCCACAAGAAUCAUUAAACAUCUUCGCUUGCACGCUACUCUAGGUGAUUUGCAACUGCUUUUGAUUUCUUAGCUAUGGUUACUUACCGGUAGAUUAAUCCUCCUUAGGUCAAUCUUUAACUUCUAUGCAUGUUUCGAAUCAAUUGAUAGUCACCUAGUAUCAUGCAAUUGGCUCCAAUACUGUCAAUUAGAAACUUGUGAUCGAUGAGUUCAUUAGAAGUUUCAUAUAGGCUUUGUGGGUUAAAUGUAUUGUCAUGGCCUGAUUUGAACUUAAUUUGGACUGCUAACUUCUUCACGUUUGGGCCUAAAUUUUAGCUCCGAUUUCAACAUGGGGUUAGUGGAAUAAAAGAGGAAAAGAAAAUUAAAUGGAUAUGUACAGUACAAGUCCUAAAACUUGUCAACAAAGUGCAAUUGAGUCCUAAAACUUACAAAAAGUGCAAUCAAGUCCUAAAACUUGUAAACUUGGUUCAAUUCAGUCCUUUCGUUAACACCGUUAGUUUAUGUUAACGGAAAUUGCUGAUUUGGCUUAUUUUAAUAUUUUCUCUCUCCUACGUGGCAAUUAGGGCAAGAAAAAUUGUGCACGUAAGCGAAACGACGUCGUUUUGUGGGUAUUACCAUUCUCAAAACGACAACGUCUCUCCUCUGUUUUUUUUCACGACGUCUCCUCCUCCGUUUCUCCGUUUCUUUACGACAUCUCUUCGAUUCUUCCUCUCUCGAAUCAACGAACCCUAAGCCCUAAAUCUCGCAGAUCUCUUCCCUCUUCCCCUCUCGAAUCAACGCAACCCUAAGCCCGAAAUCUCGACGCAGAUCUCUUCCCUUCUUCCCGUCUCGAAUCAACGCAACCCUAAGCCCUAAAUCUCGACGCAGAUCACCGCCUCGCGAGUUGCAGUUCUUCAUCAAACGCUGGUGCGAGUACGCGCGACACUCAUCCCACGAGAGCCUUGGCGGUGGAUCGAGCGGCGCCGACGGUGGAGGCGAGUGGAUUGAGCGGCGUCGACGAUGGAGGCGAGGUGAAUUUGUUUGCACCGCUCGCUUACUCUGUGCUUGACAGGCUGAAGUCUUUGGACCAGUUGACUCAGAUUUCUUCUCUCAUGUGUAUUGGGGAUUGUGAUUACCGGAGCCGAGUCGCGAGGAGGUCGUCCCGGAGGUGAGGGUCGAGGAUCGCAAUUCCUUGGACGAGGCUAAGCAAAGCUCUCCUGAUUACCGAGUGACAGGUCAUUUUCUGGAUGAAUCGUGCGUGCGCAUGUGUGUGGAGAAUGAUUGAUUGCACUUGCGCGAUGCAUGUCCUCCGUUUGCGUAAAUUCUUUUGCUGCUUCUUGCUGGUGUAUCCGCAGGCUAGUUGUGGGACUUUGUGUUGUUAUGAUACCUCUACAAUGGAACAGUAGCUCGCUGAUUUUGAUGCUUGAGAGAUCAUAAACGGUAAUCAAUUCGAUUGAAAACGGUUAGCUGAUGUUUCCUUAGACUUGGCUUGAAUGCGUACCUCGCUUUACGAGGAUAAUCACCCAUCCCACCACCUUGCUAGGCAUUCUAGAUGUUUAUAUAUCAAAUUUGUCCUUUGUCGUAGUAAUUCCAUUAAUUGAGAUCACAGAUGCAUGCUGAAUUUACAUUAAAACUCACUCUCAAAUUUGGUUGCUAAUUCUACUGCUUGGAACGAAUAUAGAUCAUUUAAACACUGCCUACAAAAGAACUGUCAUAGGUAUCAACUUUCAUAUGAUUGUCCUUGUUCAUAUGCCAUUGUGGAUGUCAGUUAUUUGAAUAAAUACUGAUACUGCAGUUUCACCAUCAUUCAAUUCUUGUAAUUGAUGCUGUGGAUAAUCAACAAUGCCUACAAAAGAACUAUCGUAGGCACGUUUAAAUUGAACUUCUUUACAUCACAUUGUUCAGUAAUUAUUCACUAGAAUCAUCAUCAUGGCUGAUAAAUGUACAUGACCGUUACACAGUACCUGCUUAGUGGUGUCACAUGACUAUGAAUGUUUUCAAAGAACUGUAACUUAACAGAAAUCAGUUAAAGAUUAGAUGGCCUAAUGAUAUAUUGCCUCAACAACCAGUUCUGUCAAGAAUUAUCCUCUUUUGGAAUUAUCUAUGGAUAUAACAUUUUCCUGUUCUUCCCCAUUUUUUUAUGCUUGUUGCUAUCCCAUAAUCCUUUAAGUUGAAUCUAUAGAUAUAGUUCCUUUUCACUGUCGAUGACGACAGUGAUUGCAACUGUAUGUAUNNNNNNNNNNNNNNNNNNNNNNNNNNNNNNNNNNNNNNNNNNNNNNNNNNNNNNNNNNNNNNNNNNNNNNNNNNNNNNNNNNNNNNNNNNNNNNNNNNNNNNNNNNNNNNNNGAAGUCAUUUUCUAGCUACAGGAUGAGUUGUUGGUGUUCCAAUCUUGUGAGGAGACUUACGAUCACAUCUUUUUUCAUGAUGCAUUUGCAGUAAUCUGGUUGGCAACAACUUUGCAUUGGACAACUCUGACAGAAGGUAAAUGCCUAGCGAUUUUUUGUUUAUGAUGCUUGAGAGAUCAUAAACGGUAAUCAAUUCGAUUGAAAACGGUUAGCUGAUGUGUCCUCAGACUUGGCUUGAAUGCGUACCUCGCUUUACGAGGAUAAUCACCCAUCCCACCACCUUGCUAGGCAUUCUAGAUGUCUAUAUAUCAAAUUUGUCCUUUGUCGUAGUAAUUCCAUUAAUUGAGAUCACAGAUGCAUGCUGUAUUUACAUUAAAACUCACUCUCACAUUUGGUUGCUAAUUCUACUGCUUGGAACGAAUAUAGAUCAUUUAAACACUGCCUACAAAAGAACUGUCAUAGGUAUCAACUUUCAUAUGAUUGUCCUUGUUCAUAUGCCAUUGUGGAUGUCAGUUAUUUGAAUAAAUACUGAUACUGCAGUUUCACCAUCAUUCAAUUCUUGUAAUUGAUGCUGUCGAUAAUCAGCAAUUCUGCAAAGCUCAGUAUUAGUAUUCACUAAUCAAGCCUUACGGUUCGAACCAUGACUUGGAGAAGCUAUCGCCGCUUCAAUGAUUUAAAAACUUUUAGCAUUUAAUUAGCAAUUGCAUCAUCCAUGAAGGAACCUUAAAUGUUUCAAUGAAAGUCAUAAAAAUAAAGGAAUUUUUCUUGCAAUAGAAUUAUCUGCUUUUGGUUUAGUCAUAAGUUCAUGCUGCCAUACUGGUCAACUGAAUAAAAUUUUCUUCUUUUAUCUUAGCCUUCUCCCUUCAGGAUUAAACUGUCUUCAGCAGAAUUUUCCUUGCAACAGGGGGAAAGGAAUUUGUAAGUCCAUAUAACCUUUUUCCCCUUAAUACGCUUUCCUUUUGUUGAAUGCCUCAACAAGAGGAGGACAGGAGAUUGGGUUUAUAGCUACCUUACAUAUUUCGAGGGAUCACUUCGCCGGAGGCUCCGAGAUUUGGGAAAGUUUUCAGCGGGCAGUUCAUUGCUCAGGCAUAAUUAGUUCAGUUUACUAUCACUUUCAACUCCUUUUUUGCCGAUGCAGGUUUGCUGAUGCUUGUAUUGGAGGGUUGACUACUCUCAAGGUCAUCCAUCAACAUGGGUAUGUUUACCCUACCUAUUUCUCUUUACAAGUGAAGUCAUUAGUAGUUUUUAGAUGAAAUUUUACGAUUGAAAGUGCUAUUUGUUUCUAUUCUUUUGUAGGUCCAACGGGCAACAACAAAGUUUAUCUCACUGUUUUCUUUGGAGGUAAAUUUCAAGCUGGACCGCCCUUAGAAUACGUAGAUGGAAGGGUCGAUGUUGUUGAAGUAGACAUAAGUAAGGGUUCAUUAUCCAACAUAAUUUCAGCUGUUGAGGUUCUGUGUGGGCGUAAGAUAGAAAAGCUCUUUUAUAGAGUUCCUGGAAGUACUAUUCUUGAAGAUGGAGUAACUCUUAGGUACUUAUGGGAUAACUCCAAUGUGAUAGAUCAAUUUUAUCAUCAUCUUCACUCUGAAAAUAUUGAAUUGUAUGUUGAGCACGUCGAUGAUGAAGAAACGCUUGAUGAGAUAGGGGGAGUUGAGAUGGAAACUGAAGGUUUGUUUGAUGUGAAUAUAGAAAGUGUUAAUAAUGUGGCUGAUGAUGUGUUUGAAAAUAUAAUUGGAAAUGCCGAUGGUGAUGGGAACCAGCUUGAGGGUGAAAGUAGGAAUGUGGAUGAUGAGAAUGAUGAUGCAUGUAAUUUGGUGGAUGUUGAAGAGUCGAGUGACGAUGAUGAUUUUGAAUUGGUUAAAGCAAGAAGAAAUUUAAAAGAAUUUUCAGCGAGACAUAGACUCAAAAUUGGAACUAACAUUGAAGAAACUUCUCAAUUAGACAUUGGCUCUCAAACUCCAUUAUCAGUUGAUCCUCUAAUGGUGGAUGUGUCUGGGUGCGAAACAUAGUACUAUGAUUCAGAUGAAGAAGAAAGUCUUCAUUCAGAUUUAGAUAAUGAGAGUGAAAAAGAAGAAAAUGAUGUUAUUUCAAGAAGAAGGAGUAGGUUUCCAUCAUAUGAUCGAAAUUGUAAGAAUCCAGUAUUUGUUGUUGGCAUGACAUUUGAAGAUUCAAGUGAGUUCAAAGAUGCAAUUUUGAGGUACUCAGUGGCUGAGCAAAGAGCAAUUAAAUACACCAAGAACACUACUGGAUUUGUAAAGAGCUAGGUGUGCCGAAGCUAAUUGUAACUGGAUGAUUUAUGAUGCUCUCGAUAGCCAAACUGGAUCAUUCCAUUUGAAAAAGUACAUUGAUGAGCAUAUAUGUGCUAUUACUUUUGAGAAUAAGAGAGUUUCUAGUUCUUUUUUAGCUAAACACUUCAUGAUUCUCAUUUCUGCAAUGCCUAAAGUUAAAGCACCUCAGUUGAAGAUAUUGGUUAGAGAACAGUUGGGGGUGAAUGUCACUGUGAGCCAAUGCAGGAGAACAAAGCUAAAAGUGUUAAAGGAAUUACAAGGCAAUUAUAAGAAAGAGUAUGCACUGAUGUACGAUUACUUGGGAGAGCUUUACAUUGCAAGCCGGGCGAGCACAUUUAUAAUGAAAGUUGAAAGACCACUACCAGAUUCCUUACCAUUAUUUGAUAGGACUUACAUUUGCUUUGAUGCCUGUAGGAAAUGAUUUUUGGCAGGGUGUCGGAAGAUCAUUGGAUUAGAUGGAUGUUUUCUUAGGGGAUUGAUCAAGGGUGAGUUGUUGUGUGCUGUGGGGAGGGAUGCUAACAAUCAAAUGUAUCCAGUAGCAUGGGCAGUCGUAAGAAUUGAGAAUAAGGACACAUGGAGCUGGUUUAUCAACUUGUUGAAAGAAGAUCUUGACAUGGGUAAUGGUAAUGGAUGGGCCUUAAUAAGUGACCAACAAAAGGUAUGUAAUACUACUAUCGCUCAUCUUGAAUUUGUUUGAAACAAUGUAUAUAAUGAUUUCUAAUAUUAAUGUUUUCUUUUCUUUUUUUUUAUAUAUUAGGGCCUCAUUCCUUCAGUAGUUGAACUUUUGCCAAAUGCAGAACAUAGAAUGUGUGCGAGGCAUAUAUAUUGUAAUUGGGGUCAAAAAUACAAAGGAAAGCAGUUGAUGAGACAAUUCUGGAAAUGUGCUAAGAGUACUAAUAUGUCAGAUUUUGAGGUGCAUAAACAAAGAUUGAAGGAAAUGACUCCACAAGGUCAUGAUGAUCUAUUCCAGAUUGAGCCAAAGCACUGGUCUAAAGCCUUAUUUGACACCGACAUAAAAUGUGAUGUUGUUGAUAAUAAUCUUAGUGAAGCUUUCAAUGGUAGGUGUGUGGAAGCUAGGUGUAAGGCCAUUGUGAGUAUGCUUGAAGAUAUUAGAAUCAUGAUUAUGAAUAGAAUGCACAAUCAAAGGGAUGCAUGUGCUAAGUGGACAAGGAAUUAUGGUCCAAGGAUUGUGCAUAAGUUACAUCAGAAUACAGUGGCUAGUAGAUAUUGCCAUUUGAUAUGGAAUGGAGAUCAAGGAUACGAGAUUAUGGAAAAUGGUGACAAAUAUGUUGUAGACUUCAAUUUGAAUACUUGUUCUUGUAGAGCUUGGAAAGUUAGUGGAAUCCCAUGUUGCCAUGCUAUAUGUGCAAUACACCACAAGAAAAAUGAUCCGGGUGACUACCUAGCCGAUUGCUAUAACAGGAACAAAUACUUAAGUGCUUAUCAAUUCAUGAUGCCUACUGUGAGAGGACAGAAAUUUUGGGGUAAAACUAAUAAAGAAGCCCCUCAGCCCCCACCGAUCAAAAAGAUGCCUGGUAGGCCAAAAAGGAGUAGAAGAAAGCAACCACUUGAGCUUGUAAGAGAGAACAUAAUGACUAAAGAGGGUAAGCGAAUGACUUGUUCUACUUGCCAUGUGGUUGGACAUAAUUGUAAAGGAUGUCCUCUGAGAAAGGUAUUUCUUAACUAAUUGAUUUUGUUGAUUCUAAGCCUGUUGUCUUGUCAUCAAUGCUUACUAUGUGCUUUUUAGGCCCAUGCAAAUGCACCUGAAGCUCAAUCUCAAGCCAAUUCCAGUGGAUCAAGGCCUAAAAAAAGACAAGUAUGUUGUGAUAGAUUCAUGCAUUGUAAGUUAUAAAUGUAAAGAUUUCGAUUUACUAAUGACGUAUAUAUAUGCAGGCUAAAGCUACAGCAACGGCAAGUACAACUCAAGGAGGAUCCAAAGGCCAUAUCAUUGCUUCUGCAGAAGCUAGUGCACUUGUACAGAUAAUAGUGGGCAGACAAAUUCUUCAGCCAAUGCUUUUGCAGAAGCUAGUGCACAAGUAGAAGAUACUUCUGCCAAUGCUUUUGCAGAAGCUAGUGCACCAAUUGAAGAUACUUCAGCCAAUGCUUUUGCUCAAGUCGAUGUGCCAGCAGAAGAUACUUUAGUCAAUGCAUGUACAGAACUCACUGGACCAGUGCAAGAUACUUCAGCCAAUGCUAAAGCUCAGUCUAGUGUAAAUGAAAGAGGAUGUUGGGCUACUGCUAAUGUAAGUGGAUGUAGUGGACAAGCCAAUUCUUUUGCUAAAGCUAGUGUUAAUCAACGACAAGGAUUUUUUCGUGCUCAAGCCAAUGCAAUAGCUAGCAGCAGACCUCAAAAAAUCCCGGUGAGUAAUACCUCACCAGCCAUGCAUUCAUGUGUUGUAAUUACAUUGUCACAUUCGAUUUUUUGUUUUUUUUUUCAGUUUAAAAGACCUGCCAUUGAAAUGGAAACGAUACAAGGGCAGUCACAACCGAACAAGAAAAAGAAAAUGGUAUGUUUACACAACUCCUAAAAACAACCUUCAAAUUCUCAAUGUGAGUAUGUUUUAACACUUUACAAUGGGAACUGAUUGUCUCCUUGAACUAAAAACAUACCCAUUCUUUUGUAGCCUAUCUCAACUCAUACAAGAUUAUCGAAACAAUCGGACAAAGGAGUAGUUUUAGGAGCUUCAAUGGAAAAAGCGCAUCCCCAAGCUAGUGCACAGCCUCAGUCAUCUCAAAGUGCUCUUCAAAAGCAUGUUGUUGUGAAGUCAAAGCCACCAUUGCAACUCCAGGACAGUUUGCAGCUUCAAGCAUUAAGAACUUAUCCUCGAAAGCACAUCGGUGUAAAGCCAAAGCCACCAUCGCACCCCCAGGCAAGUUCUCAGCCUCAGUCCCAAAAACAUGUUGCCAUAAAGCCGAAGCCGAAGCCACCAUUACAACCGCCAAUGAGUUCACAGCCUCAGUCAUCUCAUACUUCAAUUGCUCCCGCAAAGCCUAUUUGGAAGUGAGUCACAAAAGGCACACCAUAUACAAUUAAAAGCUCACGACUUAUGAAUCAAGCGCACGAUGAACCUGGUGGACCACCCGAGAUAGUUCAACCACCCGAGACAGUAGACUUGGAUUGACGUGCUUGCUAAAUGUGUCUUGUCUCAUGAAAGUUGCAACAAGAAAUUCUCCUUUAACAUUAUCUUGGGUGCUGUUUUUGCUGGCCAAUUUCUUAUAUGGUUUGUGGUUUGUAGUGUUUUGUAGCAAUCAAUUUUAGUGAUUUUGUAAUCACCAAAGAACGUGUUGGGACUGUGUUUAAUGACUCGUCCCUUUUGCUGUAUACAUUUGAGAAUAUCGUAUCCGUCUCUUUGCCUCUUGGAUGCAGUAGUGCAAUGUGCAAAUUUAUCUGCCUAAGAAAAGAGCACCUUUGUUUUGCAUCCGUGUAUCUGAGGCAGCAUGCCAUGGUACGUGCAUGUUCCUUUUCAGUUUCUUUAUUUGAAUAGGAGUUUUAUAUAUGUUGAGCACCUCAGUACAGUCUCCAUAUAUAUUCACAACUUACAUAAUGUCAAAAAGAAGGUUGCGGUGGAGGGAAUGUUCGGCCGUUUUGAGUUAAAAAAAACUUGUCUAUCUCUAGAUACCUUUCAUUACAUAGUACACACCGAUAUUAUCGAGACGAAUCCCCAUUAGAGAUUAUAUUUGGCAUCUAGAGCUCCUUUAACAUCAUCUCAAGAUUCUGUUGUUUCUGCAGUGAAUCGUCAUCUCGUUUCGGCCAAGAUUUCAUCGCGUACACACCGCUCACAUUGGGUGGUACCUCGUUCUCAUCCACGAAGACAUUGCCUUCGUAAGUCACUGCCCCUCCAUCUCGAACUCUGCCAUUGCCAGUUACUUCUACAAUCAAUUUCGGAAAACCAAUGCUCUCUUCACGAAUCAGACCCUCCCUUGCCUCUCCUAUCAACUUCUCAGUCCUUUCGCUUUCGAGGAAAGAAACCCUUUUGAAAGAAACCAGAGAGGGCUUGCUUGGAAAGUUCUUUCCUUUCUUCUGACGUAAAGCCAAGAAAGAGAGAGUCGUGCAAGCUAACAUUCGUCAGAAUGCAAAAGCAGUAUAAUUUGUCAAGGCAUGGAAAGUCCCGAACGGGGGGUUUGAAACUUUUAAAAAUCCAAAGAGCCGGCUUUGUCACGUAACUCCCUUUACUUCAUGCCCCAAACAGUACCUUUUUCUCUCCUUUCUAAAUGCUUUUGAUUUGAUGAAGCAAAAGUUCGAAGGGCGAGGGCAGCUUAUAUAGAGGAAAACAAGCUUCCCAGACUUCAUUUCCAUAAAUACCUGAGAGUGCUGUCUUUUUUCCUUUGAUGGAACAUUUAAAAAAUCAUCAUCCAAAUAGCAUUCACUGAAAGAACACACGAAAUUGUUUACAUUUCCACGCAACAUGAGUUUCCUAAUUUUACAGGGCAAAAGAGAAUCGGGAUAAAGUAAUUAAAUACAAACUUAGAAACAAGGUACUAUGGAAGACUUAGAAACUUCUCAUUGGCUUUCACAUUAAAUAUAAUCCCCAUAAUGAUAUAACACAUGCAUAGAAAAAAUCCCAAUUGAUAGAGCAUCUUCCCUUUCUUCACUCGUGCAAGCUCUUCCUUUAAAAGUCCAUUUUUCGCCUUUUGCGCCUUCAUUUUAGCUAUCAGUGAGCUUACAUAAUCGUCGUUGCAUCUGGAUUGGCUUGACUCCGAUAGUGCUUGAUUUCUUUCAAGCAGUUCGACUAUCAUGUCCCUCGCUUGAUCCGGUAUUUUUUGGUCAACCCACAUGAAGAAAUUGCAGCAACCUGGAUCAUCAAACUUAGCACAUCCAUAGAACCUUCUUCCUGCGUUUUUCUUUGUUUUUGCAAUAAGAAGUGGUGAUCGAAGACCACAAUAGCAGGUUAACUCUGAUUCGACCUCAUUAGGAGUUACACCACUUGAUUUAGAAGUUGUUGCCCUCAUUCUUCUUGUCGCCAUAUUAAAAAAGCAUAUCACAGUUGCAAACUAGCAAAACCUACACCAUAGGAGAAUAAAGGCAUGUUAACCUUCAAAACAAACAUGUAAUGACAACUUAUUCACAGAUAAAGACCACAUGCCUGCUGUCCUACAUUUAAUCUUAGCAUGUGUCGCAAAACUGUACACAGUAGCUAGAGACCUCUAAGACGAAAAUAUGGCCAUGCGAUAUAAAUCUUGUUUCCAAGAAUAACAUGCACAUGAAAAUAAGUUCAUGGAAACUAGAAAUCUUCUUUUCUUAACAUCAUCAAGCAACAAAAAGCAUAUCAAGCAGUGCAUUGGAUUCCAUCACAUAAGAAUUGUGUAAGCAAUGGACAAUGAGACAAAUCAUUUGGUAUCGUCAUCGACAGUGAAAAGGAACUAUAUCUAUAGAUUCAACUUAAAGGAUUAUGGGACAGCAACAAGCAUAAAAAAAUGGGGAAGAACAGGAAAAUGUUAUAUCCAUAGAUAAUUCCAAAAGAGGAUAAUUCUUGACAGAACUAGUUGUUGAGGCAAUAUAUCAUUAGGCCAUCUAAUCUUUAACUGAUUUCUGUUAAGUUACAGUUCUUUGAAAACAUUCAUAGUCAUGUGACACCACUAAGCAAGUACUGUGUAACAGUCAUGUACAUUUAUCAGCCAUGAUGAUGAUUCCAGUGAAUAAGUAUUGAACAAUGUGAUGUAAAGAAGUUCAAUUUAAACGUGCCUACGACAGUUCUUUUGUAGGCAUUGCUGAUUAUCCACAUCAUCAAUUACAAGAAUUGAAUGAUGGUGAAACUGCAGUAUCAGUAUUUAUUCAAAUAACUGACAUCCACAAUGGCAUAUGAACAAGGACAAUCAUAUGAAAGUUGAUACCUAUGACAGUUCUUUUGUAGGCAGUGUUUAAAUGAUCUAUAUUCGUUCCAAGCAGUAGAAUUAGCAACCAAACGUGAUAGUGAUUUUUAAUGUAAAUUCAGCAUGCAUCUGUGAUCUCAAUUAAUGGAAUUACUACGACAAAGGACAAAUUUGAUAUAUAAACAUCUAGAAUGCCUAGCAAGGUGGUGGGAUGGGUGAUUAUCCUCGUAAAGCGAGGUAGGCAUUCAAGCCAAGUUUGAGGACACAUCAGCUAACCAUUUUCAAUCGAAUUGAUUACCGUUUAUGAUCUCUCAAGCAUCAUAAACAAAAAAUCGCUAGGCAUUUACCUUCUGUCAGAGUUGUCCAAUGCAAAGUUGUUGCCAACCAGAUUACUGCAAAAUGCAUCAUGAAAAAAGAUGUGAUCGUAAGUCUCCUCACAAGAUUGGAACACCAACAGCUCAUCCUGUAGCUAGAAAAUGACUUCAAGUACUAUAGAGCAUCCCAUGAGCAAUAAAAGAUUGAUAAAGUGCAAAAGAAGAGUCCUCACUUUAGAUAUCUAACUAAAAGUAUAAAUUAUCAUUUUCCGAAUGACAAAAAUACAUACAGUUGCAAAUCAUUGUCGUCAUCGACAGUGAAAAGGAACUAUAUCUAUAGAUUCAACUUAAAGGAUUAUGGGACAUCAACAAGCAUAAAAAAAUGGGGAAGAACAGGAAAAUGUUAUAUCCAUAGAUAAUUCCAAAAGAGGAUAAUUCUUGAUAGAACUGGUUGUUGAGGCAAUAUAUCAUUAGGCCAUCUAAUCUUUAACUGAUUUCUGUUAAGUUACAGUUCUUUGAAAACAUUCAUAGUCAUGUGACACCACUAAGCAGGUACUGUGUAACGGUCAUGUACAUUUAUCAGCCAUGAUGAUGAUUCUAGUGAAUAAUUACUGAACAAUGUGAUGUAAAGAAGUUCAAUUUAAACGUGCCUACGAUAGUUCUUUUGUAGGCAUUGUUGAUUAUCCACAGCAUCAAUUACAAGAAUUGAAUGAUGGUGAAACUGCAGUAUAAGUAUUUAUUCAAAUAACUGACAUCCACAAUGGCAUAUGAGCAAGGACAAUCAUAUGAAAGUUGAUACCUAUGACAGUUCUUUUGUAGGCAGUGUUUAAAUGAUCUAUAUUCGUUCCAAGCAGUAGAAUUAGCAACCAAACGUGAAAGUGAGUUUUAAUGUAAAUUCAGCAUGCAUCUGUGAUCUCAAUUAAUGGAAUUACUACGACAAAGGACAAAUUUGAUAUAUAAACAUCUAGAAUGCCUAGCAAGGUGGUGGGAUGGGUGAUUAUCCUCGUAAAGCGAGGUACGCAUUCAAGCCAAGUUUGAGGACACAUCAGCUAACCGUUUUCAAUCGAAUUGAUUACCGUUUAUGAUCUCUCAAGCAUCAAAAUCAGCGAGCUAUUGUUCCAUUGUAGAGGUAUCAUAACAACACAAAGUCCCACAACUAGCCUGCGGAUACACCAGCAAGAAGCAGCAAAAGAAUUUACGCAAACGGAGGACAUGCAUCGCGCAAGUGCAAUCAAUCAUUCUCCACACACACGUGCACGCACGAUUCAUCCAGAAAAUGACCUGUCACUCGGUAAUCAGGAGAGCUCCGCUUAGCCUCGUCCAAGGAAUCGCGAUCCUCGACCCUCGCCUCUGGGAUGACCUCCUCGCGACUCGGCUCCGGUAAUCACAAUCCCCAAUACACAUGAGAGAAAAAUCUGAGUCAACCGGUCCAGAGACUUCAGCCUGUCAAGCACAGAGUAAGCGAGCGGUGCAAACAAAUUCACCUUGCCUCCACCGUCGGCGCCGCUCGAUCCACUCGCCUCCACCGUCGGCGCUGCUCGAUCCACCGCCAAGGCUCUCGUGGGACGAGUGUCGCGCGUACUCGCACCAGCGUUUGAUGAAGAACUGCAACUCGCGAGGCGGUGAUCUGUGUCGAGAUUUAGGGCUUAGGGUUGCGUUGAUUCGAGAGGGGAAGAGGGAAGAGAUCUGCGAGAUUUAGGGCUUAAGGUUCGUUGAUUCGAGAGAGGAAGAAUCGAAGAGAUGUCGUAAAGAAACGGAGAAACGGAGGAGGAGACGUCGUGAAAAAAAACGGAGGAGAGACAUCGUCAUUUUGAGAAUGGUAAUACCCACAAAACGACGUCGUUUCGCUUACGUGCACAAUUUUUCUUGCCCUAAUUGCCACGUAGGAGAGAGAAAAUAUUAAAAUAAGCCAAAUAAGCAAUUUCCGUUAACAUAAACUAACGGUGUUAACGGAAGGACUCAAUUGAACCAAGUUGACAAGUUUUAGGACUUGAUUGCACUUUUUGUAAGUUUUAGGACUCAAUUGCACUUUGUUGACAAGUUUUAGGACUUGUACUGUACAUAUCCAAAAAUUAAAUGCAACGUCUUUCCAUGCCAUCGAGAAUGAAGAAAGAAAGAUUGCCCUUUAAGUUUUCCGGUGUUGGUUGAAGAUCCCCCCCCCCGGGGGGGGGGGGGGUUGGGUUGGGGAGAUCGAGAUACCUGAUGAAAUAUGUCCACGGCUAAUGCUGCACACUAUUCCUCAAGUAAAUCAACUUCUCCAUCGCAAGUUUCAUGCUAAUAAAGCCGUGAUUUUGGAAAAAUCUCAAAUAGAGAUAUGAAAUGCCCUCUUUUUACUCAUAAGAGGAAUAUAGUCCAUCUCAAAUAAAGAUCCAAAAUAAUUAUUUGGUCUCAAAAAAGGAUCUAGCUCAUCGACGGGCGAACAAAAGCAUCUCCCACGUCUGGUCAGGGAUAAUUUCAUCCAAAAAUAUUCUUUUUUCGUUUUCGUUUACCCUGUUCAUUAUGUCUAAUGCUAUAUACUAUUUCUCAAGUGAAUCAACUUCUCCAUUGCAAGUUUUGUGCUGUUAUUGGCUUGUUAUGCUUGUCUUUGUCCGAUGGUCAUAUGCAAUUAGGCAUCCGGGCUAGUUGGGCAAAACCAACAUAGGGUACUUGGAUUGACAAUGCUCAAGUCGAAAAGUAAUCAUUAGUGCUCAUUAUAAAAAUUGCUAUGGACAAUGCUCAACUCUAAAAGGAGCAAGUGUUGCUCAUUAUAAAAAUUGCCGACAAAUUGCUUGCCAUUUAGAUGUGUUUGGUUUCAAUAUAUCAUCACGCAACUAUAUACGUUGUGAUUUUUGUCAUUUAUGUCUAAUGUUGUACACUAUUUCUCAAGUAAAUCAACUUCUCCAUUGCAAGUUUCAUAAAGCUGUGAUUUUUGUUGGCUUGUUAUGCUUGUAUGUUUAUAACUUACUAUGGAUAGUUUUACUUUUAUUUUAAUUUUUUGGUAUGUCAUUGAGUUUGUGAGACUUAAUUUCAAUAUCAAUGGAACGAUCUUGUUGCUUGUCAAUUUUUUUUGUCUUUUUCAUUUUUGGAUUUUGCUUUUACUUGAUGAUGUUGCUGGUAUGUCUGUGGUGGUAGCUAAGGUGCUGGUAUGGCUAGUGAUGUCUAGUAGUAGUGGGUCUAUUAUGAUGGUUCGGUUUGAGGCUUGUGUUGUUUCUAGUGCAAGUGUGCAGUGUGCACAUCUUGCACCAAGUGGUGCUGGUGCAAGGCUCGGCUUACAUCAACACCUUCUGCAGCAUACCCACAAUUAGUACAGUGGCUGGUGGCUGGGGUGCUAGUGUGGUGGCUAAUGGUGGUAGCUGGUGAUGCCUUGUGGUGAUGGGUUUGUGGUGGGAAUUCUGUUGGCGGCUUGUGCCACACCUAGUGCAAAUGUGCAGUAUGCACAUCUUGUAUCAGGUGGUGCUGGUGCAAGCUGUACCUUGUGCAGCAAACCCACAACCAACAUAGUGAUUGGUGGCUAGGGUGCUAGUGUGAUGGCUAGUGGUGGUGGUAGGUGAUGGCUAGUGGUGCUAGUGGCCGAUGAUGCUUGAUGGUAGUGGGUCUAUGGUAGGGGUUGAGAGCUCAUGCAACACCUGGUGCAAGUGUGCAAUAUGCAUUCUUACACCAAGUGGUAUUGGUGCCAAGCGAGUGUAAGGCUCAGCUUACAAACACCUUCUGCAAUAGUACACCACUAGCACAGUAGUGGCUAGCCAUGGCUCGAGGUGGUGGAUGGGGUACUUGUUGUGGCUGGUGGUGGUGGUUGAUGGCCGGUGGUGACCGAUGAUGGUGGUUGGUGUAAUUUUUAGGGGAAACCUACAAAAAUUGACACUUGACUGAUAACAUUCUAAAAAAUUAACAUUUAAGUGUUCACUUUUACCAUAAGUGAUACUGAAGUUAUCACUUUAAUAAUAACUUGACACUUAAGUGAUCUUUUUUUCAUCACGACUAGUACUUAAGUGAUCACCAAGUACAACUUAUGGCACUUGAGUAAUCAUUCGUGUUUGUCCUAUGUAUAUGUUGAUUUGUAGCAAAUCAGAGAAGCUGUUAGUUUAUAUUUAGUUCAACUUAUAGCAACUUCAUUCAAUUCAAUGUUUGCUAUUGGUUUAUGUAUAUAUUCAAUUCAAGUAAAGAAGCUACCACAACACAUUGACUCAAUAUACAUCCAUCAUUGUUGGUUUAUAUUCAAGAACAAGUAAAAAUAUAGUACGAGCAGUAUUUCAUUCACUCAUUCUCUUUCCUUGACCUCUCCACAAGCACAAGAAGUAACCCAUGAUAUAUAUGACAGUACAAACAAUAACAAAGCUACAACGAUCUUGUGGACAACACAAACUUCUUCUCAUCUUCCAAAAAAAUGCAUACAUUUGAUCCAAAACAAUUGCAUUUGUCCACUCAUUUUCAACUAUGGCAAUCGGAGAAACUUCUUCUCAUCUUUCAGUGCCUAACAUUUCAUCAUAAAGUAGGAUAGAUAACAAAACAAUACAACAAUAAACACUUGGUAACAUUUCCAUUCAAAUUUUAUUCUUGAAACUUCAUUCUACAAAUGUUUAGCCGAAGAUGCUUGAGCUUGUAUUAAAUCAACAUCGUCCAAGUUGUCCACGAGCAUAGAUGGAGGUUGAUGUCAUCCAUCAAGUAGAUCCGAUAUCACCUCUGUGACUCGAUGAGAGAAUUUCACAUCGACUCAUUUGAAGUAUUUACACUUCGACCAUUCUCUAUAUCGGGCACAUUCAUAAAAUCUUCUCCUAGGAUUCAUUCGAGUCUACGAUGUUCUUUUUAGACUCGGUAACCCACAAAAACAAAAAACACUUGCCUUCACCUUCACUUCAAUGAGAGGAAUUUGAAGCACUGCUAAAAAUCCUGCUCUCUAUUUUCAAGAUUCAAUGGUGGAAUUUUAGGCAAAUCGAAAUUAAGAUUCGCGAUUAGGGUUUGAGCACUUCAAUAGGGAUUUUGGCUGAUUUAAGGUUUUAGAUUUUGGGCAAUUUGGGAGAUGGCGUUGUUUUGACCGAUUUAGGGCUUUUAUUUUGGACAACUAUGAAAAUGGCAUCGUUUUGGGUCAGUCAGAGCUGAGUCAGCUCUCCAACAAGCCACGUAGGCAAACAAAAUUAAUAAAAAAAAAUUAUCACGUAGGAUUUUCAACGGGGUUUGCCAGAAGUAGCACUCAAGUAUCUCAUUUUUUAAAAAAAAAUUAUACUUAAGUGUCACUUUACUAACUUUUAGUACUUAAGUGUCCUCUCAUGCUAAGUUUUAACACUUGAAUUAUUCUUUUUCCAGAAAAUAUCUAUCUAAAUCCCAACUUGCUUUGUCAUGCUCAUGCUUGCUUAUCAUACUCAUAUUUCUCAAUUUCCGAAGUUCAAAAUAUUGGGAUUUAACCCAAAAUUACUUGAAAAUUUAAGUAUAUAUCCAUUGCAUUUACUCACCUUUAUAAUCAAAUGCAACUACUUUGCAUAUUUAAUAUUGUCGUGAGAGCAUCGGCCAGAGUAGUAAGUGAAAGGAGGAUUUUGCAUGAAGCGUUUCAAAACCAGCCAAAGGAUCGGCUUAACCAUCUCUACUCACGUGAAUCAAAUACUGCAACGGGUGCCCUCUCAUUCCCUUGGGAUUAUGUUGUUUUUAUCUCCAUAAAGCCCUUCAAUUCUGUUUGGCUAUCUCGUUCACCCUCUUCAGCCAUUUAAUGCUUUCAGCUUCAGUAAAGCUAUCCUCUAAAUCUCCCAAUUGCUCCGCCCAAAGACAUCCUCUAACCGUAAACCUGCAUAGCAUAACUUAACACGUCUAAGUUUAGUUGCACUUGUGCAGGUGUUCGAUUAGUAGAUGCUAUUCAGAUAAGAGGCUAAUCUGAGGACCGAUGCAACUAACCUAGCCACACAAAUGCCUCUUUAUCCCAACCCAAGUGUGAUGCAGCUGAUAAGCCCCAUGGUGAUCGAAGAAAUUGAAUCAACAAAACAAUAAUUAAUAUAGCAAUAAAUAAAUUUCAAGAAAUUUAAUUAUAAUCAUCCUAGCAGACGGACUGAUGAUUAAAGUAACAAUUAAUAGUGGAAGGACACAAAUAUUUUCUUAUGAAGUAGAGUUAUGAUGAUAGAAUAUUGGGAUAAGUGCAUUGAAUGUUCUAGAAUUUCUCACGAAAGUGCAAUUGAGUUCUAAAUUUUCAAAAAUUGCAAUCAAGUUCUAAAACCUGUCACAAAAGUAAUUGUGUUAUAAAAUUUUUACGAAGUGCAAUCACGUUCUAAAACUUGUUGGGAUUUUCUAUUUAUCAAGUUGGACGAAGUUAAUGGAAUAUUUGAUCACAUUGACAAGUUUUAUGACUUGAUUAUACUCUCUUUUUUUUAAAAAAAAGUUUUAGGAUUUAAAUCACUUUCUAAAUGCUCUAAGGAUAAGUAUUAUUAUCUCUUGAAGUCCUUCUGAGCUGAGAGAAUUAAAAACUUCAUUGAUUUGAUAAAGAGUAUUAUUAUCAAGAGAUAGCUUGUUGAGUUUUUUGUUGACUUCAUAACGUCCAGCAGUAUGGCCUUCUUUUCCACAUUGAUAGCAUGUUAUACUUCAAUUGAUUUUUUUUUAUUUUUUUUUAUUUUUUAUUUUUAGUUUGAGAAGGGUAGGAUGAAGAUUUUCAGGAAAAAAAAAUUAGUGUGAUUUAUUUAUUUAUUUAUGAUUUGGUUUUUUUGACCUUCUAUAAGAUAAUUAUCCCACCAACAUUUUAAUUGUCCAAUAAAAUAGCCAUCGAUAUUCUAAAUGUUCUUCACAUCAAACAAUCAUGGUCUCCAAUGCGUAUAAAACACAACAAAAUGUAUUGUGAAAUAUUUUUGUGAUUAUUUAUAUUUCAAUCAUAUCGUAACGUGUCAUUGCCAUUAAAAUUUUUAUCAUUUGUAUCACUUUGUUUGUUUUACAUAUCCUUUCCAAAUCAACCAUAAUAAUAUUUCAUAUUGUAACGUUAGAUCCUCUAUCUUAGAGCCCGGGCAUUUAUAUGCAUACGGAGCAACCAUGGAAUCGAAUCUCAGUGGAGUACGUGGAUCCUACUGAUAAAUGAAGAUUGCUGAAUGUCUCUGAGAAUCUUAGGAAGACGACACUCGGCAAUGACCAAAUUCAGCGAUGGAAUCACCCGACGAAGGUACUCAAGCCGAGUUAGAUGAAGAACGACCGAAGCUGGAGCCACCACGAAUAGUCGUCAUCUGAGAGAAGAAGAAAAUAGAGAGAAUGAGUUAUCAGAGGUGAAGGAUCUGUACGUUCUAUGAACUGAAAGAGAGAGCGCGUGAAGUCUGCGGCGAUAGGAGGUGGUCCGGUGUUGCUGGGCGACGAUGAUGUUGCAGCAGCUUAGGCGGUGACGCAAGGACGGUGAGCUUCGAUGAAGGUGAAGACGUAGUGAUGGAUAACCCACAUGCAUCUCUGAGACUGACGAAGGAAGUGAAUCAAUCAUUUUUAUAUCUCUCUAGUAUUUGAAUCACCAAGAAUUCUUUUCAAAAGUAUAAGUUUUUUAUGGUACCUUCAUUUCGUAGAAAACUCAAUGAUAAAAAGCAUUUUCGAAUAAUAUGAUUAAUUUUCCAUUAUUUGGUAAUAUAUAAUCAAAUCAAAAACGUUUUUUGAUAUUUGGAUCUCAUUAGAAAGUGAUUUUGAUAGUAUGACUUUAUCUUAGGCCAAAAAAAAAUCGAAUUUUUUUAAUUUUUUUUCUUUUUUAAAAGUUCGAAUUUUUAGUUUUUCAUUUUAUUUUUUUAAAAUUCGAAUUUGUAAUUGGUUCUUCAAUGAGUUGUAAAAAGAAAGGGAGAUUAAUUAGAAAAACGUUUUUUUUUACUAUACCAUUUUCACUAUUAUUAUUAUUAUUAUUAUUAUUAUUAUUAUUAUUAUUAUUAUUAUUAUUAUUUUCUUCUUCCUUUUUCAAAUGCAGAUUUGGUUUAUUGACAAAAUUAUUUGCCAACGAUGUUCAGUUUCUUAUUUUUUUUACCCACGGUUCUCAACAUUUUCACGAUUAAACCCAAUUUGGAGCACGUCCAUUGAUUUUCCUCUUAUAUUUAAUAAUCGUGUUAUGAAAAGAGUAAAAUUAUCAGCAUUUGACAAAGCUUUUGCUAACAAAAAAAAAGACAAAGCUUUUGCUAAGCAAGUUCAUGACAUCAUCACAACAUUCUACUUCAACUUCAACAUACUCAGAAUGCUGCCUUAGUUCUUCCGAAUCAAAGUAGGUCCAUUGCUUCAUGUUUAAAUUUGUGUACCUCAGUUAAGACUAUGCGGAGUGGAAUUCUUGACCGAACACUUGUCUGUUGAAGUCCUCAUAGCCAUUGGAGCUUAACCAAGGCCUUUUCUAUCUUCCUUAAAUAGCCGUGAUACCAAUUGAUUUAAUUGCAAUAUCUAAUAGUUUUCGCGCUAUAUUGCAUAAUUGGUAUAACAGCUGUCAACAGCCAGGAGACUAACAAAUAAGUAUUUGGUCAAGAACUUUGAUCCACAACUCUUUUGCCUGACAGCACAGGAGCUUCUUGGAUUAUAGCCGCACAAGUGGUGCACCUUAUUGAACACAUUGGAGGUUUUGUUUCGACAUCCAAACUGAGUUGUUUCCAUUGAUAUAUACCGUGAGUUUGGAUGUAAUUUAAGACUUGGAAAAUACUCAAACAUGCAAGUGAUCAUAACUCUAUAAUUCCCUUAUUUACUAAUAGAUUAUUUACAGUUGACUAUCCCCAUAGAGUAAAUACCGACAUUCAGAUUGUCCCAUGCAGAUCUCUUCAUUUAUUUACUAUUCCCCAUUUAUUUCUCCAGUAAUUACGCAUCGAAUUAAUUAUGAGGUUCGAUAAUUUUUGCAUUAUAUUGAAAAACUGACAUCGCCUAACCAAUUCCGAGGCCCGAAAUCAUUCAGCAAUAGAGACGAGUCCUUAGCACAACAAAAACUAUUCAGGAGGUGGCUCAUUGUAAGAGUCGCCCAGGUAUUCAAAUCUUAUAGUAAUAUCGUCCUUCAUCCUCCAUCAAGAUACAGGUUUGGCUCACCGUUGUGCCUAUCCGUCUGUAAAUAGGAGAGUUUUCCGAGGGACGGUCCCGUCCUUCGUCUGGUGAGGGUACACACAGGUUAAUGAUGUACAUUCCCAUAUGGACAUAUGGUCUCCUAGGCUGGAUCUCAUUACAUGUUUUCACUACAAUCAGGCAAACUUCUCUAUCAAGAUGGUCUGUAACUAAAUAAGAUAUGAAGAGGAAGUUGCAUUUUCUUUCUCAUUCUUCACUGCAUGCAUGCUAUCGCGAGGCAUGAGAAAAUUAAAGGUUUAGAGUGGUAAAAAAGAAGGAACAAUAAUCUGCAGCCAAGAAAGGAAUAGUAGAUUUUCAUGACUACUCUCUGCUAGAACUUCAGAAUAUGUAUAAUGAGCUUCCUGUCAAGAGAUCUGUUUUUCUUCAUUCUAAGAACUAUUUUACUAAAAAGUUCCACAUGUAUUUACAAGAACGUGGACUACCUGUAGAAUAUAACAUACAAUUUUCAUUCAAACUGUAUUUGCGACAAUGAAGUGAGGAUUCAUUUCUUCUUGCCUCUUCCUUUCUUAUUUUGCUCACCUUUGGACUUGCAAUUGCCCCUGUUCUUGUUCUGGUUUUCCACACCGCCAGUCUGGGAAAAAGAAGAUGAUGAAGCCUGCUGAUCCUUCUUCACUUCACCGGUUUUUUCAGCUUCCCCAACUUCGCCCUUCUCUUCCUCAUUUGCUAAGCCCACUUCUUGUCUCGGCAAUGACGACGCAUUUGCACCAUCCAAAUGCACAACUGGUACUGCACUGUCGGAAGAUGAAGAGGAAUCCUUGGAAAAUUCAGUCAGAUCUUGCAACUUGCAAGAGCUCUCAGCACUUCCAUCUUUGGGGAAUAGGACUUUCAUAAUCUCUUCUUUGCAUUUGUGCGACUUCACAUCUAAAAUGAUGGCAUGUGGACAUUUUGACCGAUCUGAAGCAGAAUUGGUAAUUACAAGGGGAUCAUCAACUUUUUCGAAUGCUUCAGCAAGAACACCCACUGAAAUUUCCUGUAAGUAUGGCCUCCGGCAACGUGAAAGAAUAUGACGAAAUUCGGGAGGUAUUUGCUCAGAAAUCCAACUCUUACCGAGCAAAUUGAAGAGAAAAUAUGGACUGGUGCCAAAAUUCAGGUGAAGCAAACAAAGCAAAAGAACCAACUUCAAGACCAACAACGGGUAAUACUCCCUCACAUUUAGGUUCGAAUUUUUGAUCCAUUGUCUGGUAUCAUCCUUACUGUCAAGAAGGUCCGCAACAGUCCUUGUAACAAACUGGAUGGGCUCCAAGCAAUUUCCCAGGUUGAAACUGAAGCUAGGCUUUGCUAAACCUUCAUGGCAGAUGAGCCAUUCAACUAGAGAAGAUUUCGUUGUAUAAAACUGCCCUUUGGAGCAAGCUAGCAAAAUCACAAGUCGUUCCAAGAGAUACAAAAAGCAAAUUGGUGUGAUGUAGUCUCUUUCAGUCCUCCAAUUGGCAUUGUAACCAUCUGCCAAAGCUCGAUAAAGGUUCCAAGCCAAAGAUAUUUCCACGGGUCCAUUGCUCGCCUGAGGAAGGUCUGAUGGUACAUCCCGACAAAUGCAUUCCAUGAAUGCCUCCCAUGACGUGUCUCCUUUAAAUGAUUUUGCUAUUUUUCCGUAAAAAUCAUCUUCGAGCAUUCCAGACCCAAGAACCAAAGUCGCAAGCUCACCCAUCUUCCCAUGUGAAAAAUGCUUCUUCGAAAUUAUCAUGUUCAUUGUUUCUCUCAGUAAAUUACGAGAAGCCUCACUUCCUCUCAGAGAUACCAUAUUCUCUGAUGACGAUAUUCUCCAGUCAAGUGGAAAUAUGUGACCAAAAUACCUCCCACUGGAUGUUUCAAUGAAACCGUCCAGUGCCUUACCAUACUGGAACGAGCGAUUCCGACAAUUAAGUUCUCUAAGGAACUUGGCAACCUCAUGUAAGAUAGCAAGACAUCUGCUUUGCCAGAAGUUCGACCGAGAACUCUUCGCCAAAAAUUGAUAAAGAGCAUCCAAUUUGUGCAGGAGCUCCAUACCAACAGAAGUAAGCUCACAAUACCAAUACUUUUGAGCUGCAAAGACCAAUUGUCUAAGAUCCAAAGCAACGAAUUGUCCCUUUUUUUUAAGAGAUCUUUUAUCUAUGUUUCUGACCCAAUCAGCAUCUGGGUUUACAAGGUGAUAAGUUCUUUGCAUGUUGUUCCAUUGCUCCAGAACACCAAAGUAAUUCAGACAGAACUCCCAACAUGACGUAUUUUCCCUUCCCACCUGCAUCUUCACACAUCCUACACUCUCUAUAAUUCUAACAAUUUUCUCUCUCCAAAGAUUCCAAAAGCAGACCAAUGAGUCAACGGAAAUCUGAUUCCCCAAGGUCAGUUGUUCAGAAUAGUUUGCUGGGUCGACAAGCCAAUCACAUUCCCAACAAAAAUUUGAGAUAUUUUGCCAAAGAUGGAAGUCCAGAAUAUUUCGAGUGCACAGUAUUUCACCUCUGACACUUCCAUUUCUACUGGAAGCACUCAAAUGUUCUUUCAUUUGAGCCAAACUGUUCUCUUUAUUUAACAAAAUGCUUGAUUCUACAGAAACAUAUUCAUAGAAGGCAAUAGGCUCAGGCUCUGCGAGAAGUUUGGCUUUUGCUACCAGCUCCUCCUUCUGAGCAAACUGCUUCAAGGGCCACCCUUUGCCUCCAGGAGCCCAAAGGGAAUAGAAUAAUAUGUACCACAGGAUAUUCAUCGACGCUUCCCUGUUUUUUCCGCUCUUCCCAAGUAGAUCAACCUCACGAAGGAUGUCACCUUUCAUCCUCACAAUCUUUGCCGCCUCCAAAAAGUUACCAAAUUCUUCCUCCAGACUUAUAAGUUCAUCGAGGCAUCCAAGCCUCUUGAGCAAGUUUCUCAUUGAAUCGAUGCAAUGAAAAGCCUUCACAUACUUCAUCAUGGCCCUGUAGUCUCUGAGGUUGUAGAAAUGAAGGGCACAACUCUCUAAAAAGUCCUGUUCCACUUUCUCUAUUUCUUUACUUUUCUUCUCAGUUCCCUGCCUUUUCCAAUCCUCAAUGUAUCGCAGACCCAUUUUAAAGAGUUUUUCUUCAGCACAAAUGGACAAGCACUUUGAGAAAAUAUUUGCCCUUGCAUAUGCCUCCGCUGCAAGACUGUAGCACCGAGCAAGAGAGAAACACUCUCCAGCUUUCUCCAAAGCAGAUUCUCCACAUUUAUCCAUAUAUAUUCUACCUGUUGAAGCAUAAAUAAAUUUGAUGUCAGUCUCAUUUAUAGAGUGCUGAUGUUCAGAAGAUAAAACAUAGCAAAGGGACAUUUGGAAGCUGCCAGAAAUGCUCUUGUACAGCUCAGCUCUUGUACGGCUCAACUAUAUUCUCCAAUGUCAAGAGAUGAAACAGGAUCAACGUCCGUAGGUGGCUACAAUACCAAGAAGUUUUUGACAAACCAUAGUCAACAUGGAGUAUUGCAACUGACAGCCACAGCUUUUUUUUAAACUUAUAGGUCUGGUCAGUGUUAAGAACUUAGCAGCUCAAAUUUUUCCAAACUGCUGAGAGAGCAGAGACAGGUUAUCAUAUAGAAAAUAAUCAACUUCCAAGCCAGGACAUUAAUCAUGAAGUCAACAUUAGUAGCACUUGCUCAAAAUUCACCAAAAGCAUUUCAAAUUAACAAGUGAGAUCGAACUACUUUUUUUUUUAAUAUUGAAAGAGGAAAAUCAAUUAAACUGGUAAACAAGAGCGUACCACACAUGCAAAAUACUACAUGCAGAAGAAUGCGAAGUCAAAUUUCCUCUCUCUCUUAGGCAGCUUUGACAUAGCUACAACAAGAAGAAAAGUGAAGAUGCGGCAUAUCUCCACCUUAUCAUUUUGAAAGAAAUGAAAAGAAAAAUGAUACCUGCUAUCUCAUAUUCCUUCAACAUGUAGAAACACUCCGCUGCAGAGUCGGCCAUUCCAAUUGUUUCAUAGAUCUCAGCAGCCUGCCUUCGAAGGUCAGAAGCCUCUUGUGGAUUUGAAACGUGCUUGAGAUCUGCAUCUGCUUUGAAAGCGGAGGCCUUAGCCAAUCUCUCCCCGUAUGUGUACCUUGCUCGUUCAAAGCACGUUAUUGCCAUUGGGUAUUUACCGUCACGUAAGAGCUUGCAAAGUUUAUUAAAAAGAAAAAAAAAAAGAGAGAGAGAGAUCAUUAGCUUCCUCAGAGAAGGUGAAAAGAAGAAAAAAAGAAAACAUAGUCCUCCCUUAUAGGAAAAAUCAGAGGUGUAGACUUACACCAAAACAAUGCACUGUCAUUGACCUGACAACCUCAAAUGAGGAAAAAGAUCAUAGAAAUAUUCCUAUCAUGUUGUUUAUCCAUUGUAUGUCUAAAUGAAGUAUUAGCCAAACUAUUAAAAAACGAAUAAAGCUGGCAAAUCGAUUGCCAUAUCUGUACCAUAGAACGUCCACAUUCUACACACUUUUUUUUCUUUUCAGGAUCAGUCAUACUUUUGCAGUCACUAUGGUCAUUCCAAAAUCCCUAGCAUUCACAGAUCAUGUUGACUCCAAAUGAGGUGAAAACAACAAUUCUGUGAAGAGGAAACCGCCAAUAAAGGCAAAACAGAAAAACAGCGAACCUUAAAACCUUGUGACUUCCACUCCUCUGGCGUGCUCCUGACCUGCAUUGCUUCUGCAAGGGUAUGAUCUACCAACCUGACUUGAAUGAGGCACUUCUUCUUCCAGUAGUCGAACAUUGGCUUCGAGAACUCCAAGGCAUUCUCACAAAUCCACAAUCUUUGCCUUGUCCGAGUAAUUGAGACAUACAAUUGUUUCAAUUCAGAGCAUAAUAUAUUGUGUUUCGCGUCAUCGAAACUUGGGGAAGACCAUUGAGAGCUGUGAUCAAGCAAAGCUUGCUCCUUCAUGUAUCCAUAAAUGACCCUCCACUGACUUUUUAGAGGUGAUGUGCCAAAGAAGUUGUACAAUAAGACAUCCUACACAACAUCACGGCAAAAAAGUUUCAGGUCAGAACAUCUGAUUUAUGACCAAAAUGACAGAUUUCAAGUUUCAUGAAUACAUGAACAAUUUUAAAAAAUUUAGCAAAAAAAAUCUGGACUCAUUUCAACACACCAGCCUAUCAAGAACAGCCGUAAAGUCGCAAGAUCAUUGAUAUUGUCUAUUAACCUAGAGGAUGAUGUUUUUUUUUUUUUUUUUUAGUCAGUCCUACUCUAUUCCUACUCUACACUCACUCUCAGACUUUUGCCCUGCCUCUUGCAGGGCGUGGGAGUCGAAACCCACUUCUGAAACUUACGCGUCCCCACCCCAUCCCUCCCUGAGAAGGUGGGGAUUUGAACCCCUCACCUCCCCCUUCCAUGUUGGAAGAAUGGCCACUGGGGCGAAUCCCAGUGGUUUAGAGGAUGAUGUUGACAUGAGACAAAUUCUACGUUAUGAGUAUCUAGAUGCCAUUGUCUACAUAACAAAAAAGGGUAUAGUAGAAUGAAAAUGCCAAUCCAAGCUUCUUACAGAGUAACAGCUUGCAGCAAAUUGGUCAUGACCCAUUAAAAAAAAAAAGGAUCUUGAAAUCUCUAUGCUGCUCCUAUUAAUAUCCCAUAGCAAACAAUCCAACCUGACCCACACCUACCUGAAAUUCCAACCCCUUGCACUCCACUAUCGUCAGAACUAGCGCUUGCCCUCCCACGAGGUUUGAAAUUUCAUUUCUAGAGUGAUCAUCUCGAACCAAAAUAACCUGCUCUGCUCCAAAGCCAACAAAAUUACCACUAAAAUCACGGUUGCCAAAAAUUGAUAGUAUGGCACUUUCGUCAUUCUCUGAUUCAAGUAAAAUUGGGGCUUCCCCACAUAUAAAGCUAGUCUCAGGGCUUAAAGCAUCAACGGAUAAGGGGAAAAAAUGGUAAAGAAGAUCAACAACACUCUGCGCCAGUUUGAGUAUACCAGCAUGAGUGCGGAAGUUUUGGCUCAAAUGGAAAUUUUUUGAUAGACAUCCCUUUUCCAUUCUGAUAUCAGGUCCAUCCAUUGAAUCCAUCAAGAACUCCUUGUAGAAAAGGGACCUUAUGUCUUCAAACCUGAAGUCUAUUCCCCUUGCAAUAGUUUGUGCAGUGUCACCAGAAAACACAAAGCCCCCAUCAACAUUUCUACAGAUAUACUUGAACAGUGAAAUUUGCCUCAUGGUGAGAUCCUGCACUUCAUCAAUAUAUACAAAAUCCACCACGUUACCAGCAAACUGCCCAUGAAAAAGACGGCAAUGAAGAUCACUGACAAGAUCAGCCAAAUCAAAUUCACCAUUUUUCAUUUUCAUCUUUUCAUAAUCCUCAAAAGCAUCAUAAAUUUCUUCUCUUCUCUGAAUACUCAGAGUGGAGACACGACCCUCUGAAAGAGAAACAUAAGCUGGUCUGUCAAGUUUGCCUUCACAACCAUCUGCUGGUGGAAGACCUCCCUUUAUGUGGGACAUUAUUUCAGUGAAGACUCUAGAAGGAUCAAGCCUCCUCCUUAUCUUGUCAUUGAAGUGAGGCCAAUAAACAGCACGAAACUUUUCGUAAGUAACCUCCUUUGCUCUUAGAAGACUUUGUAAGGCCACUGGUCUAGAACUGAAGGAUUGGCCACGACAAAAAUCCCUUAGAUCGGGGAACCUUUCAAAGAAUGAAACCCCCACAGUUCCGUCUAGCAUUAUCAGAAGCUUUCGAAAAGUUAUAACAAGGGGAUACGAGUUGGGAGAUAUAUCUAAAAAUGAAUCCGGGAUAUCCUUGAAUAAUGCUGCAUCAUCAACAAUCUCAUCAACUGAAGAGCUUUUUACUCUAUGUUUAGCACCAAUGCUGGAGCUGCAGGAUUAAUGAAGCCAGCAAUUAGAAACGGAAAAAUAUAUUUUUAACAAACUUACAGGAAAUUAGAACACGCUGUUGCACCAAGAUUAUAAUGAUAUACUAUGAGACAUGGAUAGCAUUUACAUCAGCUGGCAAUGAAAAUCUUCCCCCGCGGCAAGAUUCGUAGAAUAGAUGGUCCUUUCUCGAUUCUAAUUAUAAUUGCACACGUUCAUUUAAAGUACGCUUUUCUUUUUAUACGUACAAUGCUACAAUCACAAAAUUUAAUACGAAAGUUUCCAAUAAAAUGGGAUUGCAAACUAAAUAGUUGGCACAAAGACCAGAAUAAGGAAUAUUGCCGCACAAACUAAUGUUUAGUUUCAGCGAGCAGAUGAUGUCGAUCUCUAACGUGCAAUGAUUAAAUCUAUUUUCUAGCACCCAAGCAUGGCAAAGUACUGAUUUGACCCAUGCACUCAUGCCACAUGUUAUAUUUCCUACCGAACUCUAUAAAAUGAAGUAUCUUGGUUGUGCGUCUCCGCUAGGCGGAAAAUAGUUGCAUGCCAAAGGGGUUAUCUUCUUCUCCGGACUAAUUCAUAAAAAAAAAAACUUGACAAUCCAUUAACCCUUGCAUAUGUUUGUUCAUUGUAAAAAUUGCAGAAUAUUUAUUCUAUUGUUCCAACAUCUUCCCAUGACAUUUUAUGUACCUUCUAAGUUGAGAUACAUGUUGUUUGACCGCAAAACAUAAUUUCGCACUGACAGUCACAAAAAGCUGGCGCAAUACACAAUCCUCUGCUCCUUCACUGGUUUCCUCAACAUUGAUUUCCAGGGAGGCAUCUUUGCUGUGGCUGACACCACUUUGGAUUUCCUGAAAUCCCUUGGUUGCUUCAUCAUGCAGUUUCUCGUUUCUAAACAACUUCAUUGUCAGGACCGUAGUUUUCCCGGUUCCAGAUCGCCCAAGUAUAAAAGUGCUUCUGGGAAAAAGAAUUAUCUCCUGUUCUUGCUCUGUUACUUCAAACGGAAGACUUGCUUCAUUACCAUCACUGUCAUCGAGCAAAUAUCUGACAAUAUCUGAUGAUAAGGGGUAGAAUUUCAUCAGAAGCAAACUCUCGCUCACUUUCAUGUUCUCUGCAUACAACCUACGAUCUGAAGCAUCAGCAUCAGAACCACUCCCAAAUCGAUCUUCACUAGGACUUCGAUAGCGGACAAAAUCGAAAGUACACGCCCAGGUCUUUGGAACUUGCAGAUCCCUAUAAUAGGAAGAGGCGUGUGAAAUGAAAAAAAAUAGGGGGAUAAGAUCAAUUCAAGAUAUUUGAGUCAUCUAUCUGGAAAAGAAUGCUUUCUAAUUUAGUAAGUGAUGUGCUACCUAUCUUCAGUAAGAAGAAAUGAUCAGACUUACCCCUCAAAGCAUUUCUCAUUGCAACGACUAAUAAAAUCAUCACUAUAUGUCUCGAAAAUGCUGUCCAAACGUUUGACCAAUUUUGCCACAUCCUCUAAAGGCAUUACAUCCCAUAUCUUCAGGAUUUGGAUGUAUCUCAGUUCCUUUACAACAUCAAUCGUGCAUAAGACAUAGAGACCUUCAGCCUUAAAUUGUCUCACGAUAUGAGAUGAGUGUUCACAAAUUAUAUCCACAUUCCUCUUCUUUGGUCUCCAGGCACUGGAUAGUCUUGACAGAAGCAUAAUGAUUGACAUCUUUAUCCUGAGUGAUGCCAGCUUUCUGAAAGACUUCAGGAAGUUGUCACUGAAAAUAACCUGAUAAGACCAAAGCAUGACAAUAAGAUAUGUUGUCACAAGUUCUAUAAAACUCGAUGCUUAUUUUGAAAAAUAAAUGUAGCCAUAGAAUACUGUUGAGCAAAGUUUUUUACCUUCCACCUUGCAUUUCUGAAAAGUACACUGCUUCUGUCAAGUAGAUCAUCAAGCUGGUCAUUCUCUUUCUUCACAUCUAAGAUGGCUUUAGCCAAAUCCUUGUCAUCAUCAACAUUGAAGAAACAUCCACGACUCUUCGCAUUGUGAACCACAGCUUUCCACACAGAACCGCUUUUCGUCAAUGUUUUCUCAUUUCCCAGAAUCCACAGACAAUACCUAUAGAUAGGAAAUUAACUCGGGGAUUUACUUGCUAUAUCACUCUAAAAAUGUUAUUUGACACAGUUAAGAGGAUAGAGUACCUGGCCCUGGUAAGAGCAACAUUGGUUCUCUUAGUACUGGACAAGCACCCAAUAUUCCCAUGCCAGUUUGAUCUUACGGUUGAUAUUAUAACAAUGUCUUCUUCACCCCCUUGGAAUCCAUCCACUGACUUCACCUUGACCGUAAAGCCCUUGAUAUUUUCAUACUUUUUUCCAAGGUUAGCUAGAACUGCAGCAACCUGAGCUGUGUAAGGAGAUACGACACCUACUGUCAGAUCUUCUUCUGACCCAUUCCAAGCUGCAAAGAGAAUAAAACCAUCACUACAGUGACAUUAUUUUUGGCGGGGUGCAAAACUUUGAAAGAAAUAUCUUAGGAAAAGAAAUAUUAAUGGCCGUCAUAAUCUACACCUAUAUGAUUAAGUAAUACAUGUAAAAUCCACGUGCUCAAAGCAAUACGUAUAAAAUUCUCUUGACAUACCUCUGUACAGAUUCCUGACUAUCCUCGAGAUAACUUCCACCUCAACAGGGUUUCUAAGGCUACAGCCAUCAUCACCGAUUUGUUCUUCUCCAUCAGGAAUAUUUAUGAACGAGUAAGGGCCAAACGUUGGCCAUGGCAAAUGACUUUUUCUGUAACUUUUGCUCUUCACAUUUGGCCCAUCCAAAAUUUGGUUUUGAUAAAAUUUUGAAGUCGGAAACAGACUUAUUGAUGGAUGCAUCCGGUAUUGUAUAUUGAAAAGUUGCCUUGAAUAACCCAGUGAAGUCAAUCGUUCAAACAGACUCCUUCCAAAACCAACCUGAUUAGAAACCUUUAAAAAAAAAAAAAAAAAAACAUGAUAUCAAAUUCAACAGGCGUUAGGUAUAGAAAAUUUAGCCCAUCUAAGCUGAAAUGAAGAGAAGGAGAUUACAAAUCUUACAAAACCAAAUACAAAGUUCCUUUUCAGACAUUUUAACAUUACCUUGCUUUCGACCAUAGCAGGCAACUGACACUCAUCUCCAACCAAAAUCAGAUGCUUGACACCAGGGAUUUGCAGAGGAAUUACUGACUCACAUUCCUUCAACUGGGCUGCCUCAUCGAUUACCAGUAAAUUGAGAGGCUCCAUCUUCACAGAGUGCAGCUUAUGUGAACAAGAAGCAGUGCAAAAAAUCAGGGAUGCACGUCGAUAACAGAAGUUGGCUAUCAUGCCCUUACUCACAAAGUUUGGAAGUUUUAGAUCCUUCAGAGAAUCACGAACAGUUAGCAACAUGGAAAGGCAUUCCUGUCUCUUCAUAUAUAUAUCAUAUAGUGGACCCCUGGAUGUCUCAAACGAAAACAGGCCAAGUUCAUCACGUGAAAGAGUUAUCUCCAUCAUCUCUGAAUCCAACUUCUCUCCACAUAAUAAAGAUUCAAAAGAAUUUAGUAAGUUAAGGAGGGAUGUAAUAUUCUGGAAUUUAGUUCUGGAUGUAUGAGUACAGAAAGUAUAGAGGCAUGCUCGCAGGGGCUGGACAGUUUCCUUGAAUUGGUCCCUGAAAAACUCAAGAAAUGAUUUGAGCUCACAGUUACCAUCUUCUUCACUGCUUCCACAUUCGCUCCCAUCAUCACCACUUCCUAGUUUCCUUCUUUUUGCGUGUUCGUUUUCCAAAAAUACGCGGUAUUGACGGACACAGUCAGCAAGAGUAUCUAUCAAGGAAGUUAGACACUGAUGCCAACCAGUAAAUUCAGAAAUGCACUCUACACGAUGUUCCAAGUAUAUAUCUUCAAUGUCGGAAUCAACUUUCAGCCGUUCCUUGUUCCCAAAAAUAAGCAUGUCUCCAAAGUAACAGGGCAAACUUUCCGUUUCAGUGCUUAUACCACUAUCUGAUUCCUUUAGCAGCUUCAGAACACGAGUUGCCACUUCCUUGAUGGCAACAUUUGUAGGAGCACAAACAAUGGUUCUAUGUUUCCUUUUCAAGAGAGUAAGUAGCAGUGUAGCGACAGUUUUAGUUUUCCCAGUUCCAGGAGGACCCCAUAUCAGGUCGACAGAUGGCUUGUUCUCACAAUGGAGUUUACUGAGACAGGCCCCAACUGCUUUCUUUUGGGAUUCAUUCAGAUCAUGGCUCAAUCUCUCGUCAAGGCUCUCAGUCGCAGAACCAUUACCUUUUGUAACACAAAGAUUAGAAACUUUAUCAGCCUGCAACCAAAACAUAUUUCUUGUGAUAAUCCAGACCAUGUAAAUAUGGCAGAAGGUUCUGAAACUUAAUUGGUGUUAAUAUGAUAUAAAGAGCAUUGCAUAGCACAAACUUAAAUCCCGUGAAAAAUAUAGUACAGAAAAUUUUAAGGUCUAGUACCAAUGAGUAAGUUGCCUCCAAGGAAGUAAUUUGCCCUAUUCAAGACAUAAUUCAUUCAUCUUCAUAUCAUGAAACGGACCAAAGGUACAAAUCGACAGGAAUAAACUGAAGCUUUGAAGCUUAGAGGAAUAUAAUAGCCAUUUUAAGUCUAAAUGGACCAAAGGUACAAAAAAGGAAAGUCAUACCACCAAAUCUGUGCAGAGAACUUCCUUCAAAAUAUCCAAGUUCAGAGACAUAUGCAACGCAUUCCAUAUCCUUCUGUUAGUGACUAUAUUUAUCAGGAAAAUUGCAUACAUUGGCUUCCACGAAUUAUUUACUUCAAGGUUCAAUAAUGUCUCCACUUCAAAGUUUGUCGAUGACGUUGCCUCAUCCUCUUCAUCGUCUUCUCCAAUCAUCCUAACUAAUGCGAACGCCCAUCUUCUUCCGAACCUCUCCAAGUCAGGAACAGUUGCUGGCUUAGCAUCAGUUAGAAUCAAGAUGUCUCCAGGCAAAGUUUUGUAAGUUUCCUUGCCACGAGUGUUGGAUUCAUUGUUCCACCGACCGGCCUUAACAGCAUAUGAGUUCCCACUUCCCCUGCAUUCCACACAUUCAAUAACCUCAGUGAAAGGCAGCAAAGAAAUAUUUUUCAAACUCGAGCACAGACUCGCCCGGGUUUCUUCCAGUAAAGGGUAGACAUACGAUCCGAGAUAAUCCUGGACCGACUGAAAUUGAUCCGGUAUAGUCUCCACCUACAAAAACAGCUCAGCCAAUUGUCAAAUAUGACCAACCAACCUUGACAUUUCAAAAGAAUACUUGGACCAAAUUCCAUAAAACAUAACAUAUACUCCUAAAAUGCCUAACGAGCUUGCCGAACAAAGUAGAAUCAUAAAGGGUUCUAUUCUACUCAGUUGAAUGCAAGGUUCUUAUAAGGCAGGCUUACUAAAAGCACAAACACCAAAAAAAAAAAAAAAAAAAAAAAAGGAACGAACAGACAUCAUUGGAAAAUUCUCAGGUAAACACAACGUUGUCGUUGAACUUAAACGAAAAUAAACCAAAAGGGCAUGAUAAAAAGAAAGGAAGAAAAAGAAAAAGAAAAAGCAAAGAUCGGGGAAGAGUAGAAAGAAACCUUGUCAUGGUAGAGGUUUUCGUUGAGAAUGUCGUGAAAAGACCAAGAGAAGACAAAAUCAGUCAGGUCAUUAGUACCGUGUCUCCUCCUCCUGCUCAAACCACCCUCAGCUAUCUCCACACCCACCGCUCUGUUUGUGCAUCCUCCUAAAUCCAUCUGAACCCACGCACUAAAAUCUUCUACUUGUUUCUUUCUCCCCUUUUCUUGCCCAUCAAAGCACCAGGGAAAAAUCGCUCUGAGGUUUCAAGGAACUUUCGAGGCGAAUAUUGCGCACAGCUUGUACGGACAUCAUCAGCGCUUUUUGAGCUCCGAAGUGAGCAUUCUUAGCGACGAAGAAGAAUGACACGGGGAAGGCAAAGGCUACCAAAGGCGAAAAGAUGGGGGUACCUUGUCUUCCGAACACGGUCUGAUGGCUUUCUUUACUGCCCAAAUGCUUGUAAUGAUUCCCGCUUUUCUUUGCUUAUCCAUGUUUCGAUUUCUUGCAGCCUAAGAUUCGUCAACUGUUUUCUGUCCGAAAUGUAUCAUCGCAUGAGUGAGGUUAUUUUUUGAAGAUAUUAAAAUUAUUUGCUGAUACUGAAAUAAUAAGUAGAUGAAAAAAAAAAAGGAUAAAUCUUAACCAGAAAAAUAAUGACAAGAAUAGUCCCUGCACUUUAAUAUAAUGUGCAAUUUGAUCUUCGAAAUUUUGAUUUGUUCAAUAUAGCUCUUGAACUUUAACCCAAUAUACAAUGCGAUCUCUGAACUUUUCAAUUGUUUAAAUGUAAUCUCUGAACUUCUGAUAAAUAUUCAAUACAGUCUCUAAACUAUAUGAUAAUAUUGAAUGUAGUUUUUUAAUUGAUUCAAGAGUAGGGAUGACAUUGAACAUUUUGAUACAAAUUCAGGGACUGUAUUUAAUAUGUAUAAAAAAUUUAUGGACUAUAUUAAAAAAAUUAAAAGUUCAUGGACCACAUUAUACAUUAGGCUAAAAUUUAUAGACCACAUCAAACAAAUUGAAAGUUUAUGGACUAAAUUACACAUUAGGCCAAAGUUUGGAGACUAUUUGUGUCAUUUUCUCUAACUAGAAGUAGACAAUGAAUGUGAACAUUCUACUUCAAUCGCUUGACUUUUUUUUUUUGAGCAUCUAUAUUGAUAUAAUAUAUAAUUAAUAUCAUGAAAAUUUUUUAAUCAUCAAAAACUCUAAACCGGUACACAUGUCCCAAAUUAAUUUUUUAACUAUAAAAAAACCUCAAACUGGUAUAUUUAUAAUAAAUUUACCUUCCGUUAAUUUUCAUUAAAUUGGAAUAAUGCCACGAAAAAUAAUAAAUUGAUACAUAUGUGAUAAAUGAAAUGUAAAAUCUUAAAUUGGUAGAUCCAUUCUAACUACCUUGUAUCAUCUAAAUCAGCAAUUUAAUUGUAAAAUUUAAAAAGUACUAAUGAAAAGUAAAUUUAUCACAAGUGUAUCGGUUUUUUUUAUGAUAAAAAAUUAGUGAAGUAAAUUUAUUACAUAUGUAUCGAUUUUGAAUUUUCUGUGGUAUUAACCCUAUAUCAUUAAAAACUCUUUCAGAGAAUUGCCGGAAAACUCAAUAUUCAAAAUUGUAGAUAGUUAGAGACGCAUCCUCCUCAUUAGUUUUGCCAAAUUCUCGAUGAAGCAAGGCUACAGUCAGAUGCCUUUUCCGUCGAGUAUUGUCAAUCAAAGAAGAAUCAAAUUGGUAAUUACUAUCAUCUCUCAGUUACUUAUCUCCAUAACGAGUUAUAAUAUUUUAUGGACUUCCGAAACUUUAUUGAGAGUGUGUUUUAGGAAAGUAAAUGCAAUCACUAUGUUAUGAGUGUGGUUCUUUCGCUCUACUUGAAGUUCUACUUCCAUUAAUUAUAAAAUCACAAAUUAUUUUUUAUGUCUUGAUUGAUUCCGUACGACAAUAUGCAUUAAAAAGUUUGCACUGACGUUGUUUCAAGCUCAGCUUGCACAAGUAUAUUCGAUAAGUGCAUUUAAAGCAUCUAGCCUUGGUUAAUACAUUCUUAUAUAAAAUGUUGAAAUAUAACAUUUCAAAAUAUUAAGAUGCACGAGUCAUUAUCAACAAAUCCAUAUUAAAAAAAAAAUGUGAUAGGAACAUCACUUUAAUAAAAGGCCAAUAGAGUAAAAGCUUUUAAAAGGCUAGUCGCUAGUCUCACAAAAUUCAACCAAUUUCGCGCCGAAAGCUAAAAAGACGUGAUAAGUUCAGGAAUCUAAUCAUGUACAAUGAGUCAAUGACAUGAUGAUGAAUAGAUACUAUGUUUUAAAGCUUCAAUUCAUUUGUAAUAUGUAAGGCCCAUUGUCAUCAUGCUAUGAGAGUUUUUAUGAUGUUGGCUAUAUUAAUUAAUAUUGAAAUUUACCUUUUUAUAAGAUUGUCUAAUGAGGCGAGAUAUAAAGAUUUUUAAUUACUAUAAUAUGAGAUUGGCUUGCGCGGGUUGAAUAGAGCUCGGUUUGUAAUGAGAAGACAUGUGACUGAAAACUCUAUAUAUAAUACUCAAGUAUCUUUUCUAAUCUCGAUAUACAAAUAUCUUAUAUAAAGAGUAGUUGUAGAACGCAAUUUGUGAUGCAUAAUAUCAUUGAGCCAAUAUUACAAUUAGAUCAUUGUUAUUCCACAUUAAGAAUAAUGGAUUUCAAAUCAGAUGCACAAAUCUUUUUGUCUCCAUUUAUUGUGUUCUAAAUUUUAAUUAUGUAGAUCUUCGGAUGGUUUUCACGGCUUGUAUGCACAUGGUGAACCAUUGUGUCACUACGGGGCACACCGGCUUUGCUUCACAAAUACAGGCGCCGCACUAUGAAAUGCUUCGUCCCGAGGCAUCAUGCGACAGAGCCGUCUUGCCUCGAGCCUGGGUGGGUCGUUGUCUUCUCGUCCUCCCUCCGUACAUCGUGCAAUGAUGUUUGUUACUGCAGAAAUGCAUGUAAAAAGAAUGUAAAGCUUUCAUCUUUACCCGUCAAUUCCGCAUUUCAGUGAACUCAUGUCUCCUUUUCUGACUCCGCGAGUCCUAUUCAGGCUAACAACGACAAAAGAAGAGGAUAAGGAAGGGGAAAAGCAAGCAAGCAUCUUGAUUUCUUUCACCCUAGACUGUCCACCGUUUGUCUGCCUGAAAUGUAUCAAAUCUUGAGUAAAUUUACUUUUCAAAAAAUUAAAACUAUUUUUUUUAUAUCGAAAAUGGUAAAUAGAUUGAAAGAUGGAUGAAUUUGAACCUGAAAUUGACGAAGAACAUGAACUUCCCGCUUAUGAUAACAUUAUUUAAUCGUUUCGGUUUUUUUAAAUUUUGAGCAUUUGUGUCGAUGUAUUAUUACAAAAACUUCUCAAAGUUAGAGAUGCCUUCCCAUCGUUGAUUUUUUUAAAUUCUCCGCGGAGUGAGCUGUCAUCAAGGCGUUAUUUGAACAAUUGAAAAUGUUUAUUAUCAAGUAUUUUUAAAUUAAAAGAGAUUCAAUUACGUAACUUCUAGAAUCUCUCAAUUUUUUUUCUCCAUAAUGAAUUAUAACAGUUAUGGACUAUCUAAAUGCUUUUGAGUGAGAUUUUAUUUUUCACUUGGUCUUAAGUUCUAUUUUGAUUCAUUAUAAAAUCACCACUCAUUUUCUACGUUUUCAUUAAUUCAAUAUGACAAUAAGCAUAAAAAAUCUGCACUAACUUUAUUUCAUGUAUUCCUUUCGCAAUAAUCGUCAACAAAUACAUUUAGGGUCUGCAUGGCAAUAUUCCUAUUUCUUUGUUCUUUUCUUCUACGAAAUAGAAAAAGGAAUAGAAAUUCAUUUGAUAAUGUUAGUUAAUUUUUCUAUACUUCGUAAUAGAAAAGUGAUUGGGAAAUAGAUUUAUAAUAGAAACAAGAAGUAGAAAAAAAAUAUCUUAUUGUUUUCGGGAAUAAUUUUUAGAAAUAAGUCAUUUUCUUUCUUUUCUUUUUUUCUCCUUCCUCAUGCUACCGCCACUGUCCGCCAUCGCUUGCCACCUAUCUCCGCCCAACAACCGGCUAGAGGAGGAAGAAGAGGAGAGGGGAAAAAAAAGAGAGAAAAAAUCUCAAAAAAAAUAUUAAAAAAUUAAAAGAAAUUCUACGACAAAAAAAAAAACUUGUGAGUUGUACCAAACACAUUCUUGUUUUUUUCUAUUCUGAAAAUAGAAAUUUUGUACAGUUAUCAAACACGUUAUUUUAUUCAAAAACUAUUCCAGGGAAUAUGAAUAGGAAAGAAUUAUUUUUGAAAAAAAAAAUUGUUCCUGGUAAUAAAAAUAUUACCAACUGCACCCUUCAACUUUGGUAAAUACGUUCCUUAAUAAAGUCAAUAUUUUCAGACAUUAUUAAAGUUAUCUAACACACAAUGCGCUAGUCGUCUAGAAAAUCGUAUAGAAAAAAGAGAUGUGAAAGGAAUAUCACUUUAGAAAAAGUCAGGAGUUCUUUAGACAAAUAGUAUAUAGAAAGCCGCGCUGGCAAUCUCUCGUUUCAUUUGCAAAGCCAAGGAAAAUCCCCCAUUAACCUUACAUACUCAAGUAGUGCCCUUAUUGAGACAAAUGAUAAGGCAAAGACAUCUAUGUUUGAUGUAAAAGUCCACGAAAUGUUCUAUCAAAUUCAUGUGGAACAAAUGUCUGAAACAUUGGUAUAGACAUCCAUAUUGAUAUAUUAUUAAAAACUCUUUAAAAGGUUUGCCCGAAAACUCAACACUUAAAAUUUUUAAUAGUUAAAGACGCCUCAUCCUUAUUAUUUUUGCCAAAUCCUCGACAAAGCGAGUUGCUAUCAGACGUCGUUUUCUAUCAAGUAUUGCCAAUCAAAGGAGAAUCGAUUGGGUAAUUCAUAUCGUCUCUUAAUUAUUUCUCUCCAUAUGGACUUCCAAAACUCCAUUGAGAGUGUGUUUCAGAAGAGUAAAUGCAGUCACUAUGUUAUGCUGUGGAGUGUCGCUCUUUCACUUUGCUUUAAGUUCUAUUUCUAUUAAUUACAAAAUCACAAAUCAUUUUCUACGUUUUGAUUGAUUCAAGACGACAAUAUGCAUUAAAAGGUCUGCACUAGCAUUGUUUCAAGCUCUCCUGGCACGAUUAUAUUGAAUAAGUGCAUUUAAAAUAUCCGGCCGUGGUUAAAACAUUCUUAUAUAAAAAUGUUGAAAUAUAAUAUUUUGAAAUAUUAGCAGAAUCCUUAGAUUUUUAUCGUUAUCUAGCAUGAUGCGUGGAUCAUAAAGAUGUCACGAGAUAAUCACUUUAAUAAAGGGUCAAUAGACUAAAAGCCUUUAUAAAGCUGAUAAGUAAAUUCAAUCUAUCUCGCACCGAAUGCUAAAGAGAUGUAAUAGGUUGGGGAAUCUAUUCACAUUUGAUAUGCCAUUCACAUGAUAAUAGAUAGAUACCAUGUUCCGAUGCUUUGAGUCGGUAAUUUGUAGGACUUGUCAUUAUCGUGCAUGGUGAACCACCGCAUAGCUACCGGCGGAGGUAUCAAAGUCGGUUUAAAACCCAUAUUUUGACUCAUAUUUAAUAGUGUGGGUCGUAAAUGGGUUCCCUUAAAUUUUAAAAACAAGCUUAAGUAGGUUAUAAAUGGGUUACCUAACAAUUUAAAGGGUCUUAAAUGUGUAUUAAAUAGGUUACCUAACAAGCUUAAAUGAAUCAUAAACAAGUCAUUUUUAAUUUUUUUAUUUUUAUUUUUUUUUUAUAACCGAGGAAUCCGCUUGAGCCCCCUUAUGGGGUCACAAGGCCCUACAGUGCAUGGAAUGCCUAGUACCAAUGACUAUACCUUGGGGGUGACUAGCACAAGACAUAUCGUGGCCCCACACUUACAACGCAUUAGCAACCGCGGGUUUCGAACUCUCGACCUUGACGAUGAAAGAGAUACUCGCAACCAACACAGCUACCCGCGGUUGGGUUUAUUUUUCUUUUCUUUUAUUUUUCCUUUAAAAAAAAUACUUUCUUAGCCAGUGGCUGUCAUGAAGACAAUUGGCAAUUGGCCACAGAUGAGGGACAAGCUCACUGACCUUCGGCACCGCAAGGCUCAAGCCUUGUCAAUUUGGCAAGACUCGAGCUAGCUAGAGAGGCCAGUGAGCGCCAGAGGCUAGCGAGCUCGAGCUCGCAAUAUGACCUCUAGCGAUGCUUGAGCUCGCCGGCAUUGAGUAAGAGCUUAGCCUUGCUAGAUUUGGAGAGGUGGAGCCUCACCUGAGGUAGGCUCAGCUCGACUAGAUCCAACUUUGGUUGAUUUUAAUUUUGGGCAUCUGUAUUGAUGUACCAUCACAAAAACUUCUCACGGGAUUGCCUGGAAACUUGAGACUUAAAACUAUCGAUAGUUAGAGAUGUCUCAAAAAAGUGAGCCGCCAACUACACAUUAUCAGAACAAUUGAAUAUGUUUAUUAUUGAGUUUUUUUUUUUAUCAAAAGAGAAUCAAUUACAUAAUUUCUACCGUCUCUUAAUUAUUUUCGUCCCUAGUGAGCUAUAAUAAUUAUAGACUAUAUAAAUGCUAUUGAGUGAGAUUUUGUUUUUUGCUUUGUUUUAAGUUUUAUUUUGAUUUAUUAUAAAGUCACCACCAUUUUCUAUGUUUUCAUCAAUUCAAUAUGAAUUAAAAAUCUGCACUUACUUUGUUUCACGUGAUUCGUUACACAGUGAUCUUCGACAUUCCACAUAUCUAACUUUGGUUGGUACGUUCCUUAAUAAUGUCGGAGUAUGAUAUUCUCAAACAUUAUUAAAGUUAUCUAACACGCAAUGCUCGGAUUGUCGUCUAGUAAAUUGUACAAAAAAAAGAAAUGCAACAAGAAUAUCGCUUUAUUAAAAGUCCGAAAUUCUUUAGACGAACGGCUUUUCAAAAAGCCGUGUUGGCAAUCUCACAUUUCAUUCGCAAAGGCGUGGAAAAUCUGUCCCCAUUAAACUCACAUAAUUCUACGGUACCUAUUAUUGAGACAUAUGACGAGGCAAACAUAUUUAUGUUUGGCGUAAAUUCCACAAAAUGUUAGAUCAAGUUCAUGUUGGACAAAUGCCUAAAACAUUGGUACAGACGUAAGAAUUACUGGUCGACCUAGAGUGACCCCCUGAGAAGUAUAGAUAUUUCAAUAUUAUGACUAUAGUCUACAUUAGACUUAGGAAUCUAUAAUAUGUAUUGUCUGAAGGGGCCAUGAAAACCAUGACACCCGAUUUUAAUAAUAAUCAAGUAUGCAUAUAAACGAUGUCCAUAACUUGUAAUUUAUCAAUCGAAGAAAAGGUAGAAAGAGAUUUCUUCCAUCUUGGAGGAAAGUAUAGCCUUAUCCAAUGUUCAGCCUAACAUUUUAUCUUACUAUAGUGGUCUUUCAACAUGUGUAAAGGAGAUGAAAUCAAUCCCACUUACAAAAAUUUGGGAUUCGAAAGUGCCUAACUCUGGCUCGAUUACGAUUUAUGAUCAUGUCAAUAAGGCCUUGUUUGGUAACCAUCCAAACAAGGCCAAAUUCCGAUUCUUUGUUCUCGGGAGUAGUUUGGGAACAGAAUCGCGUUUGGUAAAAUUUUGUUCCCGGGAACAAAUUUCUUUUUUUUUUUGUUCCAAGAAGUAGGUUUGGAAUAGAAUCAAGAAUUAAAAAAAAAAGUUGAUUCUUGUUCCGGGAACAAAUUUAAGAAUCAAAACAACUCUUCUUCUUCCAUAUUCUCUUCUUCUUCUUCUUCUCUUUUCUUCUUCUUCUUCUUCUCUUUUCUUCUUCUUCUUCAUUGACCGCUGUCCGCCGCUGCCGCCUUCCACCACCGUCCGCCAGUCACCGGACCUCGCCCUGGCCGGGCGAUUCUCCGAUGAGCUCGCUGGAGGCAAGCCCAGCCACCGGCGAGGCUGGGCAAGCCUUGCGACGCCCAGCCCCGCCGGUGGUCAAGCGGGCCUCACCUAGCCCCAGCGAGGCCAACCCUCGGCAAGGCUAGGCGAGCCUCACCCAGCCCUGCUGAGGCUCCCCUAGUCCCCACGGUGGCCAAGCAGGCCUCGCCCAGCCCUGACGAGGCCGGCCUCACUGAGGGCCGGUGAGGUCGCCGGCCCUCAUCUGGCCGAUCGCCGAUCCGGCGACCAGCCUGAAGAAGAAGAAGAAUAGGAGAAAAAAGAAAAAAAGAAAAGAAAAAAAAGGAAAAAAGUAUAAAAAUUAUUUAAAAAUUAAAAGAAAUUGAUUUGGAACAUAAUCAAUGAGCACGGUACCAAACACAAUUCUAUACCAGAAUCAGAAAUGUUGGACAGUUACCAAACGGCUUAAAAUGCUUAGAAUCUGUUCCCGGGAACAGAAUAAAAAAAAAAUCAUUUCUGAUCAGAAUUUACUUCCGGGAACAGAAUCGUUACCAAACGCGUUCUAAGUGGCCAGAUUUUUGUUUAUCAUUCGUCAUUUAAUCUGACAUCACAUCAUCUACAGCACAAUUAUGUAUGUGGCGAAAAAAAAAAAUCUAAGUCGUAUCAUAACAAUUUUACAUUACAUAUGAGAAGUCAAAUCAACUUUGAAAAGCCAAUUGGUGUGUAUGGCGCCUGGAAAUGGAGUCCUGAAAUUUCGAUGUCUUGAAGGACAUCAACAAGCUGCCCCUUUGUGUUGCUGGGUGUCCCAUCCCUCAGUAUCUCGAAGUUGAUCCCGUAAUUGGAACUCGAACCGGGUUCUUGGAGGAGAUCGUUUUCGCGCCAUGCAUGUUGACCGUGAUCAUCGAUGGUCGCCGACAUUUGCCCAAAUAAGCUUUGCUUAACAUGCCUCUUAUCCCGCUGGGCCCUGAUGGCCUAACAUGGUACCUAGACCUGAUUUUGGUACUUUAGUUCCCUUCUUUGAGUAGAUUGCUUUCGCAAUUGCCUUCUCCUCCGGGAAUUUGAGAUCUGCAGUGCUUAUGACAUAGGUUUGAGCAGCUUUCCUCCAUUCAGAAGUUACCAGAUCUCUGGCCUUGACGGUCUUUAAGCAUCGAAUAGGGCCUUCCGCCUAUUUCAAUGGCCUUGAAGACAGCCACUUCCACGGCUUGCUCUGCACACCCUGGUUUAGAAGUUUCAGAGGCCGAGUGAAAGUUUUGAGGUUUCAGUUGUCCAUCAGCACUUGGCCCCAGCAAAAGAACCCUAAUUGAGAUAUUGCUCAAUUUAUCUGGUCACACUGCCCACAUACUCUGUUGAUGUUAUAAUCCUAAACGAUGGAUAUGCAUUGCCGGCACAAAGCUAUUUGAUUCUGGCAUUCUACUAGGGGAAUGUCCCUCGACCAAGGGUGUCCACGUGACCAGUGGUCUGAAUCCUAGAUGCCAUUGUCUUUGGUGGGAACGAUGACUAUAUGACUUGUUGCAGCAUACUCUGUUGCCUGUUGCUACCAAGUAAACCCUUGACUACAUUCCGUCGAGCCAUGCCAACUUUGGUUGUGCUUUUGUGGACUCCUGAAGGGCAAUCUUGCGAAGGGGGACUCCUUAGGUUAGGCUAUCCCUUGGUGGGAGUUCGCAUGACUAUCACGCCCAUCUGGAAUUUGUCCUCCAUGCCGCGACUUCCAUCAACCUGCUCAUCAGGCCCAAUCUGCACGAUACUUUCUUCUCUAGGGGUGAGGUCAUAUGAUGCCAUUGCCAUGCGCUCAUGCAUGAGAAAAAUCCCUUAAAAGCAGGCCGCGCGCUGAUCAGUUGCUUGAGAAAGAAGCCUAAUGCCAUCUGCACAGGGUCGACAGUCCUGCAUAUUCUUGGAGUAGCCCCCCAGAGAUGAUGAUUCAAGAUCAGAUCAGCCUCAGUGCGGGCCAUGGGAUCGACAGCUAGUCUUUGUUCUACAAUGAUAUGUGAUAUGCUAGCUCCUUUAAUCGAUAUAUGUCGAACAAAUCUGCUGGAUCGACAGCUAGUCUUUGUUCUACAAUGAUAUGUGAUAUGCUAGCUCCUUUAAUCGAUAUAUGUCGAACAAAUCUGCUUGAAGAGCCUGAUCGAAGAGAUCCUUGUCUACUUUCAUCGUUUCCUUCUUUUUCUAGAAAUCUCAUCUAACCAAAUCCGCUCGUUAUUGUUUUACAAUGUACUAGCAUGGAAAGGAGUUCCAUGCUACUAAUUGCAAACGAGUUGGUAGUGUCGGUAACUUGUUCAUCUAGUUGCGUAUUGGUAACUUUCAACAAGUUAAAACAAAUAUCAAAGUUUCUUUAUUCCUCAAAUUUACCAACCAUUUUAAUAAUCUACCAACAUUUACUUUUGUGACUUACCAACCAUUUGAAAUUACUAAAUCUUAAUUUGAUUAAUAUACCAACAUUCAGUUAUCAACUUUGUUUUAGAAACUGAUUUCUUUGUGAUUUACCUGUGAUUACCAAUGCUUUCGAAGCACCAACUUCAUUUAAAAAUUUCCCACCUUAGUUUCACUCACAUAUCACCAUUCAUCACAUUAACAAAGUGCACCACAACAGCAAUGGGUACAAGCCGAGCCAGGCCGGCCGGCAGCCCCCCCGUCCCGGACGCCCUAGCUGAUGAUGAUCUAGGGAAUGUCCACUUCCCUGGCCGUGCACUAUCACCGCGGCAUAGUCCCCAUAGGCCUCAUGCCCAGAGAAGUACGCGCUAGAGUUUCCCCCCUUGAGCUUGUUCAGAGAGAAUGAGUACUUCAGCGUGUCCUUGCCAGAUUCAAGCCCAAAGGUCCUUGUCUAAUUGGACAUAGCAUUGUAAAAGCCGUAGCAAUAUGCGGCCUGGUCGGUGUUACGCUCGAUGACGCUGCCGAAGAACUGAACUGCCUUGCUCCUGGUGUUCAUCCAGGCCGGGACACCCCACGGUAGGUCGCCGCCCGGCCUCCUUAGGGCAUCCCUGGGUGGGAACAGCCCCCCGGCCUCCAUGGCAUUGUCCAGUAUCUCAAAAGUCAGGCUGCCUCCUAUGAGCCGGAACAGUUUCCAGUAGUUGCCCGCCGCCCUCGUCUCGGGCUCCAUAGCUGGGAGUCUCGCCGCCGCAGAGCUCGCACAGAGGCACGAAACAUGCUGGCAACGUCGGGACCCGUCGCCACAGCCUGCUUCCUCGAGAUGUACACCGUCUGAUGAAUUUUCCUAUUGCACGAAUGCACGUAAAAACUACUUCUUUUCCCGUCAUUCCACGCCUGGGUGGGUGGAUUCAGCUCUCUCUUUUCGGACCAGGCAAGUCCGAUUCAGGCAAAAGAUUUUAGAAGAAAAUGACGAGCAGAACCGAAAAAGAAAUCUUGAAUUCUUGCACCCUAAGCUUUCUACAUAUACUAGGCAUGUCCACUGUUUUUUCCUGUUCGAAAUGUAUCACUUGCGCGUCUAUAUCUAUCUAUUGUUACAUGCGCUUUUCAAAGGAUUGCCUAGAAACUUCGCAUUUAAUAUUGUGCGUCUAUAUUUGUCUAUUGUUACAUGCGCUUUUCAAAGGAUUGCCUAGAAACUUCAAAACUUAAGUAGUAGAUAAUUAAAGAUGACUUCUCCUUAUCAGUUUUGCCGAAUUCUCAAACAAAAAUAGCUGCUGCCUAGAUGCCACCUAAACAAUUUGGCGUGUUUUCCAUUCGAGUAUUAUUAAUUGAUGGAAAAUCAAUUAUGUAAAAUUCUACCAUCUCUCGAUCAUUUCUCUUUAUGACCAAGUUUAAUAUUUAUAGACUUUCUGAAUGUUAUUGAGUGCCCACUUCAGAAAAAUUAAACAUGGUCAUAAAUUAUCUAGAUAAUAAGCUUUUAAAAAAUCGAAUCGGUAAUUUCACACGAUUUAAUAAGUUCAUAUGAACAGCUGAGCACAAUCUAUUUGCAUAAACUUUAGAUAUUUCUAUACAUUAUUGAGUUUAUUGAAACGAAUAUAUCUAUGUGGACAUAAAAAUCCAAGAAAUGAUUUCUUAAUUCUACUUUCAGAGUGAACCCCUGGAAAAAAACCCAAAAAAAAAAGACCCGAAUAUUUUAAUUAAAAAUUCGGAUUUUCUCUAUCGGUCUAGUAAAAUCCAGCAUUCAGACCCGCAAAAUGAGAAGGAAACCCGAAAUCCUGCGCUUGUUCUCCUGAAUCCUCCUGCGCCGUGCUUCCGCCGCACGCCGCCGCCGAACCCCGCCGGUCUCCGCCGCCGCAGCCCGCCGGUCCCUCCGUCCGUCCAUAACCUGAAGGUGACUCUCUCUCUCUCUCUCUCUCUCUCUAUCGUGAAUUCUCUUCCUCUGCAAUUUCGUCGUCGCCGGGGUCUCUCCGUCGCUACCUCGCCGGACGCGCGAAUCCCUAAUUCGCGGCGGGCGGCUGUCUCCGGCGCUCCUCUCUGGCGGAACCUCGCCGAUUGCUCAUGCGCUAGGAACCUCUGCGGCAGGAAAUUCGAGGGAUGGACGUGAUCUCCCAGCUGCAGGAGCAAGUCAACACGGUCGCGUCGGUCGCCUUCAACACCUUCGGCUCGCUGCAGAGGGACGCGCCCUCCGUGCGGCUCUCCGCGAGUUACCCCGAACCGCCCCCGACCGCCGCGGAGGACGCGUCCAGCUUCGCCGAGCAGCCCAAGCUGAUGAGUGCUGCUCUUGUCAAAGCCGCCAAGCAGGUUCGUGCCUCUCUCCGGCUUGCUGUUGUUGCGAGUUAGUGGCGAGCUUGUUCGUUAUCUGCUUGAUGUGAUUGGAAGAAUUUAUUUGGCUAGGGCUUUAUGAAGAUUGAUAACUUGAUUUAUCGUGGCAAGAAAAGAAAUUUACUUGUGUAUGAGAAUUGUAUGUAUGGCUAGAAAUCUAGGUUAUGUCCGAAGUUUCAGCGGAGAGGUGUUCUUACUUCGAUUGGCUUCUGUGCGCAUUUAGUCUCGGUUUUGGGAACUCUGUGCGUGUUCUUGUAGAGGAUGUGAGCAGAUUUCAUUCAUUAAUGUGUACUAUGGAAGUUCUCAUCGAUAGAUCACAGAUGUGACGCGAACUUCUGAAGAUGUAAUGCAAGUUGGGCAUUUGGUUCGUUUUCGUGUAUGUGUCCAUGGGCGUUGCACGCCAUUGCACCUAAUGUGACAGUUAUUCCUACGGAAGAAAACAGGACCUCCUCCAUUUUUUUUCUUGUGGAUUCUGUUGGUGGAUAUAUCUGCCAUGAGUAUCUCAGUGUGCAUAUGUACAUAGACCACGCUGUGAUUUGGUUUACAUGAGUUGGGUAAUCUUUUGACUCAUAAGUGUGAAAUAGUUAUGCACAUUUGAAAGAGCCACCACUCUUGUGUAAUCACGACUAUCGUUUCUUUCAAAUGUGUUUCUGCAUCUUAAAGUCGGUAGAAUGGUUUGAGAUUGUAACUCCAUCAGCAUUCUUGAUCUUGAGUAAGGUGGAUUGUUGGUUUCUGAUUUCUACCUCAUUCACUUUUGUUUUACUUCAUGCUUGAAGUAAAAUGAUGGUCGGUGUGACAUCCUAAACUCUGCGACAUCAGUAUAUUCUUGCGGGUGAAAGCAAUUAGCCUCCAUUUUAGAGAUGAAGCAUUAUGCUUCAAGUUAUAAAAUUCGGUCUCUUUUCCACCGUUUGCUUUGGCAAUCUGGAUAUAGUUCUAUCGGAACUCUUUUUCUUCUUUGAUGCCUUAGUAGCGGGACUUCCACUGCCUGAGGGAGGUGAAGAAGCUCAACUCAAAAGGAUUGCAGACCUCCAGGUUAAGAGGAUCCAUGGUUUUUGGCGUCUUUAGUUCAUUAUUUCUGUUGUUUAAGGCUGUUUCUUAUUCAUCCCAAAUUACCUUUGCACAGGCUGAGAAUGAUGCUGUAGGACAAGAGCUUCAGAAGCAACUUGAAGCUGCCGGUAAUUGCCCUAUUGAUGAGGGUGUGAGGGCAUUUGUCUUGUUCACUUAUGUAUGUCAAUUUUUGGUCGAAAGUGAUAUCUUCUAUGAUUUUUGGCAUUGGCAGAGAAGGAAUUGAAGCUGGUCCAGGAGCUAUUCAGCCAGGCAACAGAUAACUGCUUCAAUUUGAAGAAACCAGAAUAAAAAUUGAGGACGCUUCUCUUCUUUACCUUUUUCAUAAAAUUUAUGCAGUAGAGAUGAUGACUGAGAGAAUAGGCAUUCUACCGUUCGAAUAGUGCAAAGAGACCUGAGAUGUCGCAGCUCUGUGUGGGUGAGUUUUGAAGUCCUUGCCGAGUAAAAGUUUCUCAGUGCACAAAAAGCAUCAAUAUGGGCAUCAAGUCAACCAAACAAUCACUCAAAUGAAGUAGUUCUGGUGAAGUAAGAAGUCUAGUCUUGAAUCUUUAAUUGCAAAAACAAACUGUAAUGUUACAUUAGCAAUGGAAAGUUCUCUGUUUUGUUGUUCACCUUCCUUCCCUCUGAAGUUUUCAAAGAUUGCUUUCUUACUUUUUGGUCCUUCUGAGGAAGGUCUUGGUAUCGGAUGGAGCAUGGGCUUGUUUGCCCUUGCAGUGUAGAUCAAGAAUCAAGAAGGCAACUUUUAUAGUUGUGAAAUUCAAGAAAUCAGAGUUUCCCAUGUUUGAACGAGAGAGGAGAACAGGGCGGGCAUCGGCUUUGAACACUAGACCCCUAAUGGGCGUGUGUCGGGUUAUGGCUAGCUUAACCUCUUUAGGGUGCUCUUCUGGCAGGCUUCGUGGCCCCAAAUAAAGGGCCCAACCAUUAGUUUAGAACUCUCCCAGAGUGUACGUAAACAGCCAAGAGAAUAGUAUAUCCUCUUCUCCAAAAGGGACCAUGAGAAUGCUCGGCUUUCUGGUUGAACUGCCCACAUUGUUGGUGUUGUUAGGGUCCCAGAUGACGGACAUACAUUGCUGGCCUCUCUGGGCCACGUGAGCAAAGGGUCAGAAACUGAGGUUGCCAAUGUCUUUGGUGGGUACUUGGCAUCGAUGGCUUGUUAUGGCCUAAUUUGUUGCCUUCUGCUACCGACUAAACUCUCCACUACAUUUUGGGGGAUGGUGCUAAAUAUGAUGUACUUUUGGGCUAGUGAGAGGAAAUCUUCCUCAGAAAGUUUAGUCUUACACCUAACAUUGGAUUUUUCAAUCUCAUUAAAUAUUUAUGGACAGUCCAGGUUGUUGCCUUUAUCUCUUGGUCAAAUCAGCCACUGAUACUCCAGGAUCAGUUUGGGAGAAGUAUGUCUGGAACUGGACUUGCAUGUCCCACCAAUCUCAAACGGAACUCGUGGGCAAACUAAGGUACCACUUUGAGGGAAACCGCAUCAACAUAUAGGACCCUUAUCAAUUGAUGUUGGACAAUAUUUGAGUGGCAUGUGGAAAAAUAUGCAAUUAGGGAGGCAUGUAGGGGCCCAUAAAAAUUUGAAGUUGGAACUUCCUAUUCGGAUAGUCAAAUCCAAAACUUGAGCUAUUUGGUGGAGAAAACCACAAGAAUAUAUAUAGCACAUGAGACCAUUAUCAAGUAAUGUGUGACAAUAUUUCAACAGCUAUGAUUUCACAUUCACGAGUGAACAUAGUGAAUUAAGGCACUUUAUACUUUCUAGGGACAGGUCGAUGUGAUUAGGGAAUGAUUUCCUAGACAAAAGCCUUUAGUAUAGGUCCAUGCAAAUAUGUCUAUUGUCCUAGUAAGAUAUUCUUUGUCCAAAGGAUUGGGUACUCUCGGUUCAUUUUCAUCGAGUUAUUCUUCAUGGUCUUGUCAAUUUUUAGUCUCCUUGGAGGCUAGGUGUAGUUCCCCACUUCUCUUGCCAACAUUCACAUUGACCUCUCUAGGAACCACUUGUCUUUCUCCUAACAUUAGCAUCGAAGGGUUCAGAUUGUUCAUCCAAUUCUUUGUAAGACUGAAUCCUGAAUUUCCAAAAAGGUCCGAGUUAAUCGAUCAAAAGGAUAAUCCUGCACACUUUCACUAGGAGACUGAGACAGUGGGCUUUCGUCCCCUGGACCAUCCCUAGCCGAGGAGGCUUUUGUUGGGUUAGAACCCAACUUUUGGUUAUUGGAGUAGUUGGCUUCACAAUGGUGAAGCCCAAACAUGCUUCCAGUACUUCGGCAAGACAUUCUAUUCUCCAACCACGGUCGCCAUAAAAACAUGUAAGGUGGACUUUCGCGAGAUUGUGAUCCCCAGAAACUCAGUGAUUUCAAUUAGUAAUAAAAGUCCAAGCGAGGGUGAUCGAUGACCAAUUAAAAUGUUAAAAUUGAGGUUGAAUCCAAACUAAAUGAAUUCUAACGCGUCUUGAAGUCUCGAGAACUCUGAAAAAAAGUGAAUUAUUGAUGAAGCACAAACUGUAGAUUGGAAACAAGGAAAUUGUAUUGUAAUUUUGUUGAACCAUAAUGGAUGGCUUACAUUCCUUGAGGCCAUACUUACUCGAUCACUAAAACUGAACAUAUAACAUUAAUGGCGUUCGCUAGGAUGCGUGGAGAAAGUAAAAAAGUUAACAAAACACAACAGGAAUGCUUCUAUAAACAACGACAAAUAUUGAAACUAGGAAACCUAAUAUAAAAUGAAAUUCAAAUCCGAAUUCAGGUUAAUCUGAUCUACUCUAAAUAACCUCCUCAUCUUCAUAUCUUCACAAUUAUUCUAAUGUGCUAUUGGGAUUUUGUGGUGCCUCUCGUUGAUUCUUCUUUUGUCUUUUAAAUGGACAAUUGCGUUAUACAUUCUAAUCUUCCUCCACAAGAAUCAUUAGACAUCUUCGCUUGCACGCUACUCUAGGUGAUUUGCAACUGCUCUUGAUUUCUUAGCAAUGGUUACUCACCGGUAGAUAAAUCCUCCUUAGGUCAGUCUUUAACUUCUAUGCAUGUUUCGAAUCAAUUGAUAGUCACCUAGUAUCAUGCAAUUGGCUCAAAUACUGUCAAUUAGAAACUUGUGAUCGAUGAGUUCAUUAGAAGUUUCAUAUAGGCUUUGUGGGUUAAAUGUAUUGUCAUGGCCUGAUUUGAACUUAAUUUGGAUUGCUAACUUCUUCAUGUUUGGGCCUAAAAUUUAGGUCCGAUUUCAACAUGGAGUUAGUGGAAUAAAAGAGGAAAAGAAAAUUAAAUGCAACGUCUUUCCAUGCCAUCGAGAAUGAAGAAAGAAAGAUUGACCUCUAGGUUGUCCGGUGUUGGUUGAAGAUGCCCCGCCGCGGGGAAGGGGGGGGGGGGGCGGUUGGGUUGGGGAGAUCGAGAUACCUGAUGAAAUAUGUCCACGGCUAAUGCUGCACACUAUUCCUCAAGUAAAUCAACAUCUCCGUCCCAAGUUUCAUGCUAAUAAAGCCGUGAUUUUGGAAAAGUCUCAAAUAGAAAUAUGAAGUGCCCUCUUUUUACUCAAAAGAGAAUUAUAGUCCGUCUCAAAUAAAGAUCCAAAAUAAUCAUUUGGUCUCAAAAAAGGAUCUAGCUCGUCGACCGGCGAAGAAAUGCAUCUCCCAUGUCUGGUUAGGGAUAAUUUCAUCCAAAAAUAUUCUUUUUUCGUUUUCCUUUACCCCUGUUCAUCUUCGUCUUGAUCCUACCUAUGUUGUCCCUGCUCAUCAUCUUCUUGGUCAAUGUUGAAGACAGGCAUUGCCCAGAUCAAGAACAGCGGGACUCGUUGGCCACGGGUAAGGGCCGGCGAGGCCACCCUCGCUAGAUUGGCAGCGGGUGAGGUCUUGCAAGCCGACCCUUUGGCGAGGGUGGCCUUGCCUGUGGCCGGUGAGGGCCGUCACGGCCGGCGGGGUUGGCGAGCCCUCGUCGGAGACCAUUUGCCUGCUGUUGAAUUUGGAUUAUCUUGCUGUGUUUUGCUUUCCCAAUGGGGUUUCUAGAGGUUUGAUGCUCGCGACUCGACGUCGCGAACUGAGAAUUCCCUCUAAAAGUUCGUUCCUUUUUCCUUGAAUGUAUCUGUACAUAUCUAUAGUGCGUCCUUUGCUGACGACUUGUCGCUUACAUGUCUCUGUUGGGUCCUUACUGAAUGAGAUGGUUAGCUCAAUUUCUUAUGCUGCGGAGCUUUCUGCUCGUGAUGCUGAUUGUUCGGCGGGGUCGGGGGUGGUGGGGGGUGGGCGUAUAGCAAUUCAGAGAAAUCAGAAUUUCCUGUAGUUCGAGGCAUGAUUUGUGAUCAAGGCGGGAGGUGCUCUGUUUGGUGAAAGAUGAGUUAAGCUGAAGUUGCUACUUUCGUCAAGCCGUAUGGCUAUCUGGUAUGCCGCGAUAGGACGUCCCCCUCUCGCAGUUGUCAUUCCGCUCAUUGCUUUCCGAGGGCCAGCGAGGGCCUGCAAGCCUUCGCCUGCUGCCGAUCUGACAGGGGCGGCCUCUUCGGCCGCUGGUACCCAAAUUCGGUGUUCUUGAUUUGGGCAAUGCCUAUCUUCAAGAUCGACAAUAAAGAUUAUGAAUAGGGACAGCCAUGGGUGGAAUCAAGAAGAAGAUGAACAGAGGAAAAGAAAACGAAAAAAUAAUAAUUUUCGGAGGAAAGUACCUCUGACCACACCAUUGGAAUAUGCAUCGGAGAUGUAUUUGUUCGCCAGUCGGCGAGUUAGGUCUUUCUUGAGACUAAAUGACUAUUUUGGUUCCUUAUUUGAGAGAGAUUACACUUCAGAUCUUUUUUGAGAUUAUGAGGGCACUUUAUGUUCCUAUUUGAGAUUUUCUCUAUGAUUUUUGUUGGCUUGUUUUGCUUGCCUUUGUACGAUGGUCACAUGCAAUUAGGCAUCUUGGCUAGUUGGGCAAAACCACCAUAGGGUACUUGGGUUGACGCUACUCAAGUCGAAAUGAAGUCAGUAGUCCUCAUUAUAAAAAUUGCUGUGGACAAUGCUUGACUCUAAAAGGAGCAAGCGUCGCUCAUUAUAAAAAUUGCCGACCAAUUGCUUUCCAUUUAGAUGUGCUUGGUUUCAAUGUAUUCUCACGCAACUAUAUGUGCUGUGAUUUUUGUCAUUUAUGUCUAAUGCUAUAUACUAUUUCUCAAGUAAAUCAACUUCUCCAUUGCAAGUUUUGUGCUGUUAUUGGCUUGUUAUGCUUGUCUUUGUCCGAUGGUCAUAUGCAAUUAGGCAUCCGGGCUAGUUGGGCAAAACCACCAUAGGGUACUUGGAUUGACCAUGCUCGAGUCGAAAAGUAUCAUUAGUGCUCAUUAUAAAAAUUGCUAUGGACAAUGCUUGACUCUAAAAGGAGCAAGUGUCGCUCAUUAUAAAAAUUGACGACCAGUUGCUUGCCAUUUAGAUGUGUUUGGUUUCAAUAUAUUAUCACGCAACUAUAUACGCUGUGAUUUUUGUCAUUUACGUCUAAUGUUGUACACUAUUUCUCAAGUAAAUCGACUUCUCCAUUGCAAGUUUCAUAAAGCUGUGAUUUUUGUCGGCUUGUUAUGCAUGUCUUUGUUUAUAACUUACUAUAGAUAGUUUUACUUUUAUUUUAUUUUUUUUGGUAUGUUAUUGAGUUUGUGAGACUUAAUUUCAAUAUCAAUGUAAUGAUCUUGUUGUUUGUCAAAUUUUUUUGUCUUUUUCAUUUUUUGGAUUUUGCUUUUACUUGAUGAUGCUGUUGGCAUGUCUAUGGUCGUAGCUAAAGUGCUGGUGUGGCUAGUGAUGUCUAGUAGUAGUGGGUCUAUUAAGAUGGUUCGGUUCGAGGCUUGUGUUGUUUCUAGUGCAAGUGUGCAGUGCGCACAUCUUGCACCGGGUGGUACGGGUGCAAGGCUCGACUUGCAUCAACACCUUUUGCGGCAUACCCGCAAUUAGUACAGUGGCUGGUGGCUGGGGUGCUAGUGUGGUGGCUAAUGGUGGUAGCUGGUGAUGCCUUGUGGUGAUGGGUUUGUGGUGGGAAUUUGGUUGGCGGCUCAUGCCGCACUUGGUGCAAAUGUGCAGUGUGCACAUCUUGUAUCAGGUGGUGUUGGUACAAGCUGUACCUUGUGCAGUAGACCCACAACCAGCACAGUGAUUGGUGGCUGGGGUGCUAAUGUGGUGGCCAGUGGUGGUGGUGGGUGAUGGCUGAUGGUGCUGGCGGCCGGUGAUGCUUGAUGGUAGUGGGUCUAUAGUAAGGGUUGGGAGCUCAUGCAACACCUAGUGCAAGUGUGCAGUGUGCAUAUCUUACACUAGGUGGUAUUGGUGCCAAGUGGGUGCGAGGCUCAGCUUACAAACACCUUCUAUAGUAGUAUACCACUAGCACAGUAGUAGCUAGUCGUGGCUUGAGGUGGUGGAUGGGGUACUUGGUGUGGCUGGUGGUGGUGGCUGGUGGCCGGUGGUGACUGAUGAUGGUGGUUGGUGUAAUUUUUAGGGGAAACCUACAAAAAUUGACACUUAACUGAUAACAUUCUAAAAAAUUUAACAUUUAAAUGUUCAAUUUUAACCGUAAGUGAUACUUAAGUUAUCACUUCAAUAAUAACUUGACACUUAAGUGAUAUUUUUUUAUCACGAUUAAUACUUAUGGCACUCGAGUAAUCACUCGUGUUUGUCCUAUGUAUAUGCUGGUUUGUAGCAAACCAGAGAAGCUGCUAGUUUAUAUUUAGUUCAACUUAUAGCAACUUCAUUCAAUUCAAUGUUUUGCUGUCGGUUUAUGUAUAUAUUCAGCUCAAGUAAAGAAGUCACCACAAUACAUUGACUCAAUACACAUCCAUCAUUGUUGGUUUAUAUUCAAGAACAAGUAAAAAUAUAGUACGACCAUCAUUUCAUUCACUCAUUCUCUUUCCUUGACCUCUCCACAAGCAUAAGAAGUAACCCAUGAUAUAUAUGAUAGCACAAACAAUAACAAAGCUACAACGAUCUUGUGGACAACACAAACUUCUUCUCAUCUUCCAUAAAAAUGCCUACAUUUGAUCCAAAACAAUUGCAUUUGUCCACUCAUUUUCAAUUAUGGCAGUCAAAGAAACUUCUUCUCAUCUUUCAGUGCCUAACAUUUCAUCAUAAAGUAGGAUAGAUAACAAAACAAUACCACAAUAAAUGCUUGGUAACAUUUCCGUUCAAUUUUCAUUCUUGAAACUUCAUUCUACAAAUGUUUAGCCGAAGAUGCUUGAGCUUGUAUUGAAUCAACAUCGUCCAAGUUGUCCACAAGCGUAGAUGGAGGUUGAUGUCAUCCAUCAAGUAGAUUGGAUAUCACUUUUGUGGCUCGAUGAGAGAAUUUCACAUCGACCCAUUUGAAGUAUUUACACUUUGACCAUUCUCUCUAUCGGGCACAUCCAUAAAAUCUUCUCCCGGGAUUCAUUCGAGUCCACGAUGUUCUUUUUGGACUCGGUAACCCACAAAAACAAAAACGCUUACCUUCGCCUUCGCUUUAGUGAGAGGAAUUUGAAGCACUGCUAAAAAUCUUGCUCUCUAUUUUCAAGAUUCAAUGGUGAAAUUUUAGGCAAAUCGAAAUUAAGAUUCGGGAUUAGGGUUUGAGCACUUCAAUAGGGAUUUUGGUUGAUUUAAGGUUUUAGAUUUGGGGCUUUUUGGGAGAUGACGUUGUUUUGACCGAUUUAGGGCUUUUAUUUUGGACAACUAUGAAAACGACAUCGUUUUGGGUCAGUCAGAGCUAAGUCAGCUCUCCAACAAGCCACGUAGGCAAACAAAAUUAAUAAUAAAAAAAAAUUACCACGUCGGAUUUUCAACGGGGUUCGCCGGAAGUAGCACUCAAGUAUCUCAUUUUAAAAAAAUAAAUUAUACUUAAGUUUCAUUUUACUAACUUUUGGUACUUAAGUGUUCUCUUAUGCUAAGUUUUGGCACUUGGAUUAUUCUUUUUCCAGAAAAUAUUUAUCUAAAUCCCAACUUGCUUUGUCAUGCUCAUGCUUGUCUAUCCUACUCAUAUUUCUCAAUUUCCGAAGUUCAAAAUAUUGGGAUUUAACCCAAAAUUACUUGAAAAUUUAAGUAUAUAUCCAUUGCAUUUACUCACCUUUAUAUUCGAAUGCAAUUAAUUUGCAGAUUUGAUCUUGUCGUGAGAGCAUUGGCUAGAGUAGUGGGUGAAAGGAGGAUUUUGCAUGAUGCGUUUCAAAACCAGCCAAAGGAUCGACUUAACCAUCUCUACUCACAUGAAUUAAAUACUGCAACGGGUGCCCUCUCAUUCCCUUGGGAUUAUUUAUCUCCAUAAAGCCCUUCAAUUCUGUUUGGCUAUCUCGUUCACCCUCUUCAGCCAUUUAAUGCUUUCAGGUUCUGUAAAGCUAUCCUCUAAAUCUCCCAAUUGCUCCGCCCAAAGACAUCCUCUAACCGUAAACCUGCAUAGCAUAACUUAACACGUCUAAGUUUAGUUGCACUUGCGCAGGUGUUCGAUUAGUAGAUGCUAUUCAGAUAAGAGGCUAAUCUGAGGACCGAUGCAACUAACCUAGCCACUCAAAUGCCUCUUUAUCCCAACCCAAGUGUGAUGCAGCUAAUAAGCCCCAUGGUGAUCGAAGAAAUUGAAUCAACAAAACAAUAAUUAAUAUAGCAAUAAAUAAAUUUCAAGAAAUUUAAUUAUAAUCAUCCUAGCAGACGGACUGAUGAUUAAAGUAACAAUUAAUAGUGGAAGGACACAAAUAUUUUCUUAUGAAGUAGAGUUAUGAUGAUAGAAUAUUGGGAUAAGUGCAUUGAAUGUUCUAGAAUUUCUCACGAAAGUGCAAUUGAGUUCUAAAUUUUCAAAAAUUGCAAUCAAGUUCUAAAACCUGUCACAAAAGUAAUUGUGUUAUAAAAUUUUUACGAAGUGCAAUCACGUUCUAAAACUUGUUGGGAUUUUCUAUUUAUCAAGUUGGACGAAGUUAAUGGAAUAUUUGAUCACAUUGACAAGUUUUAUGACUUGAUUAUACUUUUUUUUUUUUAAGUUUUAGGAUUUAAAUCACUUUCUAAAUGCUCUAAGGAUAAGUAUUAUUAUCUCUUGAAGUCCUUCUGAGCUGAGAGAAUUAAAAACUUCAUUGAUUUGAUAAAGAGUAUUAUUAUCAAGAGAUAGCUUGUUGAGUUUUUUGUUGACUUCAUAACGUCCAGCAGUAUGGCCUUCUUUUCCACAUUGAUAGCAUGUUAUACUUCAAUUGAUUUUUUUUGUUUUGUUUUUUGUUUAGUUUGAGAAGGGUAGGAUGAAGUUUUUCAGGAAAAAAAUUUUAGUGUGAUAUUUUUUUUUUUAUAUUUAUGAUUUGGUUUGUUUGAUCUUCUAUAAGAUAAUUAUCCCACCAACAUUUUAAUUGUCCAAUAAAAUAGCCAUCGAUAUUCUAAAUGUUCUUCAUAUCAAACAACCAUGGUCUCCAAUUCGUAUAAAACACAACAAGAUGUAUUGUGAAAUAUUUUUGUGAUUAUUUAUAUUUCAAUCAUAUUGUAACGUGUCAUUGCCAUUAAAAUUUUUAUCAUUUGUAUCACUUUGUUUGUUUUACAUAUCCUUUUCAAAUCAACCAUAAUAAUAUUUCAUAUUGUAACAUUAGAUCCUCUAUCUUAGAGCCCGGGAGUUUAUAUGCAUACGGAGAAACCAUGGAAUCGAAUCUCAGUGGAGUACGUGGAUCCUACUAAUAAAUGAAGAUUACUGAAUGUCUCUGAGAAUCUCAGGAAGACGACACUCGGCAAUGACCAAAUUUAGCGACGGAAUCACCCGACAGAGGUACUCAAGCUAAGUUAGAUGAAGAACGACUGAAGCUGGAGCCACCACAAAUAGUCGUCAUCUGAGAGAAGAAGAAAAUAGAGAGAAUGAGUUAUCAGAGGUGAAGGAUCUAUAUGUCCUAUGAACUGAAAGAGAGAGCGCGUGAAGUCUGCGGCGAUAGGAGGUGGUCCGGUGUUGCUGGGCGACGAUGAUGUUGCAGCAGCUUAGGCGGUGACGCAAGGACGGUGAGCUUCGAUGAAGGUGAAGACGUAGUGAUGGAUAACCCACAUGCAUCUCUGAGACUGACGAAGGAAGUGAAUCAAUCAUUUUUAUAUCUCUCUAGUAUUUGAAUCACCAAGAAUUCUUUUCAAAAGUAUAAGUUUUUUAUGGUACCUUCAUUUCAUAGAAAACUCAAUGAUAAAAAGCAUUUUCGAAUAAUAUGAUUAAUUUUCCAUUAUUUGGUAAUAUAUAAUCAAAUCAAAAACGUUUUUUGAUAUUUGGAUCUCAUUAGAAAGUGAUUUUGAUAGUAUGACUUUAUCUUAGGCCAAAAAAAAAUCGAAUUUUUUUAAUUUUUUUUCUUUUUUAAAAGUUCGAAUUUUUAGUUUUUCAUUUUAUUUUUUUAAAAUUCGAAUUUGUAAUUGGUUCUUCAAUGAGUUGUAAAAAGAAAGGGAGAUUAAUUAGAAAAACGUUUUUUUUUACUAUACCAUUUUCAAUAUUAUUAUUAUUAUUAUUAUUAUUAUUAUUAUUAUUAUUAUUAUUAUUAUUAUUAUUAUUAUUAUUAUUAUUAUUAUUUUCUUCUUCCUUUUUCAAAUGCAGAUUUGGUUUAUUGACAAAAUUAUUUGCCAACGAUGUUCAGUUUCUUAUUUUUUUUACCCACGGUUCUCAACAUUUUCACGAUUAAACCCAAUUUGGAGCACGUCCAUUGAUUUUCCUCUUAUAUUUAAUAAUCGUGUUAUGAAAAGAGUAAAAUUAUCAGCAUUUGACAAAGCUUUUGCUAACAAAAAAAAAGACAAAGCUUUUGCUAAGCAAGUUCAUGACAUCAUCACAACAUUCUACUUCAACUUCAACAUACUCAGAAUGCUGCCUUAGUUCUUCCGAAUCAAAGUAGGUCCAUUGCUUCAUGUUUAAAUUUGUGUACCUCAGUUAAGACUAUGCGGAGUGGAAUUCUUGACCGAACACUUGUCUGUUGAAGUCCUCAUAGCCAUUGGAGCUUAACCAAGGCCUUUUCUAUCUUCCUUAAAUAGCCGUGAUACCAAUUGAUUUAAUUGCAAUAUCUAAUAGUUUUCGCGCUAUAUUGCAUAAUUGGUAUAACAGCUGUCAACAGCCAGGAGACUAACAAAUAAGUAUUUGGUCAAGAACUUUGAUCCACAACUCUUUUGCCUGACAGCACAGGAGCUUCUUGGAUUAUAGCCGCGCAAGACGCAAGUGGUGCACUUUAUUAAACACAUUGGAGGUUUUCUGUCGACAUCCAAACUGAGUUGUUUCCAUUAAUAUAUACCGUGAGUUUGGGUGUACUUUAGGACUUGAAAAAUACUUAAACAUGUAUGUGAUCAUAACUCUAUAAUUCUCCUAUUUAUUAAUAGAUUAUUUACAGUUAACUAUUCCCAUAGAGUAAAUACCGACAUUCAGAUUGUCCCAUGCAGAUCUCUUCAUUUAUUUACUAUUCCCCAUUUAUUUCUCUAGUAACUACGCAUUGAAUUAAUUACGAGGUUCGAUAAUUUUUUCAUUAGAUUGAAAAACUGACAUCAUCACCUGACCAAUUCCGACGCCUGAAAUCAUUCAGCAAUAGAGACAAGUCCUUAGCACAACAAAAACUAUUCAAGAGGUGGCUCAUUGUAAGAGUCGCCCAGAUUUUCAAAUCUUAUAGAAAUAUCGUCCUUCAUCCUCCAUCAAGAUACAGGUUUGGCUAACUGUUGUGCCUAUCCGUCUGUAAAUAGGAGAGUUUUCCGGGGGACGGUCCCGUCCUUCAUUUGGUGAGGGUACACACAGGUUAAUGAUGUACAUUCCCAUAUGGACAUAUGGUCUCCUAGGCUGGAUCUCAUUACAUGUUUUCACUACAAUCAAGCAAACUUCUCUAUCAAGAUGGUCUGUAACUAAAUAAGAUAUGAAGAGGAAGUUGCAUUUUCUUUCUCAUUCUUCACUGCAUACAUGCUAUCGCGAGGCAUGAGAAAAUUAAAGGUUUAGAGUGGUAAAAAAGAAGGAACAAUAAUCUGCAGCCAAGAAAGGAAUACUAGAUUUUCAUGACUAUUCUCUGCUAGAACUUCAGGACAUGUAUAAUGAGCUUCCUGUCAAGAGAUCUGUUUUUCUUCAUUCUAAGAACUAUUUUACUAAAAAGUUCCACAUGUAUUACAAGAACGUGGACUACCUGUAGAAUAUAACAACAUACAAUUUUCACUCAAACUGUAUCUGCGACAAUUAAGUGAGGAUUCAUUUCUUCUUGCCUCUUCCUUUCUUAUUUUGCUUAACUUUGGACUUGCAAUUGCCCUUGUUCUUGUUCCGGUUUUCCACACCGCUAGUCUGGGAAAAAGAAGAUGAUGAAGCCUGCUGAUCCUUCUUCACUUCACCGGUUUUUUCAGCUUCCCCAGCUUUGCCCUUCUCUUCCUCAUUUGCUAAGCCCACUUCUUGUCCCGGCAAUGACGACGCAUUUGCACCAUCCGAAUGCACAACUGGUACUACACUGUCGGAAGAUGAAGAGGAAUCCAUGGAAAAUUCAGUCAGAUCUUGCAACUUGCAAGAGCUCUCAGCACUUCCAUCUUUGGGGAAUAGAACUUUCAUAAUCUCUUCUUUGCAUUUGUGCGACUUCACAUCUAAAAUGAUGGCAUGUGGACAUUUUGAACAAUCUGAAGCAGAAUUGGUAAUUACAAGGGGAUCAUCAACUUUUUCGAAUGCUUCAGCGAGAACACCCACUGAAAUUUCCUGUAAGUUUGGCCUCCGGCAACGUGAAAGAAUAUGAUGAAAUUCUGGAGGUAUUUGCUCAGAAAUCCAACUCUUACCGAGCAAAUCGAAGAGAAAAUAUGGACUGAUGCCAAAAUUCAGGUGAAGCAAACAAACCAAAAGAACCAACUUCAAGACCAACAACGGGUAAUACUCCCUCACAUUUAGGUUCGAAUUUUUUAUCCAUUGUCUGGUAUCAUCCUUAUUGCGAAGAAGGUCCACAACGGUCCUUGUAACAAACUGAAUGAUGGGCUCCAAGCAAUUUCCCAGGUUGAAACUGAAGCUAGGCUUUGCUAAACCUUCAUGGCAGAUGAGCCAUUCAACUAGAGAAGAUUUCGUUGUAUAAAACUGCCCUUUGGAGCAAGCUAACAAAAUCACAAGUCGUUCCAAGAGAUACAAAAAGCAAAUUGGUGUGAUGCAGUCUCUUUCAGUCUUCCAAUUGGCAUUGUAAGCAUCUGCCAAAGCUCGAUAAAGGUUCCAAGCCAAAGAGAUUUCCACGGGUCCAUUGCUCGCCUGAGGAAGGUCUGAUGGUACAUCCCGACAAAUGCAUUCCAUGAAUGCCUCCCAUGACGUAUCUCCUUUAAAUGAUUUUGCUAUUUUUCCGUACAAACCAUCGUCAAGCAUUCCAGACCCAAGAACCAAAGUCGCAAGCUCACCCAUCUUCCCAUGUGAAAAAUGCUUCUUCGAAAUUAUCAUGUUCAUUGUUUCUCUCAGUAAAUUACGAGAAGCCUCACUUCCUCUCAGAGAUACCAUAUUCUCUGAUGACGAUAUUCUCCAGUCAAGUGGAAAUAUGUGACCAAAAUACCUCUCACUGGAUGUUUCGAUGAAACCAUCCAGUGCCUUACCAUACUGGAACGAGUGAUUCCGACAAUUGAGUUCUCUAAGGAACUUGGCAACCUCAUGUGAGAUAGCAAGACAUCUGCUUUGCCAGAAAUUUGACCGAGAACUCUUCACCAAAAAUUGAUAAAGUGCAUCCAAUUGGUGCAGGAGCUCCAUACCAACAGAAGUAAGCUCAGAAUACCAGUACUUUUGAGCUGCAAAGACCAAUUGUCUAAGACCCAAAGCAACCAAUUGUCCAUUUUCUUUGAAGAAGAUCUUUAUCAACGUAUCUGACCCNNNNNNNNNNNNNNNNNNNNNNNNNNNNNNNNNNNNNNNNNNNNNNNNNNNNNNNNNNNNNNNNNNNNNNNNNNNNNNNNNNNNNNNNNNNNNNNNNNNNUUAGAAGGUGAUAAGUUCUUGCAUGUGUUCGGUGCUCAGACACCAAGUAAUUCAACAGAACUCCAACUUGACGUAUUUUCCUUCUCACCAGCAUCUCCACGCAUCCUGCACUCUCUAUAAUUCUGACAAUUUUCUCUCUCCAAAGAUUCCAAAAGCAGACCAAUGAGUCAACGGAAAUCUGAUUCCCCAAGAUCAGUUGUUCAGAAUAGUUCACUGGGUCGACAAGCCAAUCAUAUUCCCAGCAAAAAUUUGAGAUAUUUUGAUGAAGAUGGAAGUCCAGAAUAUUUCGAGCGCACAGUAUUUCACCUCUGACACUUCCAUUUCUACUGGAAGCACUCAAAUGUUCUUUCAUUUGAGCCAAACUGUUCUGUUUAUUUAGCAAAAUGCUUGAUUCUACAGAAACAUAUUCAUAGAAGGUAAUAGGCUCAGGCUUUGCAAGAAGUUUGGCUUUUGCUACCAGCUCCUCCUCCUGUGCAAACUGCUUCAAGGGCCACCCUUUGCUUCCAGGAGCCCAAAGGGAAUAGAAUAAUACGUACCACAGGAUGUUCAUCGACGCUUCCCUGUUUUUUCCGCUCUUCCCAAGUAGAUCAACCUCACGAAGGAUGUCACCUUUCAUCCUCACAAUCUUGGCUGCCUCCAAAAAGUUACCAAAGUCUUCCUCCAGACUUAUAAGUUCAUCGAUGCAUCCAAACCUCAUAAGCAAGUUUCUCAUUGAAUCGAUGCAAUGAAAAGCCUUCACAGACUUCAUCAUGGUCCUGUAGUCUCUGAGGUUGUAGAAAUGAAGGGCACAACUCUCUAAAAAGUCCUGUUCCAAUAUCUCUAUUUCUUUACUUUUCUUCUCUGUUCCCUGCCUUUUCCAAUCCUCAAUGUAUCGCAGACCCAUUUUAAAGAGUUUUUCUUCAGCACAAAUGGACAAGCACUUUGAGAAAAUAUUUGCCCUUGCAUAUGCCUCCGCUGCAAGACUGUAGCACUGAGCAAGAGAGAAACACUCUCCAGCUUUCUCCAAAGCAGAUUCUCCACAUUUAUCCAUGUAUAUUCUACCUGUUGAAGCAUAAACAUAUUUGAUGUCAGUCUCAUUUAUAGAGUGCGGAUGUUCAGAAGAUAAAACAUAGCAAAGGGACAUUUGGAAGCUGCCAGAAAUGCUCUUGUACAGCUCUGCUCUUGUACGGAUCAACUAUAUUCUCCAAUGUCAAGAGAUGAAACAGGAUCAACGUCCGUAGGUGGCUACAAUACCAAGAAGUUUUUGACAAACCAUAGUCAACAUGGAGUAUUGCAACUGGCAGCCACAGCUUUUUUCUAAACUCAUAGGUCUGGUCAGUGUUAAGAACUUAGCAGCUCAAAUUUUUCAAAACUGCUGAGAGAGCAGAGACAGGUUAUCAUAUAGAAAAAUAAUCAACUUCCAAGCCAGGACAUUAAUCAUGAAGUCAACAUUAGUAGCACUUGCUCAAAAUUCACCAAAAGCAUUUCAAAGUUAACAAGUGAGAUCGAACUGAGAUUGAACUACUUUUGUUUUAAUAUCGAAAGAGGAAAAUCAAUUAAACUGGUAAACAAGAGCGUACCGCGCAUGCAAAAUACUACAUACAGAAGAAUGCUAAGUCAAAUUUCCUCUCUCUCUCUCUCUCUCUCUCUCUCUUAGGCAGCUUUGACAUAGCUACAACAAGAAGAAAAGUAAAGAUGCAGCAUAUCUCCACCUUAUCAUUUUGAAAGAAAUGAAAAGAAAAAUGAUACCUGCUAUCUCAUAUUCCUUCAACAUGUAGAAACACUCCGCUGCAGAGUCGGCCAUUCCAAUUGUUUCAUAGAUCUCAGCAGCCUGCCUUCGAAGGUCAGAAGCCUCUUGUGGAUUUGAAACGUGCUUGAGAUCUGCAUCUGCUUUGAAAGCGGAGGCCUUAGCUAAUCUCUCCCCGUAUGUGUACCUUGCUCGUUCAAAGCACGUUAUUGCCAUUGGGUAUUUACCCUCACGUAAGAGCUUGCAAAGUUUAUUAAAAAGAAAAAAAAGAGAGAGAUCAAUAGCUUCUCCAGAGAAGGUGAAAAGAAGAAAAAAAGAAAACAUAGUCCUCCCUUAUAGGAAAAAUCAGAGGUGUAGACUUACACCAAAACAAUGCACUGUCAUUGCCUUAUAACCUCAAAUGAGGAAAAAGAUUAUAGGAAUAUUCCUAUCAUAUUGUUUAUCCACUGUGUGUCUAAAUGAAGCAUUCAGCCAAACUACUAAAAAACCAAUGAAGCUGGCAAAUCGAUCACCAUAUUUGUACCAUAGAACGUCCACAUUCUACACACAUUUUUUUUUUCAGGAUCAGUCAUACUUUUGCAGUCACUAUUGUCAUUCCAAAAUCUCUAGCAUUCACAGAUCAUGUUGACUCCAAAUGAGGCGAAAAUAACAAUUCCGUGAAGAGGAAACAACUAAUAAAGAAAAAACAGAAAAACAGCAAACCUUAAAACCUUGUGACUUCCACUCCUCUGGCGUGCUCCUGACCUGCAUUGCUUCUGCAAAGGCAUGAUCUACCAACCUAACUUGAAUGAGGCACUUCUUCUUCCAGUAGUCGAGAAUUGGUUUGGAGAACUCUAGGGCAUUCUCACAAAUCCACAAUCUUUGUCUUGUCUGAGUAAUUGCGACGUACAAUUGUUUCAAUUCAGAGCAUAAUAUAUUGUGCUUCGCGUCAUCGAAACUUGGGGAAGACCAUUGAGAGCUGUUAUCGAGCAAAGCUUGCUCCUUCAUGUAUCCAUAAAUGACCCUCCAUUGACUUUUCAGAGGUGAUGUGCCAAAGAAGUUGUACAAUAAAACGUCCUAUACAAUGUCACGGCAAAAAAAGUUUCAGGUAAAAACAUUAAAUUUUGUAACCAAAAUAACAGAUAUCAAGUUUCAUGAAUACAGGAACAAUUCUAAAAAAUUUAGGAAAAAAAAUAUCUGGACUCAUUUUGACACACCAGCCUAUCAAGAACAGCCGUAAAGUCACAAGAUUGUUGAUAUUGUCUAUUAACCUAGAGGAUGAUGUUGACAUGAGGCCAAACAAAUUCUACAUUAUGAGUAUCUAGAAGCCAUUGUCUGCAUACAAAAAAGGGCAUAGUAGAAUGAAAAUACCAAUCCAAGUUUUUUUCCGAGUAACAGCUUCCAGCAAAUUGGUCAUGACCCAUUAAAAAAAAAGUUCAUGAAAUCUCUAUGCUGCUACCAUUAAAAUCCCAUGGCAAACAAUCCAACCUGACACACACCUACCUGAAAUUCCAACCCCUUGCACUCCACUAUCGUCAGAACUAGAGCUUGCCCUCUCACAAGGUUCGAAACUUCAUUUCUAGAGUGAUCAUCUCGAACCAAAAUAACCUGCUCUGCUCCAAAGCCAACGAAAUUACCACUAAAAUCACGUUUGCCAAAAAUUGAUAGUAUGGCACUUUCGUCAUUCUCCGAUUCAAGUAAAAUUGGGGCUUCCCCACAUAUAAAGCUAGUUUCAGGGCCCAAAGCAUCAAUGGAUAAAGGGAAAAAAUGGUAAAGGAGAUCAACAACACUCUGCGCCAGUUUGAGUAUACCAGCAUGAGUGCGGAAGUUUUGGCUCAAAUGGAAAAUUUUGGAAAGACAUCCCUUUUCCAUUCUUUUAUCAGGUCCAUCCAUUGAAUCUAUCAAGAACUCCUUGUAGAAAAGGGACCUUAUGUCUUCAAACCUGAAGUCUAUUCCCCUUGCAAUAGUUUGUGCAGUGUCACCAGAAAACACAAAGCCCCCAUCAACGUUUCUACAGAUAUACUUGAACAGUGAAAUUUGUCUCAAGGUGAGAUCCUGCACUUCAUCAAUAUAUACAAAAUCCACUAUGUUGACAGCAAACUGCCCACAAAAAAGACGGCGAUGAAGAUCAUUGACAAUAUCGGCCAAAUCAAAUUCAUCAUUUUCCAUUUUCAUCUUUUCAUAAUCCUCAAAAGCAUCAUAAAUUUCUUCUCUUCUCUGAAUACUCAGAGUGGAUACACGACCCUCUGAAAGUGAAACAUAAGCUGGUCUGUCAAGUUUGCCUUCACAACCAUCUGCUGGUUGAAGACCACCCUUUAUGUGGGACAUUAUUUCAGUGAAGACUCUGGAAGGAUCAAGCCUCCUCCUUAUCUUGUCAUUGAAGUGAGGCCAAUAAACAGCACAAAACUUUUCGUAAGUAACCUCCUUAGCUCUUAGAAGACUUUGUAAGGCCACUGGUCUAGAAUUGAAGGAUUGGCCACGACAAAGAUCCCUUAGAUCGGGGAACCUUUCAAAGAAUGAAACCCCCACAGUUCCGUCUAGCAUCAUCAGAAGCUUACGAAAAGUUAUAACAAGGGGAUAAGAGUUGGGAGAUAUGUCUAAAAAUGAAUCCGGGAUAUCCUUGAAUAAUGCUGCAUCAUCAACAAUCUCAUCAACUGAAGAGCUUUUAACUCUUUGUUUUGCACCAAUGCUGGAGCUGCAGGAUUAAUGAAGCCAGCAAUUAGAAAUGGAAAUAUAUAGUUUUAACAAACUUACGGGAAUACCUCCACUACACAUGCAAUCUCAUAAUUGCUACUUUUAGGUAACUAACAGCAAAAAGGAAAUUAGAAUACGCUGAUGCACCGAGGUUGCAAUGAUAUACUAUGAGACACGGAUAGCGUUUACAUCCGCUGGCAAUUAAAAUUUUCCCCCGCAGCAAGAUUUGUAGAACACAUGGUCCUUUCUCGAUUCUGGUUAUAAUUGCACAAGUUUUAAAAAGGGCGAUUUUCUCUUUAUAUGUACAAUGCUACAAUCACAAAAUUUAAUGUGAAAAUUUCCAAUAAAAUGGUAUUGCAAACUAAAUAAGUGGCACGAAGACCAAAAUAAGGAAUAUUGCUGCACAAACUAAUGUUUAGUUUCAGCAAGCAGAAGAUGUCAAUCUCUAACAUGCAAUGAUUAAAUCUAUUGUCUAGCAGCUAUAUCCGAGUGGUAGCACCCGAGCAUGGCAAAGUGCUGAUUUGACCCAUGCGCUCUUGCCACAUGUUAUAUUUCCUAUCGAACUGUAUAAAAUGAAGUAUCUUGGUUGUGCUUCUCCGCUAGGAGGAAAAUAGUAGCAUGCCAAAGGGGUUAUCUUCUUCUCCCAACUAAUUCAUAAAUAAAAAUAAAAAUAAAAAUAAAAUAAAAAAUAAAAAAUAAAUUGACAAUCCAUUAACCCUUGCAUAUGUUUAAUCAUUGUAAAAAUUGCAGAAUAUUUAUUCUAUUGUUCAAACAUCUUCCCAUGACAUUUUAUGUACCUUCUAAGUUGAGAUACGUGUUGUUUGACCGCAAAACAUAAUUUUGCACUGAUAGUCACAAAAAGCUGGCGCAAUACACAAUCCUCUGCUCCUUCACCGAUUUCCUCAACAUUGAUUUCCAGGGAGGCAUCUUUGCUGUGGCUAAUACCACUUUGGAUUUCCUGAAAUCCCUUGGUUCCUUCAUCGUGCAGUUUCUCAUUUCUAAACAACUUCAUUGUCAGGACUGUAGUUUUACCGGUUCCAGAUCGCCCAAGUAUAAAAGUGCUUCUGGGGAAAAGAAUUAUCUCUUGUUCUUGCUCUGUUACUUUAAACGGAAGACUUGCUUCAUUACCGUCACUGUCAUCGAGCAAAUUUCUGACAAUAUCUGAUGAUAAGGGGUAGAAUUUCAUCAGAAGCAAACUCUCGCUCACUUUCACAUUUUCUACAUACAACCUACGAUCUGAAGCAUCAGCAUCAGAACUACUCCCAAAUUGAUCUUCACUAGGACUUCGACAGCGGACAAAAUCGACAGUACAUGCCCAGGUCUUCGGAACUUGCUGAUCCCUAUAACCGGAAGAGGCAUGUGAAAUGAAAGAAAAUAGAGGGAUAAGAUCAAUUCAAGAUAUUUGAGUCAUCUAUCUGGAAAAGAAUGCUUUCUAAUUUAGUAAGUGAUGUGCUACCUAUCUUCAGUAAGAAGAAAUGAUCAGACUUACCCCUCAAAGCAUUUCUCAUUGCAACGACUAAUAAAAUCAUCACUAUAUGUCUCGAAAAUGCUGUCCAAACGUUUGACCAAUUUUGCCACAUCCUCUAAAGGCAUUACAUCCCAUAUCUUCAGGAUUUGGAUGUAUCUCAGUUCCUUUACAACAUCAAUCGUGCAUAAGACAUAGAGACCUUCAGCCUUAAAUUGUCUCACGAUAUGAGAUGAGUGUUCACAAAUUAUAUCCACAUUCCUCUUCUUUGGUCUCCAGCCACUGGAUAGUCUUGACAGAAGCAUAAUGAUUGACAUCUUUAUCCUGAGUGAUGCCAGCUUUCUGAAAGACUUCAGGAAGUUGUCACUGAAAAGAACCUGAUAAGACCAAAGCAUGACAAUAAGAUAUGUUGUCACAAGUUCUAUAAAACUCAAUGCUUAUUUUGAAAAUAAAUCCGUAGAAUACUGUUGAGCAAAGAUUUUUACCUUCCACCUUGCAUUUCUGAAAAGUACACUGCUUCUGUCAAGCAGAUCAUCAAGCUGAUUAUUCUCUUUCUUCACAUCUAAGAUGGCUUUAGCCAAAUCCUUGUCAUCAUCAACAUUGAAAAAACAUCCACGACUCUUUGCAUUGUCAACCACAGCUUCCCACACAGACUUGCUUUUUGUUAGUGUUUUCCCAUUUCCCAGAAUCCACAGACAAUACCUAUAGAUAGGAAAUUAACUCUGGGAUUUACUUGCUAUAUCACUCUAAAAAUGUAAUUUGACACAGUUAAGAGGAUAGAGUACCUGGCCCUGGUAAGAGCAACAUUGGUUCUCUUAGGACUGGACAAGAACCCAAUAUUCCCACGCGAGUUUGAUCUUACGGUGGAUAGAAUAACAAUGUCUUCUUCACCCCCUUGGAAUCCAUCCACUGACUUCACCUUGACCAUAAAGCCCUUGAUAUUUUCAUACUUUUUCCCGAGUUUAGCUAGAACUGCAGCAACCUGAGCUUUGUAAGGAGAUAUGACACCUACUGUCAGAUCUUCUUCUGACCCAUUCCAAGCUGCAAAGAAAAGGAAAUAAAACCAUCACUACAGUGAAAUUAUUUUUGCAGGUUGCAAAACUUCAAAAGAAAUAUCUUAGGAAAAGAACUAUUAAUGGCCAUCAUAAUCUGCACCUAUAUGAUUAAGUAAUACAUGUAAAAUCCAUGUGCUCGAAGCAAUAUGCAUAAAAUUCUCUUGACAUACCUCUGUACAGAUUCCUCACUAUCCUUGAGAUAACUUCCACCUCAACAGGGUUUCUACGGCUACAGCCAUCAUCACCGAUUUGUUCUUCUCCAUCAGGAAUAUUUAUGAACGAGUAAGGGCCAAACAUUGGCCAUGGCAAAUGACUUUUUCUGUAACUUUUGCUCUUCACAUUUGUCCCGUCCAAAAUUUGGUUUUGAUAAAAUUUAAAAUUCGGAAACAGACUUAUUGAUGGAUGCAUCCGGUAUUGUGUAUUGAAAAGUUGCCUUGAAUAACCAAGUGAACUGAAUCGUUCAAACAGACUCCUUCCAAAACGAGCCCGUCUAGAAACCUGUAAAAAUAAAACAUGAUAUAGAAUUCAAUGGGCAUUAGGUAUAGCACAUUUAGCCCAUCUAAGGUCAAAUGAAGAGAACAAUAUUACAAAUCUUUCAAAACCAAAUACAAAGUUCCUUUUCAGACAUUUAAACAUUACCUUGCUUUCGACCAUAGCCGGCAACUGACACUCAUCUCCAACUAAAAUCAGACGCUUGACACCAGGGAGUUGCAGAGGAAUUACUGACUCGCAUUCUUUCAACUGGGCUGCCUCAUCGAUUACCAGUAAAUUGAGAGGCUCCAUGUCCACAGAGUACAGCUUAUAUGAACUGGAAGCAGUGCAAAAAAUCAGGGAUGCAUGUUGAUAACAGAAGUUGGCUAUCGUGUCCUCACUCAUAAAGUUUGGAAGUUUUAGAUCCUUCGGAGAAUCACGAACAGUUAGUAACAUGGAAAGGCAUUCCUGUCUCUUCAUAUAUAUAUUAUAUAGUGGACCCAUGGACGUCUCAAACGAAAACAGGCUAAGAUCAUCACGUGAAAGAGUUAUCUCCAUCAUCUCUGAAUCCAACUUCUCUCCACAUAAUAAAGAUUCAAAAGAAUCAAGUAAGUUAAGGAGGGAUGUAAUAUUCUGGAAUUUAGUUCUGGAUAUAUGAUUACAGAAAGUAUAGAGGCAUCUCCGCAGGGGCUGGACAGUUUCCUUGAAUCGGUCCUUGAAAAACUCAAGAAAUGAUUUAAGCUCACAGUUAACAUCUUCUUCACUGCUUCCGCAUUCACUCCCAUCAUCAUCACUUCCUGGUUUCCUUCUUUUCGUGUGUUCGUUUUCCAAAAAUAUGUGGUAUUGACGGAGACAGUUGGCAAGAGUAUCUAUCAUGGAAGUUAGACACUGAUGCCAACCAGUGAAUUCAGAAAUGCGCUCUACACGAUGUUCCAAGUAUAUUACUUCAAUGUCGGAAUCAACUUUCAGCCGCUCCUUGUUCCCAAAAAUAAGCAUGUCUCCAAAGUAACAGACCAAACUUUCCGUUUCAGUGCUUAUACCACUAUCUGAUUCCUUUAGCAGCUUUAGAACACGAGAUGCCACUUCCUUGAUGGCAACAUUUGUAGGAGCACAAACAAUGGUUCUAUGUUUCCUUUUCAAGAGAUUAAAUAGCAGUGCAGCGACGGUUUUAGUUUUCCCAGUUCCAGGAGGACCCCAUAUCAGUUCGACAGAUGGCUUGUUCUCACAUUGGAGUUUACUGAGACAGGCCCCCACUGCUUUUUUCUGGGAUUCAUUUAGAUCAUGGCUCAAUCUCUCGUCAAGGCUCUCACUCGCAGAACCAUUACCCUUUGUAAUACAAAGAUUAGAAACUUUGUCAGCCUGCAACCGAAACACAAGAUUAGAAACUUUGUCAGCCUGCAACCGAAACACAUUUCUUGUGAUAAUCCAGACCAUGUAAAUAUGGUAGAAGGUCCUGAAACUUAAUUGGUGUUAAUAUGAUAUAAAGAGCAUUGCACAGCACAAACUUAAAUCCCAUGAAAAGUAUAGUAUAGAAAAUUUUAAGGUCUAGUACUAACAAGUAAGUCGCCACCAAGGAAUUAAUUUGCCCUGUUCAAGACAUAAUUCAUUCAUCUCCAUAUCAUGAAACGGACCAACUAAAAGAAACAACCAUCCUAAUCUAUUGAUGCAACAGCAUGACUUAAAGCAACAUUUAUCUUCUUUUCCGAAGAAACUUAAAAAUCGAUAGGAGUAAAAUGAAGCUUUGAAGCUUAGAUGAUAAUAAUAGCAAUUUCAAGUCUAAAUGGACCGAAGGUACAAAAAGGAAAGUCAUACCACCACAUCUGUGCAGAGAACUUCCUUCAAAAUAUCCAAGUUCCGAGACAUAUGCAACGCAUUCCAUAUCCUUCUGUUAGUGACUAUAUGUAUCAGGAAAAUUGCAUACAUUGGCUUCCAGGAAUUAUUUACUUCAAGGUCCAAUAAUGUCUCCACUUCAAAGUUUGUGGAUGACGUUGCCUCAUCCUCUUCAUCGUCUUUUCCAAUCAUCCUAACUAAUGUGAACGCCCAUCUUCUUCCGAACCUCUCCAAAUCAGCAACAGCUGUUGGCUUAGCAUCAGUUAGAAUCAAGAUAUCUCCAGGCAAAGUUUUGUAUGUUUCCUUCCCAUGACUAUUGGAUUCAUUGCUCCACCGACCGGCCUUAACAGCAUAUGAGUUCCUACUUCCCGUGCAUUCCACAAAUUCAAUAACUUCAGUGAAAGGCAGCAAAUAAAUAUUUUUCAAACGCGAGCACAGACUGGCCCGUGUUUCUUCCAGUAAAGGGUAGACAUACGAUCCAAGAUAAUGCCGGACCGACUGAAAUGUAUCCGGUAUAGUCUCCACCUAAAAAAACAGCUCGGCCAAUUGUCAAAUAUGACCAACGAACCUUGACAUUUCAAAAAAUACUUUGACCAAAUUCCGUAAAACAUAACAUAUACUCCUAAAAUACCGAACGAGCUUGUGAACAUAGUAGAAGCAUAAAGGGUUCUAUUCUACUAAGUUGAAUGCAAGGUUCUUAUAAGGCUAGGCUUAUUAAAAGCACAAUCAAACAAAAAAAAGGAACGAACUAGCAUCAUUGGAAAAUUCUCAGGUAAACACCACAUUGUCGUUGAACUUAAACGAGAAUAAAACCAAAAGGGCAUGAUAAAAGGAAAAAAAAAAGCAAAGAUGAGGGAAGAAUAGAAAGAAACCUGGUCAUGGUAGAGGUUUUCGUUGAGAAUGUCAUGAAGAGACCAAGAGGAGACAAUAUCAAUCAGGUCAUUAGUACCAUGUCUCCUCCUCCUGCUCAAACCACCCUCAGCUAUCUCCACACCCACCACUCUGUUUGGGCUUCCUCCCAAACCCAUCUGAACCCACGUACCAAAAUCUUCUACUUGUUUCUUUCUCCCCUUUUCUUGCUGAUCAAAGCACCAGGGAAAAAUCGCUCUGAGGUUUCAAGAAACUUUCGAGGCAAAAAUUGGGCAAAGCUUGUACGGACAUCAUCAGCCCUUUUUGAGCUCCGAAGUGAGCAUUCUUAGCGACGAAGAAGAAUGACACGGGGAGGCAAAGGGGUCGUCCAUGGACUCUUAAAAGAAGCAACUCGAGGUCUUUUCGUCAACCCACCAUUCGAGGUCUACGAAAGGCGAAAAGAUGGGGGUACCUCGUCUUCCGAACACGGUCUGAUAGCUUUCUUUACUGCCCAAAUGCUUGUAAUGAUUCCCGCUUUUCUUUGCUUAUCCAUGUUUCGAUUUCUUGCAGCCUAAGCUUCGUCAACUGUUUUCUGUCCGAAAUGUAUCAUUGCAUGAGUGAGGUUAUUUUUUGAAGAUAUUAAAAUUAUUUGUUGAUACUGAAAUAAUAAGUAGCUGAAAAAAAAAGGAUAAAUCUUAACUAGAAAAAUAAUUACACGAAUAGUCCCUGCACUUUAAUAUAAUGUGCAAUUUGAUAUUCGAAAUUUUGAUUUGUUCAAUAUGGCUCUUGAACUUUAAUCCAAUAUGCAAUGUGGUCUCCGAACUUUUCAAUUGUUUAAUGUAAUCUCUGGACUUUUGAUACAUACUCAAUACGGUCUCUGAACUAUAUGAAAUAUUGAAUGUAGUUUUUUAAUUGAUUCAAGAGUAGGGAUGACAUUGAACAUUUUGAUACAAGUUCAAGGACUGUAUUGAAUAUGUAUCAAAAGUUUAUGAACUAUAUUAAAAAAAAUUUAAAGUUCAUGAACCAUAUUGCACAUUGGGCUAAAAUUCAGAGACCACAUCAAACAAAUUAAAAGUUUAUGGACUUAAUUACACAUUAGGCAAAAGUUUGGAGACUAUUUGUGUCAUUUUCUAUAACUAGAAGUAGACAAUGAAUGUGAACAUUCUACUUCAAUCGCUUGACUUUUAUUUUUGAGCAUCUAUAUUGAUAUAAUAUAGAAUUAAUAUCAUGAAAAAUUUUUAAUCAUCAAAAACUCUAAAUUGGUACACCUGUCCCAAAUUAAUUUUUAAUAACUAUAAAAAAACCUCAAGAUUGUUGUAAAAUAUCGCGUGGCGAAUAUAUAAUAGAGAAGAGAUUAAAGAAGAGAAAGCAAGUGAACACUAGAGAUAGUAGCAAGAUGAAAGAGCUUUAUUUAUAGUAUCUCACUGUCGUGUUUCUGUGUGAUAGUGUAUUGUACAUCAAAACUAAACUCCUAUUUAUAGGAGAACAAGAAUGUACUUAUCAUUAAUAUCAAUGUAUCGAAUGAUACAUGUACAGGAUAAGGGAGACGAAUGUUCAUUGUAUAGGGAGAUGUACUUAGAACAUUUGAUACAAAUGUACCAUAAUAAGUACAUUGGAUAAGAUGAAUAUAAUGAAUAUUCAUUUAUGUAUUCUAUCCAUUCAUGUAUUUCAUAACACUCCCCCUUGAAUAUUCAUCAUAUUCAUUACGAAUGUGCAUUGAAUGAUACUGCCUCAUUAAAAACCUUAAGCCGGAAAAACCCAGUGGGAUAAAAACCGGACAAAAGGGAAAAAGAGUGCAGAGCACAAAUGUUAUGAUCUCUCCCUUUUAUGGAUGCAUUGAUUGCCUCGUUAAAAACUUUAAGCCGGAAAAACCCUAUGGGAAAAAACCGGACUUAAAGAAAAAAAAAAAAAAAAAAGAGUGCAAUGUAUAUAUAGCCACUCCUGGGACUAAUCAUUAUUGCAUCUUGUGAACUAGCCGCAUAUCAAUGAUGCAAUGCAUAGUUCAUAAUAUCUCCCCCUCAAUAGAGCCAUAUAGCCACUUCUGAGGCUAAUUAAUCUUACAUCUUAUGAACUCGCCUCAUACCAAUACCAUAUACUAAUUUCUCAAAACUUGAUGUUGGCAAUGAUUUGGUAAAAAGAUCUGCAAGAUUAUUUAUGGAUCGAAUCUGUUUAACAUCAAUUUGUCGACUUUCUUGGAGUUCAUGAGUAUAGAAAAAUUUCGGCGAGAUAUGCUUGGUCCUAUCACCUUUGAUAUAUCCUCCCCUGACUUGUGCAACACAAGCAGCAUUAUCUUCAUAAAUUAUAGUGGGAGAAUUGGUAACCGGUAUUAAGCAACAAGAAUUAUGAAUAUGUGUUAUAACAGAUCUUAACCAAACACACUCUCUUCCAGCUUCAUAUAAAGCAAUAAUCUCAGAGUGGUUAGAAGAUGUAGCUACUAGCAAUUGCUUCGUAGAACGCCAAGAAAUAGCGGUGCCGUUAUAACAAAAUAAAUACCCGGUUUGAGAGCGAGCCUUAUGUGGAUCGGAUCUAUAUCCAGUAUCAGCAUAUCCAACUAAAACAGAGUUAGUGGAAUCCUUGGAAUAAUAUAAUCCCAAAUCUAUGGUUCCUCGGAGAUAACGGAAAAUAUGUUUAACUCCAUUCCAAUGUCUCCGAGUUGGCUCAGAACUAAAACGUGCCAAUAAAUUUACCGCAAAAGCGAUAUAUGGUCUCGUACAUUGUGCCAAGUACAUCAAAGCCCCAAUUGCAUUGAGAUAUGGUACUUCAGGACCAAGUAUCUCUUCAUCAGAUUCUCUAGGACGAAAUGGGUCCUUUUGGGGAUCCAGAGACCUUACAACCAUAGGGGUGCUCAAUGGGUGAGCUUUGUCCAUGUUGAAACGUUUAAGCAAUCUUUCAACAUAUGCUGAUUGAUGGACGAUUAUUCCAUUUGCUUUAUGCUCAAGCUCUAGACCAAGACAAAGUUUGGUUUGACCCAAAUCUUUAACUUCAAACUCCCUUUUCAAAUAUUCAGCAGUUUCAGCUAACUCUUCUGGAGUUCCAAUUAAAUUUAUAUCGUCGACAUAAACUGCUAUAAUAGCAAAUCCGGUUUCUGAUUUCUUAAUAAACACACAUGGGCAGAUAGGAUCAUUUUUGUACCUUUCCUUAAUUAGGUACUCACUUAGGCGUUGAUACCACAUGCGACCGGAUUGCUUUAACCCGUACAAGGAUCUUUGCAAUUUUAUUGAGAAUAAAUUGCGGGGAGUGCAUGCUUCAGGCAUUUUGAAUCCCUCAGGAAUUUUCAUAUAAAUAUCAGAGUCUAAUGAGCCAUAUAGAUAUGCCGUCACAACGUCCAUAAGACGCAUUUCCAAUCUUUCAAAGAUUGCUAGGCUAAUGAGAAAACGAAAUGUAAUCAUAUCCAUCACAGGUGAAUAUGUCUCAUUAUAAUCAAUCCCAGGUCUUUGGGAAAAUCCUUGGGCAACGAGUCGGGCUUUAUACCUGACAACCUCGUUUUUCUCAUUUCAUUUUCGGAUAAAUACCCAUUUAUAUCCAACGGGCUUUACAUUAUCGAGGAUACGAGUUACAGGUCCAAAAACCUCUCGUUUAGUUAGGGAAGCUAAUUCAGUUUUAAUUGCUUCCUCCCACUUAUGUCAAUCUUGCCUUUGAUGACAUUCAAUAAUAGAUUGUGGUUCACAAUCAUCAUCCAUAAUUUGAUGAGCAACUGAGAAUGCAAAAGCAUCAUCAAUGAUGAUUUCAUUUCGAUCCCAAAUUUCAUUACAAUAUAUAAUGGAAUUCUCAAUAUUCCCGGGGCUAGUGCUCCUUUCAUGGGUUUGCGCCUCUUCAGGGGCAAUAAGCUCUUUGGGAGCAAGCAUAACGCCAGGCUCUUCUGGAGCGGAUUCUUGAUUCUUUCCCCUUCGUUUUCGAGGAGCAGUAUCUUUUGAUCCUAUCGGUCUGCCACGCUUCAAGUGCGGGGGAUUUUGAUCCAUUUUAACCUGUUCUUCGAGAACAACUAUCCUAGCUGGAGCAUUUGCAGCUGGAAUAUAAGACUUCGUUACCUUAGUAGCAUCAUUAAAUGCGUCAGGAAGUCUAUUGGCCAUAGCCUGUAAAUGGAUUAUGCGCUGCACCUCGUUUUCACAUUCAGGAGUCCUUGGGUCUAAUUGAGAUAAAUUUUUCUUAUUCCAGGAGAAAACCUUAACUGGUUUUUGUUUUGCAGUCAUGGAAGUUGUAGGUAUCCCAAUUGAUGGAAACCUAGUCUCAUCAAAAUGACAAUCUGCAAACCUGGCAGUAAAAAGAUCACCAGUAGUUGGUUCCAAGAACCUAAUGAUAGAUGGUGAACUAAACCCAACAUAAAUGCCCAAACGGCGUUGGGGACCCAUUUUCGUCCUUUUUGGCGGUGCUACAGGCACCUGUACUACACAACCAAAUGUGCGUAGAUGUGAAAUAUUUGGUUCAUAACCAAGAACCAUUUGAAGGGGAGAUUGUAAAAUACUAGCAGUGGGGCGUAAUAUCAAAACUCUUUGAUGUAAAUUCACCAGCAUUACCCAUCCUUAUGCUCUUAAUUGGAUAAUCAGGGAAUUGUGCCCGGAGCUUUAUAAUCUGCCCAAGUAAACGUGCAAAUGCGACAUUGCGCGUAGAUAAUAGGCAAACAUGGGACCAUCUACAGGAUGCGUCCACUAAUACCAUAAAAUAUCGAAAUGGUCCACUUGGUGGUUGUAUUGGUCCACAAAUAUCACCAUGAAUUCUUUACAAGAAUAAAGGAGAUUCAAAAUUAACCUUUGUUAUAGAAGGUUUAAUAAUGAGCUUUCCUUGUGAGCAAGCCUCACAAUUAUAAUCUUUGGACAACAAUACAUUUAUAUCCUUUAAAGGGUGCCAUUUUGUAUUUUGAAUUAUCCUACGCAUCAUUGAAGCGCCAGGAUGACCAAGGCGAUCAUGCCACAGUCCAAACUGAUCAGGGCUUACCAAUUUCCAGGAUGUGGUAGCAUAGGUUUCAACAGCUUUAAUCAUGACACAAUACAAACCCAUAGAAGAAGCUUCUAGCUUCUCAUGGAUGGUCUUUAGGCCCAUCUUAUAAGAGGAAAUGCCAAUAUAUUCCUUAUCUUGCUCAUAAAUAGUCUCAAUAUGGUACCCAUUACGGCGUACAUCUUUGAAACUGAGCAGAUUCCUUUUUGAUCGAAUGCUUAGAAACGCAUUCUCAAUAUGCAGGAUUGUGCCAUUUGGCAAAAUAAUUGCAGCAUUCCCAAAACCAUCAAUAAUCGGAAAAUGACCUGAUAUUGUAUGGAUUUGUGCCUUAUGCAAUGUCAUACUCGAGAAAAAGCGUCUACUACAAAAUAUAGUAUGUGUUGUUGCACUAUCAAGCAAACAAACAUCUUCCUUUUUCUCGGUAUUUUCCAUUUGCAUUUAUAUUGACAACUUCAGGUGUCAAGUAUCAUAAAAGUUGCAUAUUAGUUAUAUAGUCAAAUAAAAUUUCAAAGAUAAAUAUAAGGUAAGGUUCAUAAGUAUUUCAUAAAGAACAAUAAAAAAAAAGUAAUACAUUUAAAGCGAAACAACAUAAAUUUCAAAGUUCAAAUUAUUAUCCACCAAUCUGAUUUAUCAAAGUAAUCAGAGGUCCUCAAAGAAAUCAGAGACACCCAAUGAUGCAUUUGCUACUUCGGGAGCAAGAGGAGUCCCACCAACGGAGAUAUUGUUGGCCUCAACAGUGGUUAUGGCAGUAGGAUUGAUUUCAAUGACAUGAGAUUCACCACGCUUGCCCGUAUUCUUUAAAGAUGCCUGGUAUAGAUCAACAAAAUGUUUUGGCGUACGACAGGUACGUGACCAGUGCCCAGUCAUGCCACAACGAUGACAAAUACUUUCAUUAAUCACCUUCUUUGGCUUCUUUUCUUUGCCAUGAUUCAGGCCAAAGUUUGAUUUCCUAGGGCGGUUAAAUUUCUUGACAUCCCUUCUAGGAUUAUGUUCUUGCCUGCGCUUAUAGCCCUUAAAAUGGCCAGUAUUUUUCUCAAAGUUAGCAUGUGCUUCAGGCAAUGCUUUUGAGCCAGCAGGUCUAAGAUCAUGAUUUUUUAGCAGCAAUUCAUUAGUUUGCUCGGCAGUAAGAAGCACAGAAAUUAAUUCAGAAUAUGUGGCAAACUGACGUUGCCGGUAUUGCUGUUGCAAUACAAUAUUUGAAGCAUGGAAGGUGGAGAAAGUUUUCUCAAGCAAUUCUGCAUCAGUGAGUUUGAUACUGCAUAACUCAAGUCGAGAAACGAUAUCAAAUAAAGCAGAAUUAUAGUCAGACACUGAUUUAAAAUCUUGCAGUCUGAGAUUUUGCCAAUCAUAUUGUGCUUGAGGGAGGAUAACAGUUUUGGUAUGAUCAUACCUAUCCUUCAACCUCCUCCACAAGAUAUGAGGAUCUCGAACGGAUAAAUAUUGAGUCUGCAGGCUCUCAUGCAAAUGACGACGAAUAAAAAUCAGUGCAUUUGCUUUAUCCUUUUCAUUUGAGGUUCCAUCCUCUGUAAUUGUAUUGGCGAGACCUUGCCCUUGGAGGUGCAUUUCCAUGUCAAGGCACCAGGAUAGAUAAUUUUUUCCACUCACUUCCAAGAUGUGGAAUUUGGGCUUUUCAAUAUUUGCCAUAAUCCUUGCAAAAAUAAAUCCUUAAAUUAAUUAAAAGGAUUUCCAAAUAUCCACCGCUACUUCAGGAGCAGAAGGAUACUUUUAGAUUUAAAAUUUUGGCUUCGGGCCAAGAAAAAUAAAAAUGAAUAAUUGAUAGAAGAAGAUGAAGUAUAAGUUGAUCAAUAAAAAGAAUACCCACCUUGCAAAAAUCACUUACUCAAUCGGUAGAUCUUCGUGCUUGCAAAAGUUACUUACUCAAUCGGUAGAUCCUCGUGCUGAUAACGUGUUGUAAAAUAUCGCGUGGCGAAUAUAUAAUAGAGAAGAGAUUAAAGAAGAGAAAGCAAGUGAACACUAGAGAUAGUAGCAAGAUGAGAGAGCUUUAUUUAUAGUAUCUCACUGUCGUGUUUCUGUGUGAUAGUGUAUUGUACAUCAAAACUAAACUCCUAUUUAUAGGAGAACAAGAAUGUACUUAUCAUUAAUAUCAAUGUAUCGAAUGAUACAUGUACAGGAUAAGGGAGACGAACGUUCAUUGUAUAAGGAGAUGUACUUAGAACAUUUGAUACAAAUGUACCAUAAUAAGUACAUUGGAUAAGAUGAAUAUAAUGAAUAUUCAUUCAUGUAUUCUAUCCAUUCAUGUAUUUCAUAACAAAGAUGGUAUAUUUAUAACAAAUUUACCCGUCAAUAUAUUGAUAUAUUGAUAUAAAUAUUUUUAAUUAGUUUAAUAUGAGGCUAGUUUGCGCGGGCUGAAUAGAGUUCGGUUUGUGAUGAGAAGACAUGUGACUGAAAACUAUAUAUAUAUAGUACUCAAGUCUCCUUUCUAAUCUUGAUACACAAAUAACUUUAUAUAAGGAGCAGUUGUAGAAUGCAACAUUGAGCCAAUAUUACAAUUAGAUCAAUGUUAUUCCAUAUUAAAAAUAAUGGAUUUCAAAUCAGAUGCACAAAUCUUUUUGUCUCCAUUUAUUGUGUUCUAAAUUUUAAUUAUGGAGAUCUUCGGAUGGCUUUCAUGGCUUGUAUGCACAUGGUGAACCAUUGUGUCACUACGGGGCACACCGGCUUUGCUUCCCAAAUGCAGGCGCCGCACUAUGAAAUGCUUCGUCCCGAGGCAUCAUGCGACAAAGCCUUUUUUCCUCGAGCCUGGGUGGGUCGCUGUCUCCUCGUCCUCCCUACGUCGUGCAAUGAUGUUUGUUACUGCAGAAAUGCAUGUAAAGCUUUCAUCUUUACACGUCAAUUCCACGUUUCGGCGAACUCAUGUCUCCUUUUCUGACCCCGCGAGUCCGAUUCAGGCUAGCAACGACAAAAGAAGAGGAUAAGGAAGGGGAAAAGCAAGCAUCUUGGUUUCUUUCACCCUAGGACUGUCCAGUGUCCACUGUUCGUCUGCCUGAAAUGUAUCAAAUCUUGAGUAAAUUUACUUUUCAAGAAAUUAAAACUACUUUUUUUAUAUCCAAAACGGUAAAUAGAUCGAAAGAUGGAUGAAUUUGAACCCGAAAUCGACGAAGAACAUGAACUUCUUGCUUAUGAUGAACAUUAUUUAAUCGUUUCGAUUUUUUUAUUUAAAUUAUGAGCAUUUGUAUCGAUGUGUUAUUACAAAAACUUCUCAAAGUUUCAGAUGCCUUCCCAUCGAUGAUUUUGCUAAAUUCUCCGCAGAGUGAGCUGCCAUCAAGACGUUAAUUGAACAAUUGAAAAUGUUUAUUAUCAAGCAUUUUUAAAUUAAAAGAGAUUCAAUUACAUAACUUCUAGAAUCUCUCAAUUAUGUUCUCUCCAUAAUGAAUUAUAACAGUUGUGGACUAUCUAAAUGCUUUCGAGUGAGAUUUUAUUUUUCACUUGGUCUUAAGUUCUAUUUUGAUUCAUUAUAAAAUCACCACUCUUUUUCUACGUUUUCAUUAAUUUUUUUUUUUUUUUUUUUGGUAAAGGGUAAUGAUAUAUUGAGCUAUAACCAGCAAAUAUACAGGAUCCGGCACCACAAAACUUGCACUCAACAAGACAGAAGCCUCUAAUCGAGUGAAAGGGCGCCAGACACAAAACACCGCAAAGCGGUCAACUCAAGCAAGGGCCGAAACAGGAAGCCCAAAACAGCGACGCAGGGUCGAAGCAACAACUAAAAACAGACAGACUAAACAAAAGGCCACGUAGGGCCAAGGAGAAACAACUCGCAAAACUAGACUAAGGCGACCUCGACGAUCGGCAUAGGAGAGUUGAAGAUAGAUGGGUCAAGGCCCCAGUUUCUUUGUAACCUCCUAUUCCUUGGGCAAUCUUCCACGCUUUUGAACGUUAAGGCUUUAUCCUUCACAACUUUAAUGAGAUGCUUCUUGAUAGCCGCAACCACAACCGGAUGAUCUCUAAAGAGGAUGUCGUUUCUAUACCUCCAAAUGAGAUGGCACAAAGCUCCAAAAGAGAAGCGACCAAUGGCGUGAUAGAAAUCCUUACCUGUAAGGAAUCUCAUUGCCCACUGAAGAUUUUCUGUCCAAGUCCCAUUUCUCCAUGGGAGAUUGCACCUGGCCGCCCAAAAGUAGGCCAUGCUAGCCGUGAUGCAGCAACCAAAGAAGAGGUGGUCAAUAGAAUCCGGCGUGAGCUUGCAAAAAGCACAUACUUCAUUCCCAAUUCUCCCAUAAGACAUAAGAAAAGCUUGGGUAGGAAGUCGGUUCUUAGUGAUCAGCCAGAGGUUGAAUUGGUAUCUCGGAGUGAUGGCCUUGUUCCAAAUAAAGGAUGACCAUACCACCUUAUCUUUCCUUUUUCUGAGUAAAUGCCAAGCUGAGGCAAUCGAGAAGACCCCGGAAGGAUCAUCUCUCCAUACAAAUCUAUCCGGAACCCUAGUGAGAAGAGGAAGGGGAUGGUUCCAAGAAUCCAUCACUAGCCUGAAUUCCCGACCCGCCGAAGAAAAAAGGUCUGCGACAACUGCAUACCACGGUAGUCCCGAAUCAGAGAUAGUCUGCUCAGAACAAAUAAGAUCCAGCGGACCUCUCUGAUGCCAAUGGUCAAACCAAAGGGAUGUCCCCUGGCCAUCUCCAAUCUUCCAGUGGAAGUUGAGGCGGAAUUCGGAUCUAAGGUGGAGGAUCCUCUUCCAAGCCCAUGAGCAGCUGCCCGGCGUCUUAGCCACCCAGAAGUUCGCCUUACGAAGAAAAGUAGAGUGAAUCCAUUUGCACCAAAGAGACUCCUUGUCCGUGAAUAGGAUCCAGAUGUGCUUGAGCAUUGCCGCCUUAUUGCACUCUCGCAAACAUCGAAUCCCAAGGCCCCCUUCUUCCCUUGGGAGACAGACAUCCUCCCAGGAAACCUUAGCUCCUCCCCUGCCAAGGCUGGGUCCCUUCCAUAAGAAUUGUCUAAGAAUCUGCUCGAUACGGUCCAGGACUCCUACAGGAAUAAUGAACACACUAGCCCAAUAGGCUUGAAUUGCAUGGAGCACUGACCUUAUUAGCUGAACUCUCCCUACAAAUGAGAGAAAUCGAUGGGUCCAAGAUUGCACCCUAGCCAUUAUGCGAUCGACUAGAGCUACACAAUCCGCCUUCCCGAGCCUCGAGGAAAUAAUCGGUGUUCCUAGAUAACGUACCGGCAAUUUUCCUUCCACAAAACCGAAUGUAUCCUUUAUAUGGCCUCUCAAUUCAUCCGAUCCCCCUGCAAGAAAUACCUCACUUUUGCUAUUGUUCGGCUUGAGUCCACUCCACUUCGAGAAGGUAUCCAGCCCAUCCUUUAGCAGCCGGAUGGAGACCAUAUCCGCACGGCAAAAGAGGAAGACAUCGUCCGCAAAGAAAAGAUGAGAUAACCGAGUGGCCUUGCACCUCCAAGAGAACUUGAAACCCGGCUGCUCCGCACUAGAAGUAAGGAUCCCGGAGAAGACUUCCAUAACCAAGGUGAAAAGAUAAGGAGACAUUGGGUCACCCUGUCGAAGGCCGCGGCUACUAGGGAAGAAUCCAUGGAAAUCCCCAUUCAAGGAGAUAGAAAACAUCGGGGUACGAACACAUAUCAUGAUAAGGCGAAUGAAGUGGUCCGGGAACCGAAAGGCACGAAGAACUGAUUCGAGGAAAUCCCAAUCCACCGUAUCGUAAGCUUUCUGAAAGUCUACCUUUACCGCACAUUUGGGGAGAUAUGGCUGCAGGUGAAAGCCGGCAAAUAACUCCUGGGCUAGGAGGAUAUUAUCACUAAUCCGUCGACCCUUCACGAACGCAUUCUGAGAAGGGCUUAUGGCAUCCUGGAGUACUGAGGCGAUGCGGUUAGCCAAUACCUUGGUAAUGCAUUUGUAGAUCGUAUUGCAGCAAGCGAUGGGCCUAUAAUCAUUAACCGAGGUAGCAUUAGGAAUCUUAGGGAUCAACACCAGGAUGGUGGAAUUAAUUUCCCUUAAUAGUCUCCCCGUAACAAAUAAAUCUUUUACAGCUUCAACCGUCAACGGUCCAACAAUAUCCCAAUUACUCUUGAAGAAUUCGACACCAAACCCAUCAGGACCCGGUGCCUUCCCACGUGCUAGAGAAAAGAUAGUGUCCUUAAUUUCCGUCUCCGAAAAGGGACGACCAAGAGAAGCGAUUUGAUCCUCUGAGAGCGGACGACGGAUGGCUUGCUGAAGGUCUCCGAAGGCCGGUCCAAUAGGAGGAGAGCGUGAUGCAAACAACUCCUUAAAAUGAGCGACAAAUGUAUCCUAAACAAGGCUCGGCUCGGAGACAAGGUUGCCAUUCCUAUCAAGAACCGAUAUAACCCUAUUCCUUAGUUGCCUCGUAGUCACAGAGUGAUGAAAGUAUUUAGUGUUUUUAUCACCCCUCUCAAGCCAACGGAUUCUGGAUUUCUGUCUGAAGAAAGCCUCCUCCUGACUCCUCAACUCAACGAACAUCCUCCGAUGACUUUUUUCUAGCUCUGCCAAGAGGGCAUUGGUCUGGUCGUGCUGAAGGGCCACUUGAGCUAGUGUAAGAGCAUUUCUGGAUUGAGCAACCCUCUCGGACAGGUUGGAGAAAGAGUCUCUAUUCAACUGCUUAAGACGCCCCUUGAGCGCUUUCAAUUUGGUAACCAACCUGAAGAUGGGUACUCCAUCACUCGGGGUCUGCCACACCUGGGUAAGAAUAUCCUGAAAAGAUGGGUGCUCCAUCCAGAAAUCAAAGAAUUUGAAGGGCUUUCUUCGAAAAACUGGCUGGAUCACCUUGACCACCAUAGGAGAGUGGUCUGAAAUACCAUAAGGUAAAAAGGAAGCUUCUGAGUAAGAGAAAUACAAGCUCCAGAGAGCGUUAACUAGAACCCGAUCAAUCUUCCUCGCUUUCCGAUUAGCCCCCGAAGACGUUGACCAAGUAAACCUAAGUCCAACAUAUCUCAAAUCCUCAAGCUCUGCCUGAUGCAGACACUGAUUAAACUCAUCAAAGCAGGGCGGCCAGGCAUUAGUACCCCCUAGCCUAUCAGACGGGUCUCUUAGGGCAUUGAAGUCACCCGCCACCAUCCACGGUAAGUCGAAAAUACAAGAACUCAUCCUGAUCAAGUCCACCCAUAGAGGUCUCCUACGAACAUAAGAAUUCUGAGCAUAGACUACCGAGAUACAACAACAAGAACCUGUCGAGAUCAGUCUAACUCUUCCAUGAAUAACCUGAUCAUUGGAGGAUAUCUCCUCAAAACAGACCAGCGAAGGGUCCCAGCCGAUCCACACCCUACCCCCCGGAGAAGAAUCAUAGUUGGCAAUCCACGUCCACCCCGAUAAUAGACUCGACGACAGAGAGCCAAAAAGAUGUUCCGGGACUUUAGUUUCCAAUAACCCAACCAAACAAAGGCCACUAGAGAGAGCCCACUUACGGACCUCGGCUCUCCUCAAAGGAUUCACGAGACCUCUAAUAUUCCAAUAACCGAAAUACAUCUAAGCUAUGUACAAACUACUCUAAACAACGAAGAGCAAAGGGCAGCAAGGCCUACCUCAAUUUCUGAGGCCUGCGGCGCGAAGCUCCGGACGGCUCAACAGUCUCCACCGGCUCUGGGACAGGGGCUAAGGACAGCAACCUGUGUUGGAUUGUUUCGACUGAUGUAUCUGUCAAGCGAGGAGGCUGACACGGCGCUUCUGGGGAGGAGAUAUCAUCAUCCUCUGAGGAAGAGGCAACCUCUUCCAAACGCUUUCCAGAGUCCUUCAAGGAUGGGGCACGGGUAGGUCGGGACCCAGCCGUGAGAGAGGAGACGACUUUAGGGGGAGCACUGGCGCCCCUAGCCCCCUUGCGAGCAGAGGCGGAAGGAGGGGGAGCUGCUACCAGCGGUCUGUCCCCAGAAGGCUGGUUAGCAGCCGAAGGGAGAGGGGAUUCACCUAUCUUGAGGUCCUUAUUCCUCUUCCUCCUGUUCUUCACCCUUCUUCAAGGUUGAUCCUGGUCGGGCAAAGUUGGAGUCGGUUGAGGGGAGUCGCUAACAUCUGUGGGGGACGCCUGCACAGAGACCGUGGAAGGUUGCAACCGAACCGGAUCUAUAUCAGACUGAGGUGGGAUGGGGGCAUCCACCGCCCGAGGCGGACUCGGAUCAACUUCUGGCCUCUGCACAUCCUGUUCCAAGACAACAGGCGAAGGAGGAGUGGCCGAUCGCGGAUCUGGAGCAUGGACGACCGGCUGAGCAGGAGCAACCGCAUUCUGCCUAGCUGGAUGACGGACAGCCUGUCCUGCAUUCUGUGUGCGCCUCGUGGGAUUUUCCGGGGGGGGAGCACGGCAGUUGUGGCCGAAGGCGUUGCAAUCCGGACAUGCAAUCGGGAGCCAUUCAUAUUCAAUAUUAAUGACCCGAGAGACACCCUUCAAGGUGACUUUGGCCUUCUCAACUCUUGGCUGAUUGGCCGUGACCUCGACACAAACUCUUGCGAAGGAGACCAUCUUCAUUUCGUCGGUCCGUUGAUCCACAUACAACGGCUUCCCCGCCACACUAGCUAUGGCACUCAUGGCUGGCACUGUCCAAAUGUCAAAUGGCAAAUUCCGUAGGCGAAUCCAAACGGGUAUGGUGGAAUGCUCUUCUCUCUUCAAAUCCAUGAGAGGCUUCCACUGCCGAAGUAUUAACGGCACCCUUGCAAUCGUGAUCGGCCCAUCUUCAAGGAUCUUUCUUCUAAAUCCGGGGUCCGGGAUUUGGAGAAAGAGGAAUCCUUGAUCGUCGGCAAAGAUUUCACCAAUCUUGGAGCCCCACGUUUUCCUCAGCACUUGCUCCACCAAUCCGAAUGGUAGCCUCCUUUUCGCAACCAAUUGGCCAACCAAGCAGUCAUGCCAUUUCGGGUCCAUAGCAUCAAGUGCUUCAUCCGGGAGAUUCACAACAGCCUCUCCCUCCACAAAGGUGGGUGGAACAUAAGACAAUUCGGAACCUUUCACAGCCAAUCUAGCCACAUUUGCCCAAGAACGUGCCGGGGCUUCAUGGUGACCAGCAGGUGCUUUCCCUGGGUGCUUGGAAGUUGAGCGAAAUCGGCUUCGUCCUCUCGACCGACGAGCGCGAAGGUCAGACUCCUUCGAAGCUUGCUGCCUAUUCUUCAUUUCUGUGUGUCUGGAUGAAGAAGCCGAUGCCUUACUAGGUCUAUUAGAAGCAGGGAGUGGAAGCCCUUCCGAGGCAGCAGCCAAAGGUCGGGCAUCUCCAGAAUUGAUUCCAUCCCCAGCAGCAGACAAAGACAUUCUCACAAACACCUUAUCUAUAUCCCAAUUGCAGCAAGCGAAAUCACCAUUGAACAGAGAAGACUUACCCGGACUGAAGUCAGCAACACCCCUGGGUCCAGAAGAGACCAAGCUCGCACGGCAGAAGCACUAGAAAACCAGAGCAGCUCGAAUCUACAGCUUGCUGGGAGACAACAGCAGGAGAAGCCAAGCUAGGAAGCUGUAGGAGAAUCCCCCGGCAGAACCGAAUCCCUAGCCGUUUCCCUUCAACCCGCAGAUGAGGAGCGAACAGCAGCUCCCACGUACAGUCACGCGCAGCAACUUAUCCGGAUGGAAUUCCUCAACCAGCUCAACCCAACCAGGGACAUUCGGAGGGUGCGAAGGGCUAAGUCUGGCUAGACUCUCUUCCGAGACUCAGCCAAAAACAGCCAUGGAAUCUCACCAAACGAACAGCAGAACAGUCGGACAACCAGAGGAGAAAACUGCAGAAAUUCGUACCCUAGGCCAGACGAUUUCUCUGCAUGCAGGCCUUCUAUUGCGAAACCGUUCGGUGGAAACGUAGAGGGGAUUGAGCUGAAUCUUCCUUCCGAAAAUCAGCCGAAACCACCCAUCGUAACUCCUCAAACGAACAACAGAUCAGCCAGAAACCAGAGAGAAAAACUGGGCAGUAAUUCGUAACCUAUGCCAGACGAUUUCUUUGCACACAGGCCAUCUUAUGCGAAACCGUUCGGUGGGAAUGUAGAGGGGCCUGAGCUGAAGCUUCAUUCCGAAAAUCAGCCGAAGACACCCAUCGUAGCUCCUUCAACGAACACAAAAACAGCCGAGAAACCAGAGGAGAAAACUGGGCAGAAAUUCGUAACCUGGGGCAGACGAUUUCUCUGCAUCUAGGCCAUCUUUCGCGAAACCGUUCGGUGGAAACGUAGAGGGGACUGAGCUGAAGCUUCCCUCCGAAAAUCAGCGCAUUCCGACACCCAUAGCCACGGGAAUCAGCAACACACCAGACGGAUGAACAGUGACUCGGGAAUCCGAGUUGAGAGCAUCCGAUGAACAGUACCACCCAAUUUUUAAUCCUUAAGGGCGGUACGUUUUCAUUAAUUCAAUAUGACAAUAAGCAUAAAAAAUCUGCACUAACUUUAUUUCAUGUAUUCCUUUCACAAUAAUCUUCAACAAAUACAUUUAGAGUCUACAUGGCAACAUUCCUAUUUCUUUGUUCUUUUGUUCUCUGAAAUAGAAAAUGAAUAGAAAUUCAUUUGAUAACGUCAGUUAAUUUUUCUAUACUCCAGAAUAGAAAAGUGGUUAGGGAAUAGAUUUAUAAUAGAAACAAGAAGUAUAAAAAAAUAUCUUAUUGUUUUCGGGAACAAUUUUUGGAAAUAAGUCAUUUUUUUUCUUUUCUUUUUUUCUCCUUCCUCACGCCGCCACCACUGUUCGCCAUCGCAUGCUGCCUGUCUCUGCCCAACAACCAGCUAGAGGAGGAAGAAGAGGAGAGGAAAAAAAAAAGAGAAAAAAUCUCUAAAAAAAUAUUAAAAAAUUAAAAGAAAUUCUAUGGCACAAAAAAAACUUGUGGGUCGUACUAAACACGUUCUUGCUUUUUUUAUUUAUUAUGAAAAUAAAAAAUUUAUGCAGUUACCAAACGCGUUAUUUUAUUCCAAAACUACUCUAGGGAAUAGAAAUAGCACCCUUCAACUUUGGUGGAUACGUUCCUUAAUGAAGUCAAUAUUCUCGGACAUUAUUAAAGUUAUCUACUACACAAUGCGCUGCCUGUCGUCUAGUAAAUCGUAUGGAAAAAAGAGAUGUGAAAUGAGUAUCACUUUAGAAAAAGUCAGAAGUUCUUUAGACAUAUAAUAUUAUAAAAAGUCGCGCCGGCAAUCUCUCGUUUCAAUCGCAAAGCCAAGGAAAAUCCCCCAUUAACCUUACAUACUCAAGUAGUGCCCUUAUUGAGACAAAUGAUAAGGCAAAGACAUCUAUGUUUAAUGUAAAAGUCCACGAAAUGUUCUAUCAAGUUCAUGUGGAACAAAUGUCUGAAACAUUGGUACAUACAUCAAUAUUGAUAUAUUAUUAAAAACUCUUUAAAAGGUUUGCCCGAAAACUCAACACUUAAAAUUGUUAAUAGUUAGAGACGCCUCAUCCUUAUUAUUUUUGCCAAAUCCUUGACAAAGUGAGCUGCUAUCAGAUGUCGUUUUCUAACAAGUAUUGUCAAUCAAAGGAGAAUCAAUUGGGUAAUUCAUAUCGUCUCUUAAUUAUUUCUCUCCAUAUGGACUUCCAAAACUCCAUUGAGAGUGUGUUUCAGAAGAGUAAAUGCCGUCACUAUGUUAUGCUGUGGAGUGUCGCUCUUUCACUUUGCUUUAAGUUCUAUUUCUAUUAAUUACAAAAACACAAAUCAUUUUCUACGUUUUGAUUGAUUCGGGACGACAAUAUGCAUUAAAAGGUCUGCACUAACAUUGUUUCAAGCUCUCCUCGCAGGAUUAUAUUGAAUAAGUGCAUUUAAAACAUCUGGCCGUGGUUAAAACUUUCUUAUAUAAAAAUGUUGAAAUAUAAUAUUUUGAAAUAUCAGCAGAAUCCUUAGAUUUUUAUCGUUAUAUAGCAUGAUGCGUGGAUCGUAAAGAUGUCACGAGAUAAUCACUUUAAUAAAAGGUCAAUAGACUAAAAGCCUUUAUAAAGCUGAUAACUAAAUUCAAUCGAUUUUGCACCGAAUGCUAAAGAGAUGUAAUAGGUUGGGUAAUCUAUUUACAUUUGAUGUGCAUUCACAUGAUGAUAGAUAGAUAUCAUGUUCCGAUGCUUCGAUUCGGUAAAUUGUAGGACUUGUCAUCAUCGUGCAUGGUGAACCACUGCAUCGCUACCGGUGGAGGUAUUAAAAUGGGUUUAAAAUCCAUAUUUUGACUCAUAUUUAAUGGCAUGAGUCGUAAAUGGGUUACCUUAAAUUUUAAAAACAAGCUUAAGUAGGUUAUAAAUGGGUUACUUAACAAUUUAAUUGGUCUUAAAUGUGUAUUAAAUAGGUUACGUAACAAGCUUAAAUGAAUCAUAAACAAGUCAUUUUUAUCUAAAAUUUUUCUGACUUUUUUUUUAUAAUUUUUUUUUUAAAAUUCUUUCUUAGUUGGUGGCUAUCAUGAAGACAAUUGGCAAAUGGCCACGGACACGGACAAGCUCAUCGACCUUUGGCACCGGCGAGGCUCAAGCCUUGUCAAUUUGGUGAGAUUCGAGCUAGCUAGAGGUCAUCGAGCGCUAGGGGCUAGCGAGCUCAAGCUUGCAAUCUGACCUCUACCGAGGCUUGAGCUCGCUAGCAUCGAGCAAGAGUUUAGCUUUGCUAGAUCUAGAGAGGUGGAGCAUCGCCCGAGGCGAGCUUAGCUUGGCUAGAUCCAACUUUGGUUGAUUUUAAAUUUUGAAUAUCUAUAUUGACGUACUAUCACAAAAACUUCUCACGAGAUUGCCUGGAAACUUGAGACUUAAAACUAUAGAUAGUUAACGAUGUCUCAAAAAAGUGAGCCGCCAACUACUUGUUAUCUGAACAAUUGAAUAUGUUUAUUAUUGAGUUUUUCUUCUUCUUCUUCUUUUUUAUCAAAAGAGAAUAAAUUACAUAAUUUCUACCGUCUCUUAAUUAUUUUCGUCCCUAAUGAGCUAUAAUAAUUGUAGACUAUGCAAAUGCUAUUGAGUGUGAUUUAUUUUUCACUUUGUUUUAAGUUUUAUUUUGAUGUAUUAUAAGUCACCACUCAUUUUCUAUGUUUUCAUCAAUUCAAUACAACAAUAUGAAUCUGCACUUACUUUGUUUCACGUGAUUCCUUACACAAUGGUCCUCGAUAACCCACAUAUCCAACUUUGGUUGGUACGUUCCUUGAUAAUGUCAGAGUAUGAUAUUCUCAAACAUUAUUAAAGUUAUCUAACGUACAAUGCUCGGAUUGUUAUCUAGUAAAUCGUACAAAAAAAGAAAAAGUCUGAAAUUCUUUAGACGAACGGCUUUUCAAAAAGCCAUGUUGGCAAUCUCGCAUUUCAUUCGCAAAGCCGAGGAAAAUCUGUCCCCAUUAACCUCAUAUAAUUCUACAGUUCCUAUUAUUGAGACAAAUGACGAGGCAAACAUAUUUAUGCUUGGUGUAAAUUCCACAAAAUGUUAGAUCAAGUUCAUGUUGGACAAAUGCCUGAAACAUUGGCACAGACGUAAGAAUUACUGGUCAACCUAAAGUGACCCCCUGAGAAGUAUAGAUAUUUCAAUAUUAUGACUACAAUCUACAUUAGACUUGGGAAUCUAUAAUAUGUAUUGUCUGAAGGGGCCAUGAGAACCACGACACCCGAUUUUAAUAAUAAUUAAGUAUGCACAUAAACUAUUUCCAUGACUUGUAAUUUAUCAAUCGAAGAAAGGGUAGAAAGAGAUUUCUUCCAUCUUGGAGGAAAGCCUAGCCUUAUCCAAUGUUCAGCCUAACAUUUUAUCUUAUCUUACUAUAAGUGGUCUUUCAACAUGUGUAAAGGAGAUGAAAUCAGUCCCACUUACAAAAAUUUGGGAUUCAAAAGUGCCUGACUCUGGCUCGAUUACAAUUUAUGAUCAUGUCAACGAGUGGCCAAAUUUUUGUUUAUCAUUCGUCAUUUAAGAUAUCGCAUCAUUUGUAGCACAAUUAUGUAUGCGGCAAAAAAAAAGAAAAACAUUUAAGUCGUAUCGCAACAAUUUUACAUUACAUAUGAGAAGUCAAAUUAACUCUGAAAAGCUAGUCAGUGUAUAUCGCACCUGGAAAUGGAGUCCUGAAAUUUCAAUGUCUUGAGGGACAUCAACAAGCUGCCUCUUCGCGUUGCUGGGUGUCCCAUCCCUCAGUAUCUCGAAGUUGAUCCCGUAAUUGGAACUCGAACCGGGCACUUGGAGGAGAUCGUUUUCGCGCCAUGCAUGUUGACCGUGAUCAUCGAUGGCCGCCGACAUUUGCCUCAAAUAAGCUUUACUUAGCAUGCCUCUUAUCCCGCUGGGCCCUGAUGGCCUAACACGGUACCGAGACCUGAUUUUGGUACACUUUAGUUCCCUUCUUUUUGUACAUUGCUUUCGCAAUCCCGGAAUUUGAGAUCUGCAGUGCUUGUGACAUAGGUUUGAGCAGCUUUCCUCCAUUCAGAAAUUACCAGAUCUCUGGCCUAGACUGUCUUUAAGCAUCGAAUAGGUUUAGAAGUUUCAGAGGCCGAGUGAAAGUUUUCAGGUUUCAGUUGUCCAUCAGCACUUGGCCCCAGCAAAAGAAGCCUAAAUGAGAUAUUGCUCAAUUUAUCUGGUCACACUGCCCACAUACUCUGUUGAUGUUAUAAUCCUAAACGAUGGAUAUGCAUUGCCGGCACAAAGCUAUUUGAUUCCGGCAUUCUACAAGGGGAAUGUCCCUCGACCAAGGGUGUCCACUUGACCAGUGGUUUGAAUCCGAGAUGCCAUCGUCUUUGGUGGGAAGGAUGUCUAUAUGACUUGUUGCAGCCUAAUCCGUUGCCUGUUGCGACCAAGUAAACCCUCAACUACAUUCCGUCGAACCAUGCCAACUUUGGUUGUGCUUUUGUGGACUCCUGAAGGGCAAUCUUGCGAAGGGGGACUCCUUAGGUUAGGCUAUCCCUUGGUGGGAGUUCGCAUGACUGUCACACCCAUCUGGAAUUUGUCCUCUAUGCCGCGACUUCCAUCGACCUGCACAUCAGGCCCAAUCUGCACGAUACUUUCUUCUCUAGGGGUGAGGUCAUAUGAUGCCAUUGCCAUGCGCUCAUGCAUGAGAAAAAUCCCUUAAAAGCAGGCCGCGCGCUGAUCAGUUGCUUGAGAAAGAAGCCUAAUGCCAUCUGCACAGGGUCGACAGUCCUGCAUAUUCUUGGAGUAGCCCCCCAGAGAUGAUGAUUCAAGAUCAGAUGAGCCUCAAUGCGGGCCAAGGGAUGGACAGCUAGUUAUUGUUCUACAAUGAUAGUGACAUGCUAGCUCCUUUGAUCGAUAUAUGUCGAACAAAUCUGCUGGAUCGACAGCUAGUCUUUGUUCUACAAUGAUAUGUGAUAUGCUAGCUCCUUUAAUCGAUAUAUGUCGAACAAAUCUGCUUGAAGAGCCUGAUCGAAGAGAUCCUUGUCUACUUUCAUCGUUUCCUUCUUUUUCUAGAAAUCUCAUCUAACCAAAUCCGCUCGUUAUUGUUUUACAAUGUACUAGCAUGGAAAGGAGUUCCAUGCUACUAAUUGCAAACGAGUUGGUAGUGUCGGUAACUUGUUCAUCUAGUUGCGUAUUGGUAACUUUCAACAAGUUAAAACAAAUAUCAAAGUUUCUUUAUUCCUCAAAUUUACCAACCAUUUUAAUAAUCUACCAACAUUUACUUUUGUGACUUACCAACCAUUUGAAAUUACUAAAUCUUAAUUUGAUUAAUAUACCAACAUUCAGUUAUCAACUUUGUUUUAGAAACUGAUUUCUUUGUGAUUUACCUGUGAUUACCAAUGCUUUCGAAGCACAACUUCAUUUAAAAAUUUCCCACCUUAGUUUCACUCACAUAUCACAUUCAUCACAUUAACAAANNNNNNNNNNNNNNNNNNNNNNNNNNNNNNNNNNNNNNNNNNNNNNNNNNNNNNNNNNNNNNNNNNNNNNNNNNNNNNNNNNNNNNNNNNNNNNNNNNNNNNNNNNNNNNNNNNNNNNNNNNNNNNNNNNNNNNNNNNNNNNNNNNNNNNNNNNNNNNNNNNNNNNNNNNNNNNNNNNNNNNNNNNNNNNNNNNNNNNNNNNNNNNNNNNNNNNNNNNNNNNNNNNNNNNNNNNNNNNNNNNNNNNNNNNNNNNNNNNNNNNNNNNNNNNNNNNNNNNNNNNNNNNNNNNNNNNNNNNNNNNNNNNNNNNNNNNNNNNNNNNNNNNNNNNNNNNNNNNNNNNNNNNNNNNNNNNNNNNNNNNNNNNNNNNNNNNNNNNNNNNNNNNNNNNNNNNNNNNNNNNNNNNNNNNNNNNNNNNNNNNNNNNNNNNNNNNNNNNNNNNNNNNNNNNNNNNNNNNNNNNNNNNNNNNNNNNNNNNNNNNNNNNNNNNNNNNNNNNNNNNCCCUCGUCUCGGGCUCCAUAGCUGGGAGUCUCGCCGCCGCAGAGCUCGCACAGAGGCACGAAACAUGCUGGCAACGUCGGGACCCGUCGCCACAGCUGCUUCCUCGAGAUGUACACCGUCUGAUGAAUUUUCCUAUUGCACGAAUGCACGUAAAAACUACUUCUUUUCCCGUCAUUCCACGCCUGGGUGGGUGGAUUCAGCUCUCUCUUUUCGGACCAGGCAAGUCCGAUUCAGGCAAAAGAUUUUAGAAGAAAAUGACGAGCAGAACCGAAAAAGAAAUCUUGAAUUCUUGCACCCUAAGCUUUCUACAUAUACUAGGCAUGUCCACUGUUUUUUCCUGUUCGAAAUGUAUCACUUGCGCGUCUAUAUCUAUCUAUUGUUACAUGCGCUUUUCAAAGGAUUGCCUAGAAACUUCAAAACUUAAGUAGUAGAUAAUUAGAGAUGACUUCUCCUUAUCAGUUUUGCCUAAUUCUCAAACAAAAAUAGCUAUUGCCUAGACGCCACCUAAACAAUUUGGCGUGUUUUCCAUUUCGAUAUUAUUAAUUGAUGGAAAAUCAAUUAUGUAAAAUUUUACCAUCUCUCCGUCAUUUCUCUCCAUAACCAAGUUUAAUAUUUAUGGACUUUUUAAAUGUUAUUGAGUGCCGACUUCAGAAAAAUUAAACAUAGUCAUAAAUUAUCUAAAUGAUAAGCUUUUAAAAAAUUGAAUCGGUAAUUUUACACGAUUUAACAAGUUUCAUAUAAACAACUGAACAAAAUUCUACCAUCUCUCCGUCAUUUCUUAAUUCUACUUUCAGAGUGAACCCCUUGAAAAAAACUAAAAAAAAAAAAAAAAGACCCGAAUAUUUUAAUUAAAAAUUCGAAUUUUCUCUAUCAGUCUAGUAAAAUCCAGCAUCAAAACCCGCAAAAUGAGAAGGAAACCCGAAAUCCUGCGCUUGUUCUCCUGAAUCCUCCUGUGCCGUGCUUCCGCCGCACGCCGCCGAGCUCCGCCGGUCUCUGCCGCCGCACCCCGCCGGUCCCUCCGUCCGUCCAUAACCUGAAGGUGACUCUUUCUCCUCCUCAGCCCCUCUCGUGAAAUCUCUUCCUCUGCAAUUUCGUCGUCGCCGGCGUCUCUCCGUCGCCACCUCGCCGGACGCGCGAAUCCCUAAUUCGCGGCGGGCAGCUGUCUCCGGCGCUCCUCUCUGGCGGAACCUCGCCGACUGCUCAUGCGCUAGGAACCCCUGCGGCAGGAAAUUCGAGGGAUGGACGUGAUCUCCCAGCUGCAGGAGCAAGUCAACACGGUCGCGUCGGUCGCCUUCAACACCUUCGGCUCGC
rnacentral:lncRNA from 1 species